CCGUUGAAAAUAGUUUUCUAGUAGUGUGAUUCCAUAUAACUGUGAGUCUUACAAGGUUAAAUUUAAUCAUUCUUUUCAUGAUUGGGACACUUUUAGUAAGCGUAAGGAAAGUUCAACAAAAGUUGAGGCGACUUCCGCUUCAAGUCCAAAGGAAUAAAAUCUAUGAAGAAGUCAUAUUGUUUUUUCUCACUGUAUAAACUAAUGCAAACAGUUUUCCUCAAACUCUAUUUUAAUAAAAAAAAGAUAUAAAAAGCAAAUCCCAUACACUUUUAUACAGUACAAUCAAGACCCAUCUUUACGUGAAAUACAUUGCUCGGUAAAAACAACUCAAACUUUGAUUUGAGGUAGUUUAUUUACGCAUACGAUACAUAUAGAGAAUGUUAAAGGGAAAAUGAAUUCAGCAAUUGAUCACAUUUUAUGGUACCAAAAAACACCUUUGUGUUCGCUAGCUUGGUCAGGCUCGAUAUACAUGCAUUCUUUAGCUUCCCUCCACAUGGCUUUAAAGAUUGGAGUCCUAUCGAUCUUAUAAAACUCACCCAAAACUGGAAUGAUUGCAUCUCUUGCCUCCUUUGCAUGAUAAUGUGGAAUGUAUGAAAUCAAAUGAUGCAAAACAUGGGUGUGUGUAACAUCAUGGAAAACCCUAUUCAGAAAUCCAAAGUCCCUAUCAAUUGUUGACAGGGCCCCUUUGAUCCAGUUCCAUUCGGUUGAAUCAUAAUGAGGCAAUGAUAGAUGAGUGUGGUGCAAAUACGUUAUAAUAACGAAAAACAUAUGAACUCCUAGCACCGGAACGCCAUAUAUGCACGUUACCCAAGCAGCUCCUUUUGCUGCUACAGCAAGCUUGAUUGCAUAAAAGACGGCAAGAAGGCCAAUAUCUGAUAGCAGAACCUGAAUUCGCUCACGCUCUGUGAAAAUUGGACUCAUGGGAUCAAAGUGGUUCGCAAACCUUCCGUAUUUCUUGCCAGAAAUAUUAGUUAAAAGGUAUAAAGGAAAUCCUAGGGUGAACCUAAACACUAAAGUGAAUACUCGACCAGGUGGGUUGUUAAGAAUUUUUGAGUACCACCUGACUUUCGACUUCCGUUUAGGAAUAUAAACUUCAUCAUUAUCAAGUGAAUUUGUGUUGGCAUGGUGAUUUCGAUGGCUAUAUUUCCAUGAAAAAUAGGGUGUCAUGAGAGCUGAGUGGAGGAUAAAGCCGAUAGUGUCAUCAAUCCACUGGUAUUCGCUAAAGGCAUGGUGACCGCAUUCAUGACCGAUGACCCAUAAGCCAGUGAGGAUGCUAGCUUGACAGAACCAGUAAACUGGCCAAGCUAAGUAAGCUAGAGAAGGAGGAAGAAAAGGAAUGUAUGUAUUUGCAAGGAAGUAGAAAACGUAGGCAACAAUGAGGUCGUGAACAACAUAGUAAGAUGAACGGAUGACAGAUCGUUUGAAGCAAUGGGCAGGGAUCGCUUUCUUUAAAUCACUUAACGAAAAUGGCGGACCAACCGGGACUCGUUCCAAAAUCUUUUUAUCAUCAAAUUGGUCUGACAUUCGACCACCAGCACCCAUGUUGUUGAUAGUCUAUUAACCUGCGAAUGUCAAAAGUAUUGUGAGAUUUAUGUAAACUAAACAUAGAUAAUAUUAAUUACAAUAACGUAAAUCGCAUGGGAAAAAGAAAGACCUUUAGAGAGAAGUUAUGUAUGAGUGAUUGAUUAGUUCACCAGGUGAUGCUCUUUGGGGUUGGCUGUCCUCUUAUUUAUAGUCAAGAGUAGCGAAAUUUAACGACAUACUUGCGCUACUGGGUACUGACUUUUAUUGUUUAGGAAACACCACCAUUCAAAUUUGGCGGCUCUAAAUGAUAGACCCAUUUUUUAAUGGGAGAUUCUAAAUAUAUUAAUGAAAAAUUACACUUGCGUAUAUUUAUUACAUUGACUCAUUAAAUCUCACGUGAUUGAUUUUCGUAAUGCUUAUUUUUAUAUUAAGAUCCUAAUAUAUUAAAUAGUAAAUUCUAUGUCACUAUGGUUUAGGUAAUAUAUUAAAUAGUAAAUUCUAUGUCACUAUGGUUUAGGUAGUUUAUGUAUUUGGUCCCUAACUUAUUUUUUAAUUUGGAAAGUCCCUAUUAUUUGUUUUGUUACGCGUUUGGUCAUUUUCAUACCUAAAAAGACAAUAUUUUCAUUGAUUUUUUAAUUUAUUUAAAUAAACACAACCUCUCCCCAGGUGGCCACCUUACCUUACCACCCACUAUUUUUCUCUAUUUAACUAAUAUUCUUUUAAAUAAGACAUGGACCAAAUACGUAACAAAAAGAAACAACAGGGACCAAACGCAUGAAAAAAACAAACAGUAGACAUUUCAAGUUAAAAAAUAAGUUAGGGACCAAGCACGUAAAUUACCCCAAACCAUAGAGACCAUUCGUGUAAUUACUCUAUAUUAAAAAAAAGUUUUAACAUAAAGUUAUAAAUAUAACUUUAACUACAAUUUACGUCUCAAAUUUCAAUGGAAAAUUAUAUUUAUAUAUAUCUAGAUGUUGCGCAUAGUUAUAUGUCUUGAUGCUGAAAUGUUAACAUGAAGCACAAAUAUUAUUAUAUAUUUAUAGAUGGUCCAAAUGAUUGUUAGUUGGAGAAAUAUUAACUAUUUUAUUUUAUAUAUGAAUUGGUUUUUGGUAUUUGUGGUCUAGUUAUUAAAAGUAUAUUGAAUUGUAUUCCAUAUUUGUAACACGAAGCACCAUUACAUGAAAUAUUGGCAGUUGCAACUACCGUUUUCACUACAAGAAAUAUACUUUUUACUGACGACACUAUUACCGGCGACAAGAGGCUUUACCGGCGACUCUAGAUAUUGUCGCCGCUAAAGCCCUUUGUCGCCGGUAAUAGUGUCGCNGGGUUGGCACCCAGAUCCGCUCUUUCCCCCUCUGUUGCAUAUGAACCGUUCGAUGAGAUAUCUAAUCCAACGGGUGGGGUGUCUUAUCGUAUCAAACCUAAUAGCGGCGACAUAUUUGUCGCCGCUAAAGAGUUAAAAUAGUCGCCAGUAAUAGUUAACGAAAAAACACGCGGAACCCUUCCCUCCAGUUUGUCGUCGCUAUUGCUAAAAGUUGCCGGUAAAGAUCAAGUUGUCGCCGCUAAAGGUGUCGCAACUAUUGCCUCUCGAAGAUAAAAAAAAACGCACGACGACGGUUCAUUUCUCCAUCUCCUUUUUGUUUGCUGCUUCUUUCCUUCCCCAAUUCCAACUUCAUCCGAUUUUAAGCACUCUAUUUCUCCAUUUGCAAGCAAAUUUCUUCCCUCAUUGUGUCCUAUUAAAAAUCUAGGUGUGGUUAAAGUUUUGGGAACAAUUUAUAACUCCAUUUCUUCAACAAAGGUAUGUUGAUUUUGUAAUUUCCUUUUCAAUUUGUAUGUUAAUUUGAAUGGUAAUAAAUUAUUCAUAUAUUUGUUUUUGGUGGUGUUGUUUUGGAUUAGGUGUAGUUAAAGCUUUUGGGACCAAUUUCUAACUUUAAUUCUUCAACAAUGGUAAGUUCAUUUGCUAAUUUUACUUUUAAUUUGAUUAUAUGUGAAUUUGUUGUAUAUAUGCCAAUGUAUGUGUAUUUGAUGUAUAUAUGUGGUAUAUGAGUAUUUGGUAAAAAUGAUAUGUAUUUGUUAUAAGUAGGAUAUUAUUGGGUGUAUAUGAAUGUAUGUAUGUUUGUUGUAAAUGUGAUAUAUUAUUGUGAAACUUUUGUAUUUGCUAUAAAUAGGAUGUUAUUAUCUAUAUGUGAAAUUAUGUGUAUUUUGUUUAAGUAGGAUGUUAUUUUGUGUGUAUGUGUAUGUAUUUGUAUUUGGUGUAUAUGUGGUAUAUGUAUGUAAAAGUAUAUGAAUUUCAUCCUCUUAUAUAUUAUGUAAAAGUAUGUGGUUUUGGUAUAAGUAGGAUGCUAUAAUUGAAUAAAAAAUUAUUGUUAUAAUUUGAAAAAAUAACAAAAAAUUGUUUGAAAACUUAUAUACAAAAACUAGAAAGUUUAUAGUUUUUACCCAAGCUAACUCCAAAUUAAUUAACCAAUAAGUUAUAUAGUUUACUUAUAAUCUUCAAAUUAAUUCAUAAGAUUAUAUUUUCUAUAACCAAUAAUAAUCGGUUACCAUAAAAAUAAGUUAAAGGAUGCUAUAAUUGAAAAAAAAAUAAUAAAUUAUUGUUAUAAUUGGAAAAAAACACAAAAAAAAUUAUAAAAUUGUUUAAAAACUUAUAUAUAUNNNNNNNNNNNNNNNNNNNNNNNNNNNNNNNNNNNNNNNNNNNNNNNNNNNNNNNNNNNNNNNNNNNNNNNNNNNNNNNNNNNNNNNNNNNNNNNNNNNNNNNNNNNNNNNNNNNNNNNNNNNNNNNNNNNNNNNNNNNNNNNNNNNNNNNNNNNNNNNNNNNNNNNNNNNNNNNNNNNNNNNNNNNNNNNNNNNNNNNNNNNNNNNNNNNNNNNNNNNNNNNNNNNNNNNNNNNNNNNUUGUUUAAAAACUUAUAUACAAAAACUAGAAAGUUUCUAGUUUUUACCCAAGCUAACUCCAAAUUAAUUAACCAAUAAGUUAUAUAGUUAACUUAUAAUCUUCAAAUUAAUUCAUAAGAUUAUAUUUCUAUAACCAAUAAUAAUCGGUUACCAUAAAAAUAAGUUAAAGGAUGCUAUAAUUGAAAAAAAAAAAAUUAUUGUUAUAAUUGGAAAAAAAACACAAAAAAAAAAUUAUAAACUUGUUUAAAAACUUAUAUAUAUUUUAAUCUCGACGGUAAAAAAGAACAAUACAACAACAUAAUAUGUAUGUAAAAGUAUGUGAAUUUCAUGUUCUUAUGUAUUAUGUAAAAUUAUGUGGUUUUCUUAUAAGUAUGAUGCUAUAAUUGAAAAGAAAAUAAUAAUUAAUUAUUGUUAUAAUUGGAAAAAAAAAACCACAAAAAAUAUAUAUAUAAAAAAUUGUUUAAAAACUUAUAUACAAAAACUAGAAAGUUUCUAGUUUUUACCCAAACUAACUCCAAAGAGUUGUCAGUUCUUGCAAUGGGCCCGCAAAUGAAUGCAUAUUCUUACACCGCAUGCAUAGUUACUUGUGUUAUGUAUAUGGUACUUAGUCGUGACACACAACGUACAACCCAAAACUCUGGGGUUUUAGCGGUGGGUGAGAAAGGCGAGAAAUAUUAUGGCCAGUUAGAAGAGAUUAUAGAGUUGAGGUAUACACAUGAUUAUUCAACUAUACUAUUUCGUUGCAAGUGGUUUGAUACUUGAACAGGAGUUAUUUCUAGUGAUAGUUUCACCAGUAUCGACACACGACGCGAAGCAUACAGAGAUGAUCAACUCAUAUAUGCAUCACAAGCCAAACAAGUGUUUUACAUCAGAGAGCCAAACAAUAACCAUCGGUGUGUUGUCGAGCAUGUUAAUCAUCGAAGUAUUUGGGAUCUACCAUCGAACGAUGACCUUGUUCAAAAUGUUGACAAUGUCUCACACGAAAAUGUAGACGAUGUCGAUGUACUUCAAAAUAUCUCUUCAUCCGAUGCUCCACUUUUUAUUGAUUUCAGCAUGUACUUUUAAAACAUUCCUAGAGUCAUUGUUGAUGUAGAAAGUGCAUCUGAAGUUCCUCCGCCAACUGGUAGAGUCAAUGAUGUUUCUGAUUGCGAGACUGAUUACGAUGACACCGAUUCUGACUAUGAUACCAAAGAAGACACCGAAGGAUAUGAGGAAGAUUCUGAUUAGAAUAGUUCUUAUGUAAUGUGUAUUUGUAAUAUGUGUUUGUAAUAUGAACUUUAUUUGGAUUUCUAGUUUAAAUAGAAAUUUUUAUUCUUAUCUAAAUGUUUAUUCCUAUCUAAAUGUUUAUUUCUAUGUAAUGUGUUUCUAUAAUAAAAAUUGUAUUUGUAUAUCUUAUAAUUUUUAUGGAAAUGAUGAGAGUGUGGCUUUUGUUUAUGUUUACCAUGGCUGCUGCCAUGGGUUGUGGACAUGGGGGAGACGGAGCUGAGGACCCACCUUUCCCAGGUGGUAGAGGUCUUGGCCAGCACGAGCAGGACGGUAAGUCUUAUCAUGAAUUUUUAUUUACUAUUUUUGUUCAAUUAUCAUAAAUUAAAUGUCGUUUCUAAUAAUUUUUAAUUACAUUUGUAGUUGAGGGACGUGCCCGAAGGAAAGUUCGAGGAAAAGCAAAAAAUAUAAAGCUUGAAAAAGCAAUCUUGCAGAACCAGGGGAAACCAAUAGGCAUGCAAUAUGAUAGGGAUAUCACAUUUAAUCCCGUAGGAGAGGCGGGAGACAUGUUUUCCCGAGAAGUUGGGAAAACAAUGUGGCAGAUGGUCCCUUUCGACAAAUGGAGUUGGAAAAGAGUUUCCCCUGAUAUAAAGGACACUGUAUUACAACAUUUAGUGGUAAUUAUUUGUUUAAAUAUAUUUUAUAGGUUUAACUAUAAUUGUUUUUUACUUGGUUAACUUUUUUUUUUGUAGACAAAGUUUGAUCUCAAUCAAAUGUACCAGGAUACACAAGCUACUCUAUUGACAGAGAGUUUUCAAGCAACCUUGUUAAAAGGUUUUCGAGAGCGUAAAGCCGAUGCAAAAGAAUAUUUCAAGAUGGUCGGAGGGUAUGAAGAUAUCCCGAGAGCAUUGGCAAAUCCUCCGGAUGGUAUGCUUGUUGAUAACUGGGCGAAGACAGUUGACUAUUUUCAAACUGACGAACACAGAAUUGCUUCAGAAAGGAACAAAAAAAUUCGUGAAAAGCAAACAAAUGUGAAUCGUGGGGGUUCGAGCUCGUAUAGCAGCACUUGCUAUAAGAAGGUAUCGUACGAUACAUGUAAUUAUUUAUUUAAAAUAUAAUCUAAUUUUUAAACUUAAACAGAACCUUAAGAGAGUGGAAAAUUUCGCAAAGCUCAUACCGAUAAGAAUGGUGUAUUUGUUACUGCUGAAUCGGAACAACAAUAUGUAAGUAUUUAAUUAUAAUUUUAUCAUAUAUUUAAAUGUUUAUUUAUACUUAAUUGUUACUCACUUUUGGGAGUUACAGAUCGGUUAGUUGAAGAGUUGUUAGAACAAACUCAAGGUGAAAGUGAGUUAACGCCUGCUCAAGUAAGAGCUACGUUCGAGAAAUUAUUAUGAGAGCGACGUGGCCACAUUAGAGGCAUUGGCCGCAAACCUUUUGGUCUCCCGACGAUUCCACAGCCUUCGCAACCAUCACAACCACCAUCACAACCAUCACAGGUAAAAUAGCAAUCUACUUUAGCAUCGUAAAAUGCAUGUUGAUUUGGUAGUUUUGGUUUUGUGGUGGUUAUUUGCUAAAAAGUUUGGUAAUUUGGUUUUUGUCCCAAGUGCAAAAUAUAGCAAUGUACUUUGGUUUUCUAUCUUUGUUUAAAAAUAGCAAUCUACUUUAGCAUCGUAAAAUGCAUGUUGAUUUGGUAGUUUUGGUUUUGUGGUGGUUAUUUGCUAAAAAGUUUGGUAAUUUGGUUUUUGUCCCAAGUGCAAGAAAUAGCAAUGUACUUUGUUUUUCUAUCUUAGUUUAAAAAGAACAAUGUAUUUUGAUGGUUUUUGUUUAUGUUUGACGAUCUAACUUAUAAGUUUAUAUAUAUUGUUAUUAAUUAUGUAGUUGGAAAAUCUUCGUGCAAUGCUCGCCGACCCGGCAUGUAGGGAUGAGCUUUAUUCGUUUUUUCAAUCCCAAAAUAAUCAAGGAAACGAUGGGAACGACGAUGAUGGUAUGUAAGGAUGGGUUUUAUUUGCAUAUGUUGUCUCGUUUUGCUACUUGGUAGAUUGUAAAAAUUUUGUUGUUUUGCUACUCGGAUAUUAUGACUUUUGAUAUUUAUUUGUAUUUGGAUGUUUGUUUGUAACUUGCAUUGACACUAUUAUGUUUGAUAUUUAAUAGGAUGUUUGUUUUUUAAUUAGCGUCCACACUAUUGGUUUUGAUAUUUAAUCGAAUAUUGUUAUUAUCGGCGAUACUUUUACCUGCCAUAUUAUCACCGGCAACCAAAAUCAUUAUUUAAAAAAAAUUGAAAAAAAAUUACCGGCGACAAAACUUAUUACCGGCGACACUUUUGCCGUCGACAGACGUCAUUACCGGCGACUAGCUUAUUAGCGGCGACAAUACUCAUUAGCGGCGACAUAGCAAUAGCGGCGACUUUUAUCAUUAACGGCGACGAACUGAUCAAUAACGGCGACUUUUAUCAUUACCGGCGACGCUUUUACCGGCGACAGAACUUAUUACCGGCGACACUUUUGCCGUCGACAGACGUCAUUACCGGCGACUAGCUUAUUAGCGGCGACAAUACUCAUUGGCGGUGACUUUUAUCAUUAACGGCGACAAACUGAUUAAUAGCGACAAAGCAGUAGCGGCGACUCAGUACCAGCGACGCGUCGCUGCUAUUAGUAUUACCGACGACUUUUGGGACUUUUACCGGCGACUUUUGUCGCCGGUAAUGUCCUUUUUCCUUGUAGCGUUCAGUGUCGCCACUAGUGUGUCCCACUCCUGAUACGUGUCACUACAAGAAAACAGAAAAUAGGGUAUACUAAAUGUAGUGCGGUUAUUAAAAAAAAAUCCAUAUUAGAUGUGGUUAUAUUGAUUUUUGUGCAUGUUUUUAUGAAAUAAAUGGGAGUGAAAGAACUUUUCCGCUUUUAAUCAUCAAAUACCGAUUCUUUUCUUUCUUUUUCACUGGUUUCCCCAUGCCACCACUUCUCUCCUCCUCACCUUGACCACAAGGUCAUCAUCUCAUCUUCCCAUUCACUCUUCCAUCCUUGUAAAUUUUGUUAAGAAGAUACAAGACUUCCUCAUGUAAAAAUAGAAUUAGUAGAAUUUUGAUAUACUGUAUGACCUAGUUUUGAGAUUUUAUUUAAAUAGAAUUCUUUUGAAUAUGUAAUUUUGAUGUAGAAGUAGAGUUUUGACAUUUACGUUUCUUCUUACACUAGGUUGGAACUAUUUGAUUUUUUAUUUGGAUUUAGUCUCCAAUUGAAGGAGCAUCUAGAUGUUUAAAUGCAAGGCAACAUUAAGUUUCAUUAAUGCUAACGAGAGUAUCACUAGCAUUGUUCUGAUCCAAUUUUAAUGGAAGGUGAUAUAAUGUUUUAAUGCAAUACUCUUACAAUUUUUUCUAUUGAUUUUCAUGGUUGAUAAUGGAGAUUGGUGUGAUUAUACUCACUUUCAUAUGGGUAUUAUGGCGAGCAAGAAACAAUAUGUUGUACAAAGGCUUGGUGAACUCGACACAUAUCUUCUUUAAUUAGAUCCAAAUGUUCUCUUAUAAUUGGAUUAGAAUAGAUAUAAAUGACGUAGGAAUGUGUCUUGUGAUCUUUGGUGCUUAGAUCCAAAAAUGUUUGUAAUGUUGUUUUCAACUAGUGUCUUGUUGGUUGCUGCCAUUUAAUAAUAUUUUUCUUGUUGUCCAAAAAAAGGAAAACAACACUGUCAAUUUGGCUACAGUUAAUAGUGAUUAUAACUGGGAUAUCUUGAAUAUUUACUUUAUGAUUGUUAUUUUAAUAUGCUUGUCCUCAAUAUCCAUUAUUGUUUCCAUUAUGUAGGAAUUACUGUCAAUUUGGCUACAGUUAAUAGUGAUUAUAACUGGGAUAUCUUGAAUAUUUACUUUAUGAUUGUUAUUUUAAUAUGCUUGUCCUCAAUAUCCAUUAUUGUUUCCAUUAUGUAGGAAUUACUGUCAAUUUGGCUACAGUUAAUAGUGAUUAUAACUGGGAUAUCUUGAAUAUUUACUUUAUGAUUGUUAUUUUAAUAUGCUUGUCCUCAAUAUCCAUUAUUGUUUCCAUUAUGUAGGAAUUAGAUGUAAAUAUUUUUAAAGGGAUGUGUGAUGCUCCGUUGUUAUGUCUGAUACUUUGUUGUUGAAAGAAGUAACGAUGUCAUUAGGGGUGUUGAACGGGUAAUUUUUUCGGGUUUCGGGUAAUUCGGGUCGGGUAAUUCGGGUUUUUCAUGUUAGAAAAAUUACCCGUUACCCUACCCAAACUAAAUUCGGGUAAUUCGGGUUUGGGUAAUUCGGGUAUCGGGUCGGGUUUGGGUAAUUUGGGUAAUACCCGAAAUAUAUUAUUUUUUUUUUGAAUUUCACCUGAAAAUAAAUUUAAUGAAAUAAAUAUGUCAUGCUUUAUUAGUCUUGUUUAUAUAAACAAACGAGACAUAAACGAAGUUACUCAAGCUUUGAACAUUGAGAUUUGUUAGUCAAUAAUACAUGAGAUAUCAUGUAAUUUUUUAACAAAUUAAUCUAAUCUAAUAAGAUGUUAAAAAAACAAAUACCUAAAGAUCUUAAUUUAAAAGUUUAAAAUGUUUAAGAUGAAUGUAGCCAUAAGUUUUGCCAUAUUCUGAAGUUUUGUCAAGAUAAUGAGUUUGUUAGUUGCAAUAAAAACUAUAAUCUAGAAAACAGUUAAGUUUUAGACAACGUGAUGAUAUAUAAAAAUUACUUUUAAUAUUGAUAGUGUCGUAUUGUCAUAAUAAAUAUAUUUAUGUUUUACAAUAAUGAUAGUUAGUUUAAGCGUGAUCAAAUACCUGCUACAUAGUACAAGCUCUACAAAAAAAAGGAAUUUUUAAAAUAAUUUGGGUAAUUCGGGUAUACCCGAAACCCAAAAAAUUUACCCUUUACCCGACCCGAAAAAAAUCGGGUAACCCGAUUACCCGGAAAAAUUUACCCGAUACCCGAUUUACCCGAUACCCGAAAAAAUUGAACGGGUAAUUCGGGUAUUUUCGACAGGGCUAGAUGUCAUAUGUAUGAUACAUGAUCUUCUUCAAUGGUUAGGGGUAAUUUGGUCAAUUUAUCUUAUGUCAAAUGAUAUUUUAUAUUUAAGGGAAAUUUGGUCAAUAUGCUUUAUUAUAAUGGUUUCAAAAUAUACUAACUAAUUCUAAGAUGUCAUAAAAUCUUUAAUUCUAUGAAAUUUAUGAAUAAUUAAAGUGUUAGAAUUUUCAUAAAUAUUUAGAAAGCAAUUAAGGUAGCAUUUUUUACUUGUCACAAGACUAGAUUAGGCUAAAAUACAAGAUGUUUUCCUAGAGUUGAAUUUGUUUCUUGGAUUAAAAACUAAACGUUAUAGAAUCAUAUUAAAAUUUUGUUUCUUACUAUGAUAUUUUACUUUGAAAAUCCUAAUUGUUGUAUCGUACUUUCAGUUUGUUACUUAUUAGGACAUUAUACUAUAAAAAUAUUUGUGUUGCAUUAUGUGCCCUGGCUUAACGGUUUCUUGUGGUGGUUCAGUCUGAGUUAACCCUGUCAUCACAACAAUGAAGAAGAAGCGUCAGUUGAUGUCCGGGAGGUGGUCCCGAGACGAAGCUCCACCGGUCUAGUUAGUGUGAGUGUGUACGAUAGAAUACAAAGGUAAGGGUUUUAGCUAUAACGAGGUCAUCCUCCUCUCUGAAGGAGUGUGAAUCCUUUUAUACCGAUCAUUUGUUGAUCCAGAUCCUAACGGUUUCCUUAGUCCCGUCUGGGCCGAUAGGAUGUAGGGAAGUCCCAUUGGUGAUUCGUCCACCACUAGUAGUCAUCUGUAAUAUUGGUGUAAUUGGAAUAAAGGAUAAAGCUCUGAGCAUUACACUUGUCACCCUAGGGAGUGGUCGAUUUUGUUUUAGCUUAUUAUAGACAGGAGAUUGUCAUCUGGAGUUAGACCUACGUGUGAGAGCGCCAAGCACAAGAGUCCUAGUGCGAGGCCGUGAGGGUGAGGUGAGGGUAUGGCAUUAGGCGGGUUACUAAUCUUUAGCUAGGUCAUCCUAAAGAUAGCAGCUCUAUUAUCUUUAACGUAUUCCUAGAGGGAUACGUUAACAAGUCCCCUAGGCAUAGGCCUAGGCAUUGGCGCAACAUGAUCUAGUUUGGAUGUUCGACUAUUAUGAUGGAACCGUUAGCGCCAAUGGUUUUAUCAUGAGGACGAUUCAAUAUUCCCACUCCUCAUUUAAACCUAUCUCAUUAAGAGUGGUUUUCUUCUCUCCUUUUCGUUCUCAACUGAUUUUGAAUUCUCUUUGCAUCCUCUUUCUUCUCUCUGUGCAGCUACGUUUUGAUUUCAGGAUGGAGCAUGGAGUGCAGCUUCCAAGGAAGAGGGCUACCAUCUAUCAGCCAUUGUCGGGCAUUCUCGAAUUCCCCAUUUGAAUCUUUAAAGUGGGGUUGUGGUUGCUGACGACUAAUUUCUUUGAUGAAAUCAUGUACCAGUAUGGCUUUUCUGUGGACGAUUUUGAAGGAUUUUGAGCAUUCUAACACUCCUAAGGUGUUCAUGCAACCCUUGUAACACCCAAAAUCCGAAAAACCAAGAAAGGAAAGGAAAGCCCUUAGCAUAAGGAGUCAACUCGACAAGUCGGAGCGGGCUCCGUGUGGAAAAGUAAGUGACCGACUCGACGAGUCAGCGAGUGGACUCGGCGAGUCUGGUCUGGGUUGGGAAACCCUAAUUCCGGGACAUGGUACCCUAUUUAAGCAUCUUAUUCUCUUCCCUAGGGUUCAUUCUAAUCCACUCUCGUCUAGAACCCAAAACCCUAGCCACCCAACUACGUUGUUUGAGCUUUUGAAGAAGAUUAAGGGCCAUUGGAGUGCAUCUUUGAGGCUUGGAGGGAAAAGGGCAAGGAAGGAAGAGUAGAUCCAGCCUCCAUAUAAAUUUGGCAACUGUUAGGAGGUAAAAUUCUAAAUCUUGAGCUUUCAAUUGGUAGAUAUCUUUCUAGCUUUGCCUUUUUUGUCACAAUUGGACCAUUUCCAAGUAGAAUCCGGGUAAUAAGCCUUUGAGGAUGGAUUGAACAGCUGAUCUGGACACUUUUGAGCUUUAGAAGCUCAAAGUGGUUGGCUUUAUCUAGUUAGGGUUCCAUUUCUUGACCUUCAUCUUCAUAAUUAGCUUGGAUUUGGUUUUCUAGCCUCAUAACACCUUUCAUGCACAUAAAGUUAGCAACUUUACAUGCAAUGCUAGCAUAAGGAGUCCAGAUCUAUGAGUUGGAGGUGUUGGGAUGGAUUGAAACCGACAGAGUAGAGAUGUCACAAGGAGGACUCGAUGAGUUAGUUCAUGGAAUCGGCGAGUCGGGUCGCAAACCCAAACCCUUAUGUUUAUAAGUCGGAUCAGUGAGUGGGGUUAAGGAGGAUUCAGUCAGUCAGGACCCAUAAUAGUUAUGAAGAUCAUAGAACUCGACGAGUUCAAUGAGGAACUCAUUGAGUCCAAGACAAUCUUCUUAGUUAUGAAAUCCGUAAAUAUAAAGAACGCCGGAAUCCGAAUUAUAACGAAGAAGUUAUCCCCCGUCGAUGUUUUUCGGCAAAACCGGCAUGGCACCGGGAGACGUAAAUAGUGAAUUUACGAUAGAGGACUUUUUAGCCGUAGUGAUCUAAACCAAAGUUGUAGUAUACGUUAAACCGACACAUACAAAAAAAGAACGCCCAAAUCUGACUUCAUAUGAGGAAGUUAUGAUUUUUCAAUGUUUCGGCUUAGCAGUGUACAGCCCGAAACUCGAAUUUUAGUUCGAGCGGUUUUUGGCUUAUGCGACCUAAAUGAGGUUUGAAGAUCUCAUUAAUAGGAACUCAUCAGUAAAAAUACAGACGAAAAUGGAGUCCGUAUGAAGGAAUUACGAAUUCUUCGUUGUCAUUUAAAAGUCUAAACUCCUCCUAGUGUUAAGUUUAAGAUCGGUCGAGAAUUAGCCGACGGAGACUAAACGAAAGUUGUAGAUCUUGUUUUUACCUACGCGUGGAAAAAACGAACGUCGAAAACGGAGCUCGUAUGCGAAAGUUACGGGGUUUAGAAGUCGGCAGGAUGCUGUUGCAAAAGGGGUGACGUGGCUGAAUAAGGGUCAAGGAUUUCUCCCCAAGGCAAGCCACCAGAGGGUGACAUCUGGCAUGGAAUCGAAGAGUAGAGCUGUUUUCUAGCCUAUAAAUAGUGGUUCCGGGCUCCCUCAUUCUUCACACCUUCCCAACUUCACUUUAUCUCUCUAAACUCUCUCUCUCUCUCUCUCUCUCUAACCCCCCAAAAAGCCUAGGGAACCUCUCUAGCACCCGAAGGAAGCCCCGAGGCUCCCAGAGUCCCGAGAGAAAGGGUCUUUCAACUCGGAAACGCUGCUCCAGCAAAGCCCAGUUUUGCGAAAAACCUGCGGUAAGUUAGCUAUGCCUAACCUAUCUUUAUUAUAACUUAUGUUUCAAUAUAGUAAUGUUAUUAGGACCUUAUAAGGAGUAUUUGGGCUAUUAUUAUGGGUUAUAUAAGUAUUGUUUAAUGCUUAUAUAAUAGUAGUAAUAGCUAGACUAUUAGUUAGUCUCGUCAAACGUUAGACUAAACUAUAGCGGUAAUGAUACUAGAUUUCCUCAAGGGAUAAUUGUUUUAAGAAUAACGAAGUGUUGUCCUAGUGCCGACUCACCACCUUACCAGGUUAGUGCAUAGUUACUUUCAUCUUACACAUAGAUAUGAGGUAUUUUAUUUAAAUUACGUGCUAUGUGUGCUUAUUAUCUGAAUACUUGUUGUCUAUGUUGGAUGAACGAUUUUAUACAUGUUUUAAAUGAUUUAAAUUGUAUAUGUAUUUUAUAUCUACGAUAAUCUUGGGGUAAAACGUUGGUAGAUGUAAUAGAUGGAGUAUGAGUUGGAUGAGGAGUUGAGAGGUGAAAUAGACCGUGAGAUGAGGGUGAGAGGUGGACGAUGUGAGAAGCCUUUUUCCCAAAUGAUGGCCCUGUCAUUCAGCAGAGUAUGGAUGACAACCACAGACUAUUCUAGACAGUCCAAUGGAACACCAGCAGGAUCGCAACCUGUAAGUGUUAUGAUCGAUGUGUUCACCCGGUGUACUCUAAACCUUGGUGAUCAUGCAGACUUAAUGCCUAAACCCUGGUGAUCAUGCAGACUUGAUGCCUAAACCUUGGUGAUCAAGCAGACUUGAUGCCUAAACCCUGACGACUAUGCAGACUUAGUGCCCGUUGUGUAAACCUUGGCAAUGAUGGACUUCGUGCCGAUUCCUUACGAUGAUCCUUAGGAAUGAGUGAAGGAGAAAUAGCUUAUUCUUAGGGUAGAUCCUUAAGAAUAAAGAAGAUAAUGGGGAUGGGUAAUUAGGUUGAUUUCUUGAUUGUUUAAACAUAAUAAUUAUAUUAUUAUGGGUUGAAAACCCUAUGUACUCACCAGGUUUCCCAACCUGACCCACUCAAUUUAUUUAUAUCACAGGUGUUGUUACGAUGUCACAUUACACUGAGAGAUUAAGGAGAUGUAAAUCACUAAUGAUAAUGAAUGUAAGUUCUGUUUAUGUUUAUGUUUCUAUAUUGACAAUGAUAUCCCAAAUGUUUUAAAAUAAAUAAAAAUACUUUUCUUCGGAAAUGCUUUGAUAACGUAUUUACCAUGUUUUACUGGGAACAUAUUCCGCAACUUUUUUAUUAAAAGAGGUAUUCUAAUUUUUAUAAAGCAUAAAUAAAAUCGGUCUUUUUUAGCUGAAUAAAUGGGGAUGUCACAGUUGGUAUCAGAGCAUUAGUUUAAGCGAACUAGGAAUUUGUAGGAUUUCUAGACUUAAACUUAGAAUGCUAAGCGAUGAUUCUGAGAUGUGAGCACUAGCUUUUUUUAGGAAUUGUCCCUAAAAAUGCUUUUAUGUGCUAAAUGCUUUGUGCCUGAUAUGUUGUUGUUUGAUCAGAUCUAUGGUUUGUCGCUGACCGGAUCUGGAAACCUUAUGUGUUUAGGAUUCCAAACGUACGAAUACGAUAUUAGAACUAGCAUAUAAACAUUUCGGAGUGAUAAUGAUGAUUUAAAACGUCAAUCCUAAAUCAAGAUCUAGAUUCACCUUAUUCGGUGUAUAGAUCAAAAUGGCAAGAACCCGCAAUGGAGCUGGGAAUGCAAAUGGGAAUAGGAAUCAACCCCCGGUGAUUCAGCAAAUACCUGUUGUAGUAGAAGAUGUACCCGAUCCAAUCACCAUGGCUGGAGUACAGGCCAUGAUUCGAGCUAUGUUAGCUGAACAAAGGGAAGAAAUGAGGCGGAUGUUGAAUAUGGAUGAACGUACCAUACCCGUUGAGCAAUCAGAGUUGAUUCCCGAGCAAUCGGAGGAAGGGAACUAUAGCCACCAAGUGAGUCAAGUUGGGAUACAAGGAGAACGAAGGAAUGGCCCAAAAAAGGGAAAUGACAAGGAUGGGCGAAUGUAUAAGAAUUUCUUGGGUGCCAAACCGCCAAGUCCUUCUAGAAGCCCGGAGCCGGUUGACAUUAUGGAUUGGAUCUCCGAGAUGGAGAUGGUGUUUGAAAGCUGCAGCUGUAGCGAGAAACAGAAGACUGUCUUCGCAGUAAGACAGCUGAAAACUGGAGUCUUGAGUUGGUGGAAGCUAUUGGCAGAUACGAUGUGUAACGACCAAAAAUUUGAGCAAAUUUUAAACAUUUUAUUUCAUUCAAAAACCAUUAAGUUCAUACAUCUUAUUUUUAAAGUAGUUUAAACAUCAAAGUAUCCCCCAGAACCAUAUCACAUGAAUCAUAAAACAUGAGGAGCGGUACGAUCACGCCUUCGCCUUGCCAUAAUCUCCUAAAGUACCUAAAACAAUACAUUAAAUUGUAUGCCCGAAACCUUAGUGAGUUACCUCCAAAAUACCAACCACAUACAACCAUAAUCAUAACAUAUUAUAUCACAAUAUAGAACAACCAUGCCUCUCAAGUCUGCAGUGUGACUGGUCCGCCCUGAACAGGCCUUUAGUUCACCUGGUCCACUCUGUGAGUCUACAGUAUGACUGGACCGCCCACACCGGGCCUUCAGUCUAUCGGGAUCUAUCUGAGCCUUCGGUAUGACUGGACCGCCAUACGUGCCUACAAUCUAACCGCUCGUACGGUAUGUUGGCCUUCAGCACAAAGCAGGACCGUCUCAACCCAAACAUCAAGCAAAUAACCAUGUGUACAUAUAACAGGAAAUCACAUAACAGUCCAUAGGCAAACAAAUCGAUGUAGCAGAUCAUAAAGCAUAGAAUCAUCCUUACCAGGAUAUCAACCUAACCGGUCACUAACAUAGCAUCAUCCUAUAUACUAGGAUACCGACCUAUACUAGGUCACUAACAUAACAUCAUCCUAUGUAUCAGGAUAUCGACCUAACCGGUCACUAACAUAGCAUCAUCCUAUAAACCAGGAUACCGACUUAAACCAGGUCACUAACAUAGCAUCAUCCUAUAUAACAGGAUACCGGCCUAAACUAAGUCACUGACAUAAUACUGUCCUAACUACCAGGAUGCCAAUCUAACAGAUCAACAAGCACAUCAACAGGACAAGUACAAAUAUCAGAUAUAACUAUCUCACAGAUCAUCGAUCAUAGCAAUCUCUCAUGACUAAGGCAUCGACUUAACCAGGUCACUAACAUACCAAUCCUAACGGAUCACAUGAGCAUAACAACAUACUGUCUAUUGUGAUACCAAUCUAACAGAUCAUAACCACAUGUAGCAUACUGUAACCAAGAUAACAACUAAAAGGGCCGACCUUGGUGCCUUAGACCCUAUUUAUAAAGUGAGGAUAACUCACCUGAAAUUGUUGACUGAAAAGAUAAGACCAAGCUGCUCCGACCUCCGGCACGAUCGCCGCCACUGAACACUACCAAAAAACCAAUUCCAUAAAUACCAAUAUUUCCAAAGUACCCUUGGAAGUUAAACUGGUCAACUCUUGGUCAAGGUCAAAGUCCUCAGUCAAAGUCAACCUUCCUGGAUGACUCUACUCGCCGAGUCACCUCGUCGACUUGCCGAGUUCCAUUACCUAGAAAACUCAAAUGACACAACUUAACUAGCCGAGUCACCCCAAGACUCACUGAGUCUAACGAUCUCUGAGUCCCAUCUUGUCCAACUCACUAAGUCGUCAAUCGACUCACUAAUCCAAGGCUUUAACCAAAAGAGGUUGGGGUUCUGUGACCUGACUCGCCGAGUCCAAGAACAGACUCACCGAGUCCAAGGCAAUCUUCAACCGACUCGCCGAGUUGUUCUUCCAACUCGUCGAGUCCAUGCACGUGUUCAUACAACUCGUCGAGUACACCCAUGUGACUUGCCGAGUCUCUCCAGUUCUCAAUCCAUUCAGAGGCUUUUUGAGCCAUGCUGAGGCUCCAAUCCGUAGAUCCACCCUUCUACAAUCUAUCCCUCACAUAAAGUUGCAAACUUUACGUGAAACCAAAGAGAUAUGGGCCAAAACACACUAGGGAUUAGGUUUUAGACAAAAGGGUUUCACCAACAAUUCAAUAACUGAUGCUUUAUGACUUUCUGGACCAAUACAAGUCUAUAUUUGAAGUAGCAACCUCAGAUCUGGACUCUAAACUCGAAGUGGAUCUCAAUCAUACCAAAAUGGCCCCAAAUCUCAUUCAAGAAUAAAUCUAGAAGCAACAAAGGAAUGGUAACAGCUCAUUACCUCCAAGAUGUGCCCAAAACUGUAGUAGAUUUUGGAUCUACACUACUUUCUUGAUGCAAACCCUUUUGAUCUUCAAGUUUCUUCCACUAGAACACCUCUCAAAGCUUCAAUCUCCCUCCAAUGGCCUUAUACACACGAGCUAGGGUUUAGUGGAUCUCAAAGGGGGCUAAGGGAGCUGAAGGGAGGACAUUAAGCCCUUUAAAUAGGGCGCAAACCCUAAGAUUACGGGUUUUCACAUCCCAGCACCAACUCGUCGAGUCCAGCUUCCGACUCGGCGAGUUGGUCACUUAAUUCGUGAUCCAAACCCGCUCCGACUCGGCAAGUAAGCGUACCUACUCGUCGAGUCCCUUCUUCAAAAUUACACUUUAAACUAUUAAAUCGUACUUCUGAAAUUCAGGAUGUUACACGAUGCCACGAGGAGAAGCCGUAAGGAUGUCAUGGGAAAAGUUCUUGGAAGAGUUGAAAAUGCAGUACUGCUCAGAGAUAGAUCUGAUAGACCUAAACAACGAGUUUCAGAACCUGAAGAAAGGGAAGAUGAGCGUUGAUGAGUAACACAUCACAUUCACUGAGAGGAUGAAGCUAUUUCCCUACUUGGUUCCUACUGAACUCUCCAGGAUUGAUAGGUUUGCUAACGGACUGCCUACAGACUUCCGCCCAAUGGUCAAAAUGGUAACUACCUUGAAAACAGCUGUUAGAGCAGCUAAGAAUGUAUAGACCGAAAUAAGAGAAAGGGGUCUAGAAAAAGACAAGGUAUGAGAAAAAAGGAAGCUUGAAGGAUCUUCAAAAUCCAACAAAGAAAGGAAAUUCUCAAAGACUAAAGAAGGAGGAGGAGAUGAAGCCAAGUGGUGCGAGAAGUCUAAAAAGAAGCACUUCGGGAAAUGUUGCGAGGAGGUGACUUGCUACAGAUGUGGAAAGACAGGGCAUUACGCCAGCAAGUGUGUGUCCAACAAGAAGGUGUGCUAUGGGUGUAACAAGGAAAAGCAUAUUUCUAGGGACUGCCCAAAGAAAAAUGAGGCAGCAAGGCCAAACACGCCACCAAGGCCAAGGGCAUUCCACAUGAUCCUUGACGAAGCAGAAAACCAUGCGAGGAAUCAAGGAUGAGGAAUUCAUACCCGAGGAUCAAGUUAUGAAGUAACCAAGGGGAUAGAAUCAUAUGAUGUAGCCUAUUAGAGGCAUAGUCUAGGGUGAACUUGAACACCUAUGUAAUAGUUUCAAGAAAUAAAAAAGCCUUCGUUUCGUUAUCUGAUGUGUUAAACUGUUAUAUGAUUUUCUUGUAUGGUGACUUGGGGACUGCGAGACAAUACUUGGGACGAGUAUGAGUAGGUGUGAAAGGUAGUAGAUGCAUAUACUACCGGAAGUACAUGACUCACGUUUGGAUCAGGGAAAGUCACAAGGUUACCAAGAAGCCAAUAAUUGAUUCCGUUAUAUUCAAGCAUGUCGUUACCAUCGUUUCGGUAAUGACUAAGAAGAUUGUUGUUAUUCUGACCCUAGUGGUCAUAUCAAAUUGAUUCCGACUACGCUAAGUAUGUUAUGCGGCUUAGAGAAUCAAGUUCGAUGUAGCAUUUGACUUAAGACGGAAGAUUGAAAUAAAAAGCAAUCAGUAGAGGUAUCGCAAAAAGUUGCUUGUAGCUAGAAAAGCUACCUUUUAAGAUGUGGUUAGAACAUGAAGGAAGGUAUAAGUUUGUUCUGGAAUUUGACUCUAAAAGACCUGAGUUCAAGCGAUGUAUCAUACGAUGAGAGGUCAUUAGAACAUGACCCAUCGGUCUAUUAUGAUAAUUGAAGGAAGAGACUUAACUCAAGUUUAUUAAUUAAGUAGUCUCAAAUAAAGAUCAAGAUCGUGACAUGAAGAUCAUGACUGAAAGUCUAACAUGAGAUUGAGAGCGGGUCAAAGAUCGGGUACCGCCUGCGGUCAGGAUGUCUUAGAGUUAGAUACUCGUUCAAAGAAACAUCAAAGUACAGUAAUUACUUAGUAUGAAGAGAUAACGUCUGGAUUCAUCAUGUGAGCCUUGUUUCGUUGAUGAUUCCGAGACGUAAUCAUCCUAAGGGGGACAUAAUUGUAAUGCCCGUAGAUCCGAGCUAGUCAAUUUACAGAUAAUAGGGGUCGAAAACGACUUUUUGAGAAAAUAUUAUUUAGAAUAAAUAAUCUUAAUGAAGUUGUAGAAUAUGUUUCAAGGGUUCCGUACAUAUAAAGAACGACGAAAUCCGAAUUAUAACGAAGUUUUUCGGCAAAACCAGCACGGCACCGGGAGAAGUAAAUAGUGAAUUUACGAUAGAGGACUUUUUAGCCUUAGUGAUCUAAACCAAAGUUGUAGUAUAUAUUAAACCGAGAACAUACAAGAAAAAAAGAACGCCCAAAUCUGACUUCGUAUGACGAAGUUAUGAUUUUUCAAAGUUUCGGCUUAGCAGUGUACAGCCCGAAACUCGAAUUUUAUUUCGAGUGGUUUUUGGCUUAUGCGACCUAAAUGAGGGUUGAAGAUCUCAUUAAUAGGAACUGAACGGUAAAAAUACAGACAGAAACAGAGUCUGUAUGAAGGAAUUACGAGCUCUUCGCGGUCAUUUAACAAUCUAAACUCCUCCUAAUGUUAAGUUUAAGAUCGGUCAAGAAUUAGCCGAUGGAGUCUAAAUGAAAGUUGUAGAUCUUGUUUUUACCUACGCGUGGAAGGAAAGAACGUAAAAAAUGGAGCUCGUAUGCGAAAGUUACGGGGUUAGAAGUCGGCAGGAUGUUGCUGCAAAAGGGGUGACAUGGCUGAAUAAGGAUCAAGGCUUUCUACCCAAGGCAAGCUACCAGAGGGUGACACCUGGCAUGGACUCGACGAGUAGAGGACCUACUCGACGGGUAGAACUAUUUUCCAGCCUAUAAAUAGAGGUGUCAGGCUCCCUCAUUCUUCACACCUUCCCAACUUCACUUUCUCUCUCUAAACUCUCUCUCUAACCACCCAAACCCCCCAAAAAGCCUAGGGAACCUCCCUAGCACCCGAAGGAAGCCCCAAGGCUCCCAGAGUCCCAAGAAAAAGGGUCUUUCGGCUCGGAAACGCUGCUCCAACGAAGCCCAGUUUUGCGAAAAACCUGCUGUAAGUGAGCUAUGCCUACCCUAUCUUUAGUGUAGCUUAUGUUUCAAUAUAGUAAUGUUAUUAGGACCUUAUAAGGAGUAUUUGGGCGAUUAUUAUGGGUUAUAUAAGUAUUGCUUAACGCUUAUACAAUAGUAAUAAUAGCUAGAUUAUUAAUUAGUCUCGUCAAACGUUAGACUAAACUCUAGUGGUCAUGAUACUAGGUUUCGUCAAGGGAUAAUUGUUUUAAGAGUAACGAAGUGCUGUCCGAGUGCCGAAUCACCACCUUACCAGGUGAGUGCAUAGUUACUUUCAUAUUACACAUAGAUAUGAAGUAUUUUAUAUAAAUUACGUGCUAUGUGUGCUUAUUAUCUGAAUACUUGGUGUCUAUACUGGAUGAACGAUUUUAUACAUGUUUUAAAUGAUUUAAACUGUAUAUGUAUUUUAUAUCUACGAUAAUGUUGGGGAAAACAUGGGUAGAUGUAAUAGAUGGAGUAUGAGUUGGAUGAGGAGUUGAGAGGUGAAACAGACCGUGAGGUGAGGGUGACAGGUGGACUAUAUGAGAAGCCUUUUUCCCAAAUGAUGGCCCCAUCAUUCAGCAGAGUAUGCAUGACAACCAUAGACUAUUCUAGACAGUCCAGUGGAACACUAGCAGGCUCGCAACCUGUAAGUGUUGUGAACGAUAUGUUCACCCGGUGUACUCUAGACCUUGGUGAUCAUGCAGACUUGAUGCCUCAACCCUGGUGAUCAUGCAGACUUGAUGCCUAAACCUUGGUGAUCAUGCAGACUUGAUGCCUAAACCCUAGCGACUAUGCAGACUUACUGCCCGUUGUGUAAACCGUGGCAACGAUGGACCUCUUGCCGAUUCCUUAGGAUGAUACUUAGGAAUGAGUGAACGAGAAAUAGCUGAUUCUUAGGGUAGAUCCUUAAGAAUAAAGAAGAUAAUGGGGAUGGGUAAUUGGGUUGACUGCUUGAUUGUUUAAACAUAGUAAUUAUAUUAUUGUGGGGUGAAAACCCUAUGUACUCACCAGGUUUCCCAACCUGACCCACUUAGUUUAUUUAAUUCACAUGUGUUGUUACGAUGUCACAUUACACUAAGAGAUUAAGGAGAUCUAAAUCACUAGUGAUAAUGAAUGUAAGUUCUGUUUAUGCUUAUUUUUCUGUAUUGACGAUGACAUCCCAAAUGUUUUAAAAUGAAUAAAAAUACUUUUCUUCGAAAUGCUUUGAAAACGUAUUUAUCAUGUUUUACUGGGAAUAAAUUCCGCAACAUUUUUAUUAAAAGAGGUACCCUGAUUUUUAUAAAGCAUAAACAAAAUCGGUCUUUUUUGGCCGUGAAAAUGGAGAUGACACAGUGGGCAAGGCCCAAGUUAGUCCGGAAUUCGGUCCGAUGCAGAGGGUAACGCCCCAGUUAGUCCGGACUUCGGUCCGAUACAUUAGGUAAGUCCCAAGUUAGUCCGGACAUUGGUCCGAUGCAGGGGGCAAGGCCGCAGUUAGUCCGGACCUCGGUCUGAUGCAGUGGGCAAGGCCCAGUAUGUGCUUUAUAUGUUAUUGUAUGGUAUGUGGUAGUUUGGGGGAGCUCACUAAGCUUUGUGCUUACAGUUUUCAGUUUUGGUUUCAGGUACUUCCAGUAGCGGAGGGAGGAGCUCGGGAUGAUCACAUAGCACACACCAUAGUUAGUCAGCCUGGGAUGUUUUACUCUGAUAAUAAGAAUAUGUUUUGAAUUAACACUUUGAUUUUAUGUUAUGAUUUAUGUUAUGGGUUGACAAUCGUGGUUUAAGUAAUGUUUUUCAAACGAAAUUUUUAGACUGUAUUUUUGGGAUGUUACAACCCUAAAUACCUUGGAUCUAUUUAUUCACUAUUAUACAUGCAAACUUGAAGUUUCCAAGGUAUUACCCUAACUGGCAUACAAAACUUUGAUACAUAGUGAAUAAAACAAGUUAGGAAACAUACCUUUUGUUGUGGCUUAUUACUUAGAGCUUUAAGAGCUUAGCACCAAUAAUGUGAAUGUCUCAAGUGGAAUCACAAAUCACCGCCAACACUUUGGAAACUUGGAAGAGAACUAUGAUGCUCACAAAAAUCAGCCUCUAUAUGUCAACACCCUAGGGGUCCAUUUUCUUGAACCAAAGGGCUUCUUAUGUAGUAUGCACAUUAGGGUUACACCAUGUAACUCAUGACUUUCCACAUUCCUCAUGAUCCAUGGGUUUUAACCUCCAUGGAGCAUCCAUAGGUAACCACAUCAUUUAAUCCCAACAUAAGGAAUCAUUGAUCAUUAGCCCACAUUAUAAGAAUCAAUGAUUUACACAAUUAAUCCCUAUAUAUUUAAUUAGUCUCUUUUGACAAAAAAAAUGAAUGAAAUGUGUAAAAGUUAGUAUGAUGGGCAUUUUAUGGUGUACUUUGUAUGGUAUUUGAAAUUAAAUACGGUAUUUGACAAAAAUAAAAAUGGGAAUUUUUAAAAUUUAAAAUUUUUAUUUUUUAAGAAAACGUAAAUAGCGACGGAGUAGCGACCGAAUUUCCGUCGCUAAAUUGGUCUGCAGGUAAGUAGUCAAUCUUGAGUUCCGUCACUAAUUCGUAGUAAUUAUGUAGCUAUACCGUAGGAAAAAGUCAAUUUUAGUCAAACUUGAAUCCCGUUGACAAUUUAUAGUAAAUUCGUAGCUAUUCUGUAGGAAAAAAGUCGAACUUUAAUCAUGUUGAUAAUCCAUAGGAAAUCCGUAGCAAUUUAAUUUCGUGGCUAUUAUAGCUACGGAAAAAGCCAUAGCUAAUCUGUAGCUAGUUCGUCGCAAUUCUGUAGUUAUAAUUUUCCGACGGCCAUUUAUGCUACAGAGCAUUUUUCGUAGCAAUUCCGUAGCUAUCACCGUAUACAUACGCAAUACCUAUGGAUUGUGCCACAGCUAAAGUCCUAGUUUUCUAGUAGUGUAUGCUUAGUAAUUUCUUAUUAAUUAUCUUUUCUUUUUAUUAUGAUUUACAAUUUUUCAACAUUGUUAUUGCUACUCAAGCGGUGCCACUUUUUACUUAAUACAAUAUCAACGAUCCAAUUAGAGAAUGAUCAUUUUUGGAAGUUUUUAUCAUUGUAGUCUCGAAUCAUUUUGCUUUUCAAACUUGCGCAAAUGGCACGGGGGCUUCCGCUAGUUUUCUAAUAAAACACCAAUAAUUGGAUCUUUAACCUAUGCUUCUUUUCACAAAUGUGCAUUUUUGGUUCUUAAUGUAUAAUGUUAUAUAUGAGUAUAAUACUUUCAUUUUUUUAUUUUAAGUUGGUCUUGAGUUUAUCAUGAACACUACCAAAGAAACAAUUCCAUAAAUACCAAUAUUACCAAAGUACCCUUGGAAGUCAAACUGGUAAACUCUUGGUCAAGGUCAAAGUCCUCAGUCAAAGUCAACCUUCCUGGAUGACUCUACUCGCCGAGUCACCUCGUCGACUCGCCGAGUUCCAUUACCUAGAAAACUCUCAUGACACAACUUAACUAGCCGAGUCACCCCAAGACUCGCUGAGUCUAAUGAUCUCUGAGUCCCAUCUUGUCCAACUCACUGAGUCGUCAAUCGACUCACUAAUCCAAGGCUUUAACCAAAAGAGGUUGGGGUUCUGUGACCUGACUCGCCGAGUCCAAGAACAGACUCACCGAGUCCAAGGCAAUCUUCAACCGACUCGCCGAGUUGUUCUUCCAACUCGUCGAGUCCAUGCACGUGUUCAUACAACUCGUCGAGUACACCCAUGUGACUCGCCGAGUCUCUCCAGUUCUCAGUCCAUUCAGAGGCUUUACGAGCCAUGCUGAGGCUCCAAUACGUAGAUCCACCAUUCUACAAUCUAUCCUUCACAUAAAGUUGCAAACUUUACGUGAAACCAAAGAGAUAUGGGCCGAAAACACACUAGGGAUUGGGUUUUAGACAAAAGGGUUUCACCAACAAUUCAAUAACUGAUGCUUUAUGACUUUCUGGCCAAAUACAAGUCUAGAUUUGUAGUAGCAACCUCAGAUCUAGACUCUAAACUCGAAGUGGAUCUCAAUCAUACCAAAAUGGCCCCAAAUCUCAUUCAAGAAUAAAUCUAGAAGCAACAAAGGAAUGGUAAUAACUCAUUACCUCCAAGAUGUGCCUAAAACUGUAGUAGAUUCUGGAUCUACACUACUUUCUUGAUGCAAACCCUUUUGAUCUUCAAGUUUCUUCCACUAGAGCACCUCUCAAAGCUUCAAUCUCCCUCCAAUGGCCUUAUACACACGAGCUAGGGUUUAGUGGAUCUCAAAGUGGGCUAAGGGAGCUGAAGGGAGGACAUUAAGCCCUUUAAAUAGGGCGCAAACCCUAAGAUUAGGGUUUUUCACAUCCUAGCACCAACUCGGCGAGUUGGUCAGUUAAUUCGUGACCUAAACCCGCUCCGACUUAGUGAGUAAGCGUACCUACUCGUCAAGUCCCUUCUUCGAAACUACACAUUAAACUCUUAAAUCGUACUUCUGAAAUUCAGGAUGUUACACGAUGCCACGAGGAGAAGCCCUAAGGAUGUCAUGGGAAAAGUUCUUGGAACAGUUGAAAAUGCAGUACUGCUCAGAGAUAGAUCUGAUAGACCUAAACAACGAGUUUCAGAACCUGAAGAAAGGGAAGAUGAGCGUUGAUGAGUAAGACACCACAUUCACUGAGAGGAUGAAGCUAUUUCCCUACUUGGUUCCUACUAAACUCUCCAAGAUUGAUAGGUUUGCUAACGGACUACCUACAGACUUGGCCCAAUGGUCAAAAUGGCAACUACCUUGAAAACAACUGUUAUAGCAGCUAAGAAUGUAUAGACCCAAUUAAGAGAAAGGGGUCUAGAAAAAGACUAGGUCGGAGAAAAAAGGAAAUAUGAAGGAUCUUCAAAAUCCAACAAAGAAAGGAAAUUCUCAAAGACUAAAGAAUGAGGAGGAGAUGAAGCUAAGUGGUGCGAGAAGUGUAAAAAGAAGCACUUCGGGAAAUGUUGCAAGGAGGUGACUUGCUACAGAUGUGGAAAGACACGGCAUUACGCCAGCAAGUGUGUGUCCAACAAGAAGGUGUGCUAUGGGUGUAACAAGGAAAGGCAUAUUUCUAGGGACUGCCGAAAGAAAAAUGAGGCAGCAAGGCCAAACACGCCACUAAGGCCAAGGGCAUUCCACAUGAUCCUUGACGAAGCAGAAAACCAUGCGAGGAAUCAAGGAUGAGGAAUUCAUACCCGAGGAUCAAGUUAUGAAGUAACCAAGGGGAUAGAAUCAUAUGAUGUAGCCUAUUAGAGGCAUAGUCUAGGGUGAACUUGAACACCUAUGUAAUAGUUUCAAGAAAUAAUAAAGCCUUCGUUUCGUUAUCUGAUGUGUUAAACUGUUAUAUGAUUUUCUUGUAUGGUGACUUGGGGACUGCGAGACAAUACUUGGGACGAGUAUGAGUAGGUGUGAAAGGUAGUAGAUGCAUAUACUACCGGAAGUACAGGACUCACGUUUGGAUCAGGGAAAGUCACAAGGUUACCAAGAAGCCAAUAAUUGAUUCCGUUAUAUUCAAGCAUGUCGUUACCAUCGUUUCGGUAAUGACUAAGAAGAUUGUUGUUAUUCUGACCCUAGUGGUCAUAUCAAAUUGAUUCCGACUACGCUAAGUAUGUUAUGCGGCUUAGAGAAUCAAGUUCGAUGUAGCAUUUGACUUAAGACGGAAGAUUGAAAUAAAAAGCAAUCAGUAGAGGUAUCGCAAAAAGUUGCUUGUAGCUAGAAAAGCUACCUUUUAAGAUGUGGUUAGAACAUGAAGGAAGGUAUAAGUUUGUUCUGGAAUUUGACUCUAAAAGACCUGAGUCCAAGCGAUGUAUCAUACGAUGAGAGGUCAUUAGAACAUGACCCAUCGGUCUAUUAUGAUAAUUGAAGGAAGAGACUUAACUCAAGUUUAUUAAUUAAGUAGUCUCAAAUAAAGAUCAAGAUCGUGACAUGAAGAUCAUGACUGAAAGUCUAACAUGAGAUUGAGAGCGGGUCAAAGAUCGGGUACCGCCUGCGGUCAGGAUGUCUUAGAGUUAGAUACUCGUUCAAAGAAACAUCAAAGUACAGUAAUUACUUAGUAUGAAGAGAUAACGUAUGGAUUCAUCAUGUGAGCCUUGUUUCGUUGAUGAUUCCGGGUAUAAGUAAUCAUCCUAAGGGGGAGAUAAUUGUAACGCCCAUAGAUCCGGGCUAGUCAAUUUUGAGAUAAUAGGGGUCGAAAACGACUUUUCGACAAAAGAUUAUUUAGAAUAAAUAAUCUUAACGAAGUUGUAGAAUAUGUCUCAAGGGUUCCGUACAUAUAAAGAACGACGAAAUCCGAAUUAUAACGAAGUUUUUCAGCAAAAUCGGCACGGCACCGGGAGAAGUAAAUAGUGAAUUUACGAUAGAGGACUUUUAAGCCUUAGUGAUCUAAACCAAAGUUGUAAUAUACAUUAAACCGAGAACAUACAAAAAAAAAAGAACGCCCAAAUCUGACUUCGUAUGACGAAGUUAUGAUUUUUCAAAGUUUCGGCUUAGCAGUGUAUAGCCCAGAACUCGAAUUUUAGUUCAAGCGGUUUUUAAAUUAUGCGACCUAAAUGAGGGUUGAAGAUCUCAUUAAUAGGAACUGAACGGUAAAAAUACAGAUGAAAACGGAGUCAGUAUGAAGGAAUUACGAGCUCUUCGCGGUCAUUUAACGGUCUAAACUCCUCCUAUUGUUAAGUUUAAGAUCGGUCGAGAAGUAGCCGACGGAGUCUAAAUGAAAGUUGUAGAUCUUGUUUUUACCUAGGCGUGGAAAAAACGAACGUCGAAAAUGGAGCCCGCAUGCGAAAGUUACGGCAUUUAGAAGUCGGUAGGAUGCUGCUGCAAAAGGGGUGACGUGGCUGACUAAGGGUCAAGGCUUUCUCCCCAAGGCAAGCCACUAGAGGGUGACAUCUGGCAUGGACUCGACGAGUAGAGCUGUUUUCCAGACUAUAAAUAGUGGUACCGGGCUCCCUCAUUCUUCACACCUUCGCAACUUCACUUUCUCUCUCUAAACUCUCUCUCUCUCUCUCUAACCCCCCCCAUAAAGCCUAGGGAACCUCUCUAGCACCUGAAGGAAGCCCCGAGGCUCCCAGAGUCCCGAGAAAAAAGGGUCUUUCAGCUCGGAAACGCUGCUCCAGCAAAGCCCAGUUUUGCGAAAAACCCGCGGUAAGUUAGCUAUGCCUACCCUAUCUUUAGUAUAGCUUAUGUUUCAAUAUAGUAAUGUUAUUAGGAACUUAUAAGGAGUAUUUGGGCUAUUAUUAUGGGUUAUAUAAGUAUUGUUUAACGCUUAUAUAAUAGUAGUAAUAGCUAGACUAUUAAUUAGUCUCGUCAAACAUUAGACUAAACUCUAGUGAUAAUGAUGCUAGGUUUACUCAAGGGAUAAUUGUUUUAAGAAUAACGAAGUGUUGUCCUAGUGCCGACUCACCACCUUACCAGGUUAGUGCAUAGUUACUUUCAUCUUACAUAUAGAUAUGAGGUAUUUUAUUUAAAUUACGUUCUAUGUGUGCUUAUUAUCUGAAUACUUGUUGUCUAUGUUGGAUGAACGAUUUUAUACAUGUUUUAAAUGAUUUAAACUAUAUAUGUAUUUUAUAUCUACGAUAAUCUUGGGGUAAAACAUUGGUAGAUGUAAUAGAUGGAGUAUGAGUUGGAUGAGGAGUUGAGAGGUGAAAUAGACCGUGAGAUGAGGGUGAGAGGUGGACGAUGUGAGAAGCCUUUUUCCCAAAUGAUGGCCCCGUCACUCAGUAGAGUAUGGAUGACAACCACAUACUAUUCUAGACAGUCCAAUGGAACACUAGCAGGAUCGCAACCUGUAAGUGUUGUGAUCGAUGUGUUCACCCGGUGUACUCUAAACCUUGGUGAUCAUGCAGACUUAAUGCCUAGACCCUGGUGAUCAUCCAGACUUGAUGCCUAAACCUUGGUGAUCAUGCAGACUUGAUGCCUAAACCCUGUCGACUAUGCAGACUUAGUGCUCGUUGUGUAAACCUUGGCAAUGAUGAACUUCGUGCCGAUUCCUUAUGAUGAUCCUUAGGAAUGAGUGAAGGAGAAAUAGUUGAUUCUUAGGGUAGAUCCUUAAGAAUUAAGAAGAUAAUGGGGAUGGCUAAUUAGGUUGAUUUCUUGAUUGUUUAAACAUAAUAAUUAUAUUAUUAUGGGCUGAAAACCCUAUGUACUCACCAGGUUUCCCAACCUGACCCACUGAGUUUAUUUAUAUCACAGGUGUUGUUACGAUGUCACAUUACACUGAGAGAUUAAGGAGAUGUAAAUCACUAAUGAUAAUGAAUGUAAGUUCUAUUUAUGCUUAUGUUUCUAUAUUGACGAUGAUAUCCCAAAUCUUUUAAAAUGAAUAAAAAUACUUUUCUUCGGAAAUGCUUUGAUAACGUAUUUAUCAUGUUUUACUGGGAACAAAUUCCACAACAUAUUUAUUAAAAGUGGUACGUCAAAAAUGAAAGUUGUAGAUCUUGUUUUUAGCUACGCGUGGAAUGAAAGAACGUCAAAAAUGGAGCUCGUAUGCGAAAGUUACGGGGUUUAGAAGUCGGCAGGAUGUUGCUGCAAAAAGGGUGACAUGGCUGAAUAAGGAUCAAGGAUUUCUCCCAAAGGCAAGCUACCAGAGGGUGACACCUGGCAUGGAAUCGACGAGUAGGAGGACCUACUCGACGAGUAGAACUAUUUUCCAGCCUAUAAAUAGAGGUGUCGGGCUCCCUCAUUCUUCACACCUUCCAAACUUCACUUUCUCUCUCUAAACUCUCUCUCUAACCACCCAAACCCCCCAAAAAGCCUAGGAAACCUCCCUAGCACCCGAAGGAAGACCCGAGGCUCCCAGAGUCCCGAGAAAAAAGGUCUUUCGGCUCAGAAAUGCUGCUCCAGCGAAGCCCGGUUUUGCGAAAAACCUGCUGUAAGUGAGCUAUGCCUACCCUAUCUUUAGUAUAGCUUAUGUUUCAAUAUAGUAAUGUUAUUAGGACCUUAUAAGGAGUAUUUGGGCUAUUAUUAUGGGUUAGAUAAGUAUUCUUUCAUACUUAUACAAUAGUAAUAAUAGCUAGAGUAUUAAUUAGUUUCAUCAAACAUUAGACUAAACUCUAGUGGUCAUGAUACUAGGUUUCGUCAAGGGAUAAUUGUUUUAAGAGUAACGAAGUGCUGUCUGAGUGCCGACUCACCACCUUACCAGGUGAGGGCAUAGUUACUUUCAUCUUACACAUAGAUAUGAAGUAUUUUAUAUAAAUUACGUGCUAUGUGUGCUUAUUAUCUGAAUACUUGGUGUCUAUGCUGGAUGAACGAUUUUAUACAUGUUUUAAAUGAUUUAAACUGUAUAUGUAUUUUAUAUCUACGAUAAUGUUGGGGAAAAACAUGGGUAGGUGUAAUAGAUGGAGUAUGAGUUGGAUGAUAAGUUGAGAGGUGAAAUAGACCGUGAGGUGAGGGUGACAGGUGGACGAUAUGAGAAGCCUUUUUCCCAAAUGACGGCCCCAUCAUUCAGCAGAGUAUGCAUGACAACCAUAGACUAUUCUAGACAGUCCAGUGGAACACUAGCAGGCUCGCAACCUGUAAGUGUUGUGAACAAUGUGUUCACCCGGUGUACUCUAGACCUUGGUGAUCAUGCAGACAUGAUGCCUCAACCCUGGUGAUCAUGCAGACUUGAUGCCUAAACCUUGGUGAUCAUGUAGACUUGAUGCCUAAACCUUGGUAAUCAUGGAAACUUGACGCUUAAACCCUGGCGACUAUGCAGACUUAGUGCCCGUUGUGUAAGCCGUGGCAACGAUGGACCUCUUGCCGAUUCCUUAGGAUGAUACUUAGGAAUGCGUGAACAAGAAAUAGCUGAUUCUUAGGGUAGAUCCUUAAUAAGAAAGAAGAUAAUGGGGAUGGCUAAUUGGGUUGAUUGCUUGAUUGUUUAAAUAUAGUAAUUAUAUUAUUGUGGGUUGAAAACCCUAUGUACUCACCAGGUUUCCCAACCUGACUCACUCAGUUUAUUUAAUUCACAUGUGUUGUUACGAUGCCACAUUACACUGAGAGAUUAAGGAGAUCUAAAUCACUAGUGAUAAUGAAUGUAAGUUCUGUUUAUGCUUAUUUUUCUAUAUUGAGAAUGACAUCCCAAAUGGUUUAAAAUGAAUAAAAAUACUUUUCUUCGGAAAUGCUUUGAUAACGUAUUUAUCAUGUUUUACUGGGAACAAAUUCUGCAACAUUUUUAUUAAAAGAGGUACUCUGAUUUUUAUAAAGCAUAAACAAAAUCGUUCUUUUUUGGCCGAGAAAUUGGGGAUUUCACAGUGUGCAAGGCCCAAGUUAGUCCGGAAUUCGCUCCGAUGCAGAGGGUAAGGCCCCAGUUAGUCCGGACUUCGGUCCGAUACAUUGGGCAAGGCCCAAGUUAGUCCGGACUUUGGUCCGAUGAAGGGGGCAAGGCCCUAGUUACUCCGGACCUCGGUCUGAUGCAGUGGGCAAGGCCCAGUCUGUGCUUUAUAUGUUAUUGUAUGGUAUGUGGUAGUUUGGGGGAGCUCACUAAGCUUUGUGCUUACAAUUUUCAGUUUUGGUUUCAGGUACUUGUAGUAGCGGAGGGAGGAGCUCGGGAUGAUCACAUAGCACACACCAUAGUUAGUCAGUCUGGGAUGUUUUACUCUGAUAAUAAGAAUAUGUUUUGAAUUAGCACUUUGAUUUUAUGUUAUGAUUUAUGUUAUGGGUUGACAAUCGGGGUUUAAGUAAUGUUUUUCAAACGAAAUUUUUAGACUGUAUUUUUGGGAUGUUACAACCCUAAAUACCUUGGAUCUAUUUAUUCACUAUUAUACAUGCAAACUUGAAGUUUCCAAGGUAUUACCCUAACUGGCAUACAAAACUUUAAUACAUAGUGAAUAAAACAAGUUAGGAAACAUACCUUUUGUUAUGGCUUAUUACUUGGAGCUUUAAGAGCUUAGCACCAAUAAUGUGAAUGUCUCAAGUGGAAUCACAAAUCACCGCCAACACUUUGGAAACUUGGAAGAGAACUAUGAUGCUCACAAAAAUUAGCCUCUAUAUGUCAACACCCUAGGGGUCCAUUUUCUUGAACCAAAGGGCUUCUUAUAUAGUGUGCACAUUAGGGUUACACCACGUAACUCAUAACUUUCCACAUUCCUCAUGAUCCAUGGGUUUUAACCUCCAUGGAGCAUGCAUAGGUCACCAAAUCGGUUAAUCCCAACAUAAGGAAUCAUUGAUCAUUAGCUCACAUUAUAAGAAUCAAUGAUUUACACAAUUAAUCCCUAUAUAUUUAAUUAGUCUCUUUUGACAAAAAAAUGAAUGAAAUGUGUAAAAGUUAGUAUGAUGGGCAUUUUAUGGUGUACUUUGUAUGGUAUUUGAAAUUAAAUACGGUAUUUGACAAAAAUAAAAAUGGGAAUUUUUAAAAUUUAAAAUUUUUAUUUUUUAAUAAAACGUAAAUAGCGAUAGAGUAGCGACCGAAUUUCCGUCACUAAAUUGGUCUGCAGGUAAGUAGUCAAUCUUGAGUUCCGUCACUAAUUCGUAGUAAUUCUGUAGCUAUACCGUAGGAAAAAGACAAUUUUAGUCAAACUUGAAUCCCGUUGACAAUUUAUAGUAAAUUCGUAGCUAUUCUGUAGGAAAAAAGUCGAACUUGAAUCAUGUUGAUAAUCCAUAGAAAAUCCGUAGCAAUUUAAUUCCGUGGCUAUUAUAGCUACGGAAAAAGCCAUAGCUAAUCUGUAGCUAGUUCGUCGCAAAUCUGUAGCUAUAAUUUUCCCACGGGCAUUUAUGCUACAGAGCAUUUGUCGUAGCAAUUGCGUAGGUAUCACCGUAUAUAUACGCAAUACUUAUGGAUUGUGCCGUAGCUAAAGUCCUAGUUUUCUAGUAGUGUAUGCUUAGUAAUUUCUUAUUAAUUAUCUUUUCUUUUUAUUAUGAUUUACAAUUUUUCAACAUUGUUAAUGCCACUCGAGCGGUGCCUCUUUUUACUUAAUACAAUAUCAACGAUCCAAUUAGAGAUUGAUCAUUUUUGGAAGUUUUUAUCAUUGUAGUCUCGAAUCAUUUUGGUUUUCAAACUUGCGCAAAUGGCACGGGGGCUUCCGCUAGUUUUCUAAUAAAACACCAAUAAUUGGAUCUUUAAACUAUGCUUCUUUUCACAGAUGUGCAUUUUUGGUUCUUAAUGUAUAAUGUUAUAUAUGAGUAUAAUACUUUCAUUUUUUUAUUUUUAAGUUGGUCUGGAGUUUAUCAUGAAUUUUCAUUCCUUUGAAUUUGCAGUUACUAAACUCAGUAAAUUACGAAACCCUUUGUAGAGAGAAUUGUAUGUUUGUAUAUAUGCUAAAUAGUUGUAAUGACUAAUGAAUCAUGCCUCAUUCUCAUGGCUAACUUAUUUGGUUUAGUUAGAAAACUGUAAAUUUAUUGUCAGUCAUUCAAGUACUCAUAGUCAUGUAUUAAGUUUGUGCAUUUCUUCACAAAUCGUUGCUUUUGGCGUUUCUAAGAUUUUACAUGGAAAGACUAUUAUUUCCCAUUACUUUUUAGGAUAUUAUUUAAUCUCUUCAUUUAUACUUUUUUAUUAUUUGUAUGCGUCUACAUAUCAAUGUCAUACACUAAAAAUGCUUAUUUUUUAGUUUACUAAUUGUCCCUGGAGACUCUUACACCCUAUUCUCGAGUGUCACUUAGCGAGGGAAGUGGAGAGAAAGGGAGGGAAUUGGAGUGAAAGAGUAGUUCAUCGUCUUCCCCAGUUUUUUUUUGGGAUAAUUUACGAAAAAAAGAACGGACAUCAGAGGAAAAUCUUCCCUCCUAAUUAAUCUUCCUCCCAAAUUCGAGAGAUUUGGAGAGAAUGAUAAUCGAUGAUAAGGAUAACAACACACGAUUAUAUAAGAUCACAUUAUCAUUAACAACAUACAAAAAAAGAUCGGUCUGCUUCCUGCUGUUUCGACGACUUUGCUGCUUCGACAACCCUGUUGCAUCUUAUUGUUCAAAUCAGUCCAUCAUCCAUCAGGUUCCAUUCUUCCAUUCUUCUCCCUGUAUUUUUUUUUUGUGAAAUCGUGUUCACAAUAUAUAUUACAACCAUUUUUUUUUCUGGUUCAUUAUGAUUAGUUUUUCUUUAUUAUAGUUUAAAGUUGAAUUGAUUCGUUAGGUUACCUGUGAUUAUAGGUUUAGAACAUCAUUAUAUAGAAGUAAAUAUGAAUGUUAAUUAUACGAAAGUAAAUAUGAAGUUAAAUAGGAGGUGUUUAUGUCAACAACAUUCUGUGAUUGUUCAUUUCAAUAGCAAAUACAUGCAUAAACUAUCGGUCAAUGCAUAAAUUGUGAGUCAAUGCAAUUCUCAAAAUUACAUUCAAAGAAAGAUGGAAAUCAGUAAACCCAUUAAUCGUAAAGAGAAGCUUUCUUGUAUGUACAUCACUUACCACAGGAAGGAAAAAAAAGUCUUGUUUUGUGUACCACAAUACCAAGAAUUUGUUUGAGGAGGUUGUAAAGGUAAUUGAUUAUGUUGAAGAGUAGACAUCUAAUUUACAUAAUCAAAAUUAAGCAUAAGUUAUUUUAUAAUAUUUCAAGAUCUUUCCUGCUGAACUAUUUUGUCCUUGCUUUUAUUUUGGGUGUGUGGAUGUUUUUUCUGCUGUUAGGAUGCCCUCUUUAUAAUCCUUCACAUUUUGUACAUAAAAUAGGUCACAUUGAUUUCAAUGGAUAAUGACCUUCCUUUACCCACUCAUAUUCUUAAAUCAAGACAAAUGCAAGUUCUGCAUCUAAUUUGCUUGUUGAUGGCUAUUUUGGCACAACGCAAAAUUACCAUCAACAAUGGUCCUAAUUUACCUACUAGAGAAACUCUUUUAAAAUGUCGACGUGUAUGUGAAGAGUUGUUACAUAACCUUUCAAAUGGUGGUCAAUGUAGUGAGCUUAUCCGUAUGAGUGUGCAAGCUUUUAAGAAGCUAUGUGUUAUCUUACGGCGUGAUGGUGGUCUUCGACCUACUCAACGGAUGUUUGUUAAAGAGCAAGUUGCAAGAUUUUUGCACAUUGUUGGUAAUGAUUUGAGAAAUACAUUUGUCUCUUGGAUAUAUCGACGCUUGAAAUCCACAACGAGUAGGUGCUUCGAUAGAGUUUUGCGCUCGGUUAUAGCAUUAGAAAGUCUUUAUAUUCAACAACCACAAGGUGAUGUUGUCUCCAAAGAAAUUCAAGACAAAAGGAGAUUCUUUCCUUACUUCAAGAACUAUGUAGGGGCAAUUGGUGGUACACAUGUUCGUGUCAAAGUACCUAAUAGACAUGCCCUAGAUACCGUGGCUGCAAGGGUUGCCCAACAAUAAAUGUGUUAGCUGCUUGUUCAUUUGAUUUAUAGUUUACGUAUGUUUUAACCGGUUGGGAGGGUACUGCAUCAGAUUGAAGGAUACUGAUGAAUGCCCUCAAUAGAGAUGAUAAACUAGUAAUUCCAAAUGGUAACUUCUAGUACCAACUUUUUAUUUUAUUUGUUUAAACUAUUAUUAAAAAACUAAUUACAAUUUAGUUAUAGGUCACUAUUCUUUAGUAGACGCAGGUUUGCCUCACUUAACUAUAUUAAUGGCGCCAUAUAGAGGUGUUAGGUAUCAUUUAAAAGAAUAUUCCACUAGGGCACCACAAAAUGCUAGAGAGUUCUUCAAUCUUCGUCACACAUCAUUACAUAAUGCUAUAGAAAGGGCAUUUGGUGUUCUAAAAAGAAAGUUCCCUAUCAUUAGAAAUACACAGGAACCUUUUUAUUCUUGUGAAACACAAUCAGACAUUUUUUUUGGUGUGUUGUAUUUCUCAUAAGUUUUUGAUAGUUGGAGAUCGUGACAAAGAUCUUGAAGAUGAGGUAUUACAGGAGGUGUUAAGUACACCAACAGAGGAAGUGAGACAUAAUUCAAGUGGUAGGCGUGAGGGUAACAGCAUGGCUGAGCUAGUGAGGAACUCAAUUGCAAAUCAAAUGUGGACUAAUUACUUAUUGAAUCCGAACAAUGAAAUAAAUAUGUCAAUAUAGUUUAAGAGUAUUUCGUUAUAUUAUGUCAUUUGCAAUUUGGUUUUUUAUUGAACAUUGUUUUGUGAAUUUAUUGAAUUGUGUUAUUUAAUUUUUUUAAUGUUAUUUUUUAUAACUUGUACACUUUAUAACCAUGUUCUUUUUAUAAUAAUGUAAACCGAUAAUGAACAAGCAAGAACCUUUUGUAAAUACCGGUAAGAAGUCACUCUUGAACUGGAUAGAACAUAUGGAUGUUGCAUUUGUUGAUGCAAUGGUACAACAACAAGAAAAAGGAAAUAGGCUUCAUGGAAAUUUUACUUCACAAGCAUAUGCGAAUAUGGUUGAGGAGCUCAAUAAGAAACUUAACAUGAAUUUAACUAAAAGUCAUCUAAAAAAUCAUUUGAAAACUUUGAAAUCUGGUUUUUCACAAUGGUAUGACAUGUUCAAUGGGAUUUCCUUGAGUAGGUUCAGUUGGAAUGCUGAUACCCAACUAAUUGAAGCAGAUGACACUACUAGAAAAACAGCCUUUAAUGACGCGCAAACAAUGACACGCGGUGAUUUACGAUACGCAAAAGCGCGCGCUCUAAAAAUAAUGUCAUCUCUUCAAACUUUUGAAGGAUAGAGGUCACGCUUUUGUGCGUGCCCUAAAAUUAAUGUCCAAGAAAAAAAAUUAAAAACACGGAGGGCACUUAAUUAAAAAUGGGCGUCGUCUAGAAAUGUCGCUUUAUAUUUUUUAAAUGAAAGGCGCGUUCUAUUUUUUUGCAGCUGGGGGGAAAGAAAAUCCCAAAAGUUUGAAAUGCCGCCAUUGUUAUCCUCUAUCUUAUUUCCAUCUUUCUUCUCUCUCUCUCUCUCUCACUCACUCUCUCUCUUUCUCUAUCUCUCUUACUCUAAUACCCAAAAAAAACCCUAAUAUCAUCACAAAUCCUCUUUUCUCCCACAACAAAAUCGCAAUAUCACCAAAUCUUUGAUCCCGCAAGUAAUCUGAGUUCACCUUUCAAUUUCAUUUGUCUCGCAAGUAAUCUGAGUUCACCGGUGGCGUUCCUGACUGUAUCAAUGGAAGCGCUGCUCAAGUCGCUGACCAAUUUCUUCACCUGCGUUUCGAGUUCCGUGAGAUCAGUUCUCGCUUCAGUAGCAGAAGAAACAACUCUCGGCCCAAAAGAUGAUCUCCGCCAUAUUUGGUUUCGUGCUCUGUUUCCAAAUCGAGGUGAAACUGCAUGCUGGGAAGCAGCAAUGGCAGCCUGAGGCUCUAUGUCUCUAUCUCCAGUGGCGAUACAAUGAUGCACGAGUUUAAGAAAUCGGAGGAGGGAUUGAGAGAAUUUGUCGCUUCCUCUGGUUUCUCUUUUGAUUCUGGUAAUGUUUAUAUUCGGUUUCUCUUUCUUCAAAAUUCUUUUUCACAUAUUUCUUCCCAUAUGAGUUUAUGAUUUCAGAUUUUUUCCAUAUGAUUUUGAUCUUAGUUUGUGAUUUAGAAUUCUCAAUCUUCGGUUUCUCCUUUAUCCACCAGUUCAUGUGCCCGAUUGGGUUAAUAGUUAUGCUAGAAUUUGAUCAAUUUCUUUGAAAUUUAGGGUGAAUUAGGUUAGGGCAUGAAUAGGAAACACUAUAAAUGGUUUGACUAAGUCGACGUCUUCUUCUCCUGUAUCAACUUGACACCUCAACUCUUCUUUUGCACUGAUCUGCAAUCUAUACUAGGUUUGAUUUUUUUUAUUUACAGGUUUUGUUAGUAGACCAUGUCUAUUGUUACUCAAAUUAAACAUGUUGUAUUUUUUUUAUUACAGGAUGUGGUUUGACAAAUGGUUGUUGAAGGAGCACAUAAGUUCAGAGCCACACAACCUCAACUUGGUUUUUUGUUCUUCUUUCUUCUUUAGCUCCUGAGGCUUGAUUUCAUUGAAGGUUUGUGCUCUACAUUCUAAGAAUGCUCUUGCAUGGAUUGAUCUUUGUCAUUUAAGUUUCAAUAGUAUCAUGCCUUGAAUUCUUCCUUAAUGUGUUUUUGACUAUGUAGGUUUGUUGGGUGCCAAAUAGCAUGGUCCAAGCAUCAUCUCGAUGACUGUUUUCCUGAUCUUCCUUCACAUCUUAUGAUCAUUUUUCCUUUUUAACAUUAUUAGUAUUUUGUAUUUCUAUCAUGAUGAAGAACUUUUUGUCUUGUUCUUUUCCCACUCAACUUUUUAUUUCAACUAGUUCUAAUUUUUUUUUUUUUUUUUUUUAUUCAGGCUGGAUUUUUUCAAGUACCUGAUUCUGAUAGGCUAGGUUCUUUCUUAGGCUGGAUUUAUUCAGGCUGGAUUUGUUCAAGUACCUGGCCAUAUAUAUUCUAGCAAAGUCGGUAUGCAUUAUUUAAGCCAAAUAAUUAUGUUUGGAAGAAGAUCCCAGCGUGCAUUUUAAUGCCAUGGUGAAGCUGAUUUUAAAAUAAUAUUAAAAUUUUCUUUUACUUUCUUUAUUCUAGUUAUUUAUUUUUGAUUAUGAAUUUGGAUGUGAUUACAGGGUGAGGCAUUAGUAAUAACUAAAAUGAACCAAGGAAAAAGCUAAACAACCUGAAAUAGGGAUCCAGCCAUGAACCAGACAGUGUCAAGCUCAUUAUACUCUUUUCUGAUGCCUUCUGCUCUUUCAACAACUUCAGCCUGAUAGGAGGGAUGUAUGUGUAAUGUGUUUGUUAUAUUCAACAACACAGGGGUGUCUAUUCUUAAAUUCAAAACUUAGGAUAGGAACAUAUAUAUACCUUUAUUGGACUUCCUGUAGAUAAUUGAGCUCAGAUUCAGACCAUAAGAGUGGUAAUUCAACAGCUAGCUGUCCCUUUCCACAUUGACGAUCAAGCUCUUUUAUAUAUGGGUACCAGAAAGAUUUUCUUACAGGAAGCAGGGGGUCUUUCAUAUCAACAUGAAAAGUACCAUGUUCCAAUCAUCCAUACAGAUAUAAGAACUAGCAACAUUCUACUUGAUAGAGAAUUGCAGCAAAAAAUAGCAAAUUUUGGGCUUAUAAGACUGCUACCAGAAGAUACGACUCAUCUUAGCACAAAAUUCUCAGGGACUUUGUAUGUUUAAAAGUACAUAUAACUUAACUACUAAUUCAAUUUGAUUAAAGUAAAUUUUCAAUAACCAAUGUUAAAUCUUUGCAGGAAUAGUGGUUAUGUAGCACCUGAACAUUUUUGCCAUUAUUUGUAGGACUAUAGCUGUUCACUUCACCAACCCAUUCCAUGUCAGCACACGUGUAGCAGAUAAAUGCAGUGAUGGCACCUUGCUUUUGCAGGUAUAUUGAUCUCAAGUCUUGUUAGGGUUAAAUGCAAAAAAAAAAAAAAAAUAAUUAUUUACUCACAUUCCCAGGUGAUACUCCACUCACAAGUGAAGGCUAACUUAACCAUACACGAUUCUUGGCUGGACCUAAAAGACGGUUUUACCCUUGCUGGUGAAAGUCAAAGUAAUGGAAGACCAACAUCCGCCUUCUUUCCACUUGUAGUUCCUUCUACAUCAAGAGCCGGAAUCUUGUUCACUAUAUCCCUACCCACAAAUGGCAAGCAUUAUUUUAUUUCUCAUUUUAUCACUCAUCUUUAGAAAAAAUAAUCAAUCUCUCUUUUUUUUUUUUACAGAUGAAGCGAAAGAUAUGAAUCCUGAUAGUGAUACGAUAUUAAAUAUAAAAUAUAAAAUAUCUGGGGAUAGAAAUCAUGGAUCGCAUACUCCUAUGUUUGAGGAUGAGUCUUCACAGAUGUUGACUUUUAAGAGUGCUCUUGUUUUACAAAGACCAGUGUUGGAACCUUGUUUGGCAGUUGGUUUUCUUCCCCUUCCUCCAGAAGGCCUUAGAGUCGGCCAGCUUUUUACUAUGAAGUGGCGAGUUGAAAGGUUGAAGUAUCUCGAGGACGAACAAUACGUAAGUUUCUAAAAUUUUUACUUUUUUUUUUGGCAAUAAAAAAGUAAAAAUGACUUAAAUGUUAAAUCAUAUAUUUGAUUUGCGAACAGGAUGAGGUAGUAUAUGAAAUAAACGCAAAUUCUGAAAACUGGAUGAUUGCUGGGAGGAAGCGAGGCCAUGCACCUCUCUCCACAAAGCAAGGUACUACUAACCUUUUAUAAUCCAAAUCCUCUUUCAAUAUCUCAACAUUUAAUAAAUUAAUAAAUUUUAUAUCUUGAUUUCGAAACCUUGUUGUCUAAAAAUAAACUUAAUGUAUACAGGUUCACGAAUAGAGAUUUCAAUCCUAUGCGUGCCAUUGGUUGCUGGGUACAUGCGGCCCCCACAACUGGAGUUACCGGACAUUGGUGAGGGUAAUAUUAGUUGCAACCCAGCUGGGCCCCACUUGGUCUGUGUUUCCCCUCCACCUCUCAGCUCCUCCUUCUGUAUUCCCAUUCCCAUUCCUGCCUAGACAUGAAAUCGUGACUUUUGUAGGUGCUUUAGUGUGGUGGUCCUAGAAAUCAUUAGUGGAAAGAGAUACAAGGAUGUUGACUACCAAUUAGUCACUCAAAAUCUCCUUGAUCAUGUAAGUAUCUCAUAAUUAAGGGUUGGUUCAUUCAACCCGUUCUUUUCAUUUAUGGUUUUAAUGAUGAAGGUAUCUCAAACACUCAAUGAUUUAUUUUGUAUUCAGUGAGACCUUAAGCUUAGGUGAGAAGUUCUUACUAGCCUUUCUGUUGUUAUGUGUAUGAUAGGCACGGGAUCUACAUGAGAGUGGAGCGCAUCUGAAUUUAAUGGAUGAGAAACUAGAUCCUAGUGAAUAUGCAGUAGAACAUGUUAUGGAGAUCAUCAAGAUAGCAUUGACUCAACCACCAUCAACUAGACCUACAACUUCUGAAGUGGUUAUAUGCUUUUAAGUGAAAAAUCUCUUCACUUAUGGAUGUAUGUAUGUAUGUAGGUAUGUAUGUAUGUAUGUAUGUAUGUAUGAUUUUUAUUAAUACCUUAUGUAUAUAUAUAUGUAGGAAUGGGAAGGAUUAAUUGAAUUGAUGGGAACUGAAUCAAGAGCUGUAGGGGGUCUUGAAUUUUUACACAAGUAAGUUAUGGUUUGCUUUUUUUUUGUUUAUAAGAAAGGGGCUAGGGGUAAAAUUGUCAUUUUACUAACGGUGCGAGUAAGAGGGACCAAAAUCACAACAAAGUGAAACAACAAGGACUAGAAGGUCAACUAAAGUCUUGCCUUUUGAAGGAUCAAAGUCUUCAGUUGAACCAACUACAAUUGUUAGUCCCUAAAUAUAGAUUUCUUUUUUCUUUUCGUCCCUACAGUUUCCUUUUUGCAUAUUUGGCCUCUUCUCCAACGAAAAUGACUAUUUUUGGGUCCAAAGUGGAAAAAAUCAGCUAUACUCAAGGACCAAAACCUUUACAAGAACCUCAAAAAUAAGGACCAAAAUUGAAACACAACUUUUCAUUACAAGGGUAAACAUGUCAUUUUCUAAUCCAAACUUUUUUCCUUUAUGUAAAUAUAAAAAUAUAUAUUUUGCCCUCCCUGAAACAAACCUCAACAAGAUGAAGAUUGGAAGCACGGUUGAGGACAAAAGCAAACUCACAAUUGUAUUGUCUCAUAGUUUUCUCAAAAGCUUCUUUAAUGCUCACAACCUGCAUGUUAAUCAAUUUUUAUAGCAUGCUCACAACGUAUCUAGAAGUUUUGGAGGAAACGAGACACAAGCAAAAAUAAAUAAGCAUGCUUAUUUAUUUAAUUUACAAUUUACAAUACAAUUGAUAGAUAUAUGAAUCCAUAUGUUACUUAAUUUUGUUCUUUUUUAUUUUUAAUAUGUGCAGCAUAGGGAGACAUCAAUGUCCUUCAAAACUAUAGAUGAUGUCCAAGUCUUACUCUAUGCAGUAAGUAUUAAAGAAAUAGCAAUGCACUUUCAUUCAUUUGUUUCAUAUUUUUUUCACAUUUCUCUAAUGAUAUUUUUCCUUGAGUCAUAGAAUGAUUGGCUCAUAUCUUGUUUUUUGAUAUUUAUACGCAGUUUUUUUCUUACGUCGGUGGUGGCGAAGUUCAAGAUUAAGGGAGACUUGUAAUCAUGUUUGGCUUUCCUUUCCAGUAAGAAACAGAGUUGUAUGAUUAUUUGUUAGUUUUAUAGGAAUGUAUAACACAUGUUAGCAAUGUAUUAUUUUUGUUUAACAUUUGAAUGAUUUUUUGUAUGACAUUAUAAUUUGUGCAAUUUAUUUUAUAUUAUGCAAUGGAUUGUAUUUUUUGUAUAUGGUAUUUUAUUUCUGUUAUAAGAAAUUAAAUGAAAAUUUAAUUUAAAAAUUAAUAAAUAUAUAAAUUUUUUUUUUAACAUUUAAAUUUACGAUACGCAAAAAUGUAUGUCAUCUUCAUUUAUGACAUGGCCUUUCUUGACAGGGGCUUUCUUGAUACGCAUUGCGUGUCAUUAACACGCGCGUCGUAAAGUUACGACACGCGAAUGCGUGUCGUCUUCCUUUAUGACAGGGCCUUCCUUGAUACGCAUUGCGUGUCGUAACCGCGCGUCGUAAAUGCGCGUCGUCUAUAGACGACGCGCAAAAGCGCGUCGUCUCUCUUUAUGACAGGGCCUUCCUUGACACGCAUUUGCGCGUCGUCUGAGCGUUUUACGACGCGCAAUGAGCGUCAUAAAAGGCCUUUUUUCUAGUAGUGUGAGCAGGUUUGGGAUAACUUAAUUAAGGUUAGUGUUCAUCUAAGGUUGUAUUUAGUUUACUUUUAUAUUAUGUUAUUAAUAAUAAUUUUAAUUUAUUUUGGGUUUUUAAACAGUCAAAGCCCGAAGCAGUUAUACUGAAGCAAAAAAAAGGUGGCCCACUUUGAACAAAUGUUGGUAUUUUGCAAGAGAUAGAGCUUCUGGAGAAAAUGCUGAAACAGCAAAGGAGAGAAAUGCUAGGUUUAACAAGAUUACGAACAUCAAAAUAGAAAGUAUUUCAGAGGUUGAUGAUUUAUUAGCAAGUAAUGAUGUUACACUGGAGAACCAACGUAUAGAUGAUGAUGAUGAAGAUGGCAUUCAAGUGGUAUCUCCUACACCUGAACAAAAUUCAAGUGCGAAAAAGUCAAAACCUAAAAAAAGAAAACUCAUAGAUGAAGAAGAAAAGGAAGUUGAACCUCAGCCUUAACCUGAACUUGAAACAAUUGAAACAAAGAUUAUGAAAUAUUGUUGGUGAUGUGGCUAAUGCAAUGAUGGAAGGUAACAAAAUCUUUGAAAGAGCUUACCAUCAUGAGUUAACCGAUGAUGAAAUUUAUCAAGAAUUUCAGCCGAUGGAAUUGGAACCCCAUGAAAUACCAGGUGCUCUCAUAUAUUUUGGUCGUAACCAAGUAGAUGCGAGAACGUUGUGUAGCACUUUGUUCCUGGUACGUAAAAAAUUUAUCUAUGUAUUUUGCAUUUUGGCCUUGGACUCGGCGAGUUGUAGGCCCGACUCGCUGAGUAGAGACGGGUUUGGGAGGACGCUUAAGUUGGCGACUCGGCGAGUCCACAUUCUGAACUCGGCGAGUCCCCGCUAUCUGAUGAAACCGUAAAUUUCAAGGAUUUGCACCCUAUUUAAACUAACGUUAUGUGCCCCAACCUCGCUCCCUUCACCCUCAGAGCUCCCAACAUCGUCCAAACCCUUAUUCCUUGAGAGAUUGAAGUGUUUUCGUGUGUUUGUUGAAGAUUUUGAGAGAAAAGAAGAGUAGAUCAAGAAGAGAAGAAGGAGGCCAGACAUCUUGGUGUUAUUUCAAGUGAUUCUCUUAAGGUAUAACUCAGUUUCCCUCUGUUUUCGUGCUUGUAGACCUUUAUAGCUCCAUUAAAGUCCUUCUUGAUCCAUUUCCAAGCUUGAUUAUGAAUUAGGGUUUGUAAUAAGUUGAUUAACCCUUAAAUCUAGGCAUGAUUGAGCUCCAGGAGCUCAGAUCUACUGCCUUUAUGGAGCCAUAUUGCAUGAAAGCCCUAGAUCUACUCUUUUAGUGCAUUUUGAGCCCUAAAACCUUCAUUGGUGUUUAUUUACACGUAAAGUUGGAAACUUUAUGUGUUAACUAGGCCCUAGAAACCCAGAUCUAUGUAUGGCAUGAGCUGGAUCCAAGCAAAAUAGAAUAUUUAGUGUUUGCAUGUGAUAGACUCGGUGAGUCGUUCAUCAGACUCGGCGAGUCGAGUCGCGAGUCCCAGAGUUUCCCCUUUUUGUGUUUGCGGAGUGGAGUAGUGAGUCAUGGGGAGUGACUCAGUGAGUCGGAAGCCAAACUCACCCAUAAAGGAACUCGGCGAGUCAAUGCCCUGACUCAGCGAGUCCAAGGCAAUCUUCUUGCCUCAAGAAAAGACUCGGCGAGUUGUUCAUGCAACUCGGCGAGUCUCAGCAUAGCAUGUUCUUCGGAUGAAGAUGAACUCGGCGAGUUGUUCAUACAACUCGGCGAGUAGGAUGAAGGACUUUUGGACCUUGGAUUAAAAGGAAAACUCGUCGAGUCAACGCCUAACUCGACGAGUAGAGACGGGGUUAUGGUCAGAUAACAGGAUAGGGACUCAACGAGUUGGCAGGCCAACUCGACGAGUCGGGUCAACUGGAAGUUGACUUUGACUUUGACUUUGACUCUUGGCUCGGUCAGGGAUAAAUGGUCAUUUUACCCUGAGGUCGGUUAGCAGUAUUUGACUGGGUGUUUUUUGGGGAUUUUAGCUGGAGGACUUCCGGGACAGCAGAAGCAGAAGACAGUCAAUUCCCACGCAGAUCAGCAGCUACUUUGAGGCGAGUUACCUUCCAGUAGCGGUGGGUCUACGGCCACAAUGCCGGCCCACCAGUAGGAGUUGUAUGUUAGAUGAUUGUCUUUGUGAUAUCAUCUAGGUUGCUACUACCUGGUAUGUUAUAUGCUGGCAUGAUAAUGUAUAUGUGGUAGUAGUAGAGUUCGGUUGUUAGGACCGAAGGGUAGGUCGGACACCCCAGAUAUGUCUGAUAGUAUGUGAUGAUAUGUUUAUAUGCUAGCAUGAUAUGUUAUAUGUGAUAAUGGUAGUUGGAGGGGAAUAGUCCCGAAGCCCGGUCGUUAGGACUGAAGGGUAGAUCGGACGCCCCAGAUAUGUCUGAUAAUAUGUUAUGUUAUGAUAUAUGUGAUAGUAGCAGUAGGAGUGAAAUAGUCCCCGAGGAUCGGUUAUUAGGACCGAUGGGUAGUCAGCACCUCAGAAUGGCUUGACAUGUGUAGUCAGCACCCCAGAACGGCUUGACACGUGUAGGUCGGCACCCAGAAUGGCCGUAUCGGGUAGGUCGGGCACCCGAGAAUUGCCCGACAGAGUGUAUAGUAUGUGAUUGUAUGGUAUGUGGUAAGAUGGGGGAACUCACUAAGAUUCAUGCUUACAGUUUUCAGUUUUCAUUUUAGGUACCUCUUCUUCGAAGGGGAAGGAGCCGGCACGGUAGCGGUACCUCAGACAUACGCUUUGUAUUCCGCACUAUGGGAUCCUCCUGGGGUUUUGUACUCUGACAGCAUUAUGUUUUAUAAAAUGGUUUCCAGACAAGCAACAUCUUUUAUGAAAUGAUAUGAUCCGUGAAUGUUUUAUUUCUAAUGUUUUGCAAAUUGUAUGUUUUAAAAAUGAAAUUUUUGGCUCCUAUUUUUGGGAUGUUACAAGUUGGUAUCAGAGCCCUGGUUUGAGGGAUUCAGACACGCCUAAGGGGGUUUCUGAACUCAAAUCAAUGGAUUUAAAAGAUUUUAAAGAAGAAAAUAUUUUUCCGAAAAGCUAAGUAAAGAGUUUUAAGAAGAAGCGAAGUGUGUGAUGUGCGCGACCGGCCGAGCUCAAGUAAAUGUUCCUCAAAGUACCCAUACCAACUUAUGUUAUGUUUAUCAGUUUCAGUAUAACAACAUGCUAGAAUAGGACUAAGGAUCUAGGAGUGAUGACUUAUGUUCCUGCCUUAUGUGCUUCGGUGUAUGAAAAUUGCAUGCUAGAAUUGAGUAGACAGCAGUAGGAUAGCCUGUUAGGGUUAUGCCUGAUAGUAUGAGUUUAGCAUUGUAUGCUAGUACAACUUUCCUCUUUGAGGACGGAUUUGCCUGAGAUUGUUUCCUUGUGUCUGAAUGCUGCUUGCUUUGUGCUACGUGGGGACUCUGAGUGAUGGGAGUUAGACAUUAGAUGCAUAUGUCACGUCACAUGUGAUCAGGGUUGAAUAAUCUUAGAGUGAUGGAUUUGGCCUUACUGUGCGGCUUUUGUUUGAGUCUAACCGUGUAGAGCCGAGUCUGUUACUCGAAGGAUUAUCUGAGCCUCACCACAUGUGAUGGUAUUCAGGUAAUGACUAAUUGGCAUUACAAGGAGGCCUUCAGCAGCUGAGGACCGGGUAGGGUGGAGUUAGAGAUUUCCUGGGGCAAGCCUAGGAUGAGUAUAGCAGUGAUCAGCGGUAGUGAAAGGGACCUGGUGGAGUCAAGGCAGUCCUUGGAAAAGGUACAGAUAUAUGUGGAAGGUAGUAUGGGCCCAUACUACUGAAAGAAGAGGAUCCGUAUCCGAACUAAGGAAGGCCAGGAUAAGACCAGGGAACUUGUGGUAAGUGUGAUCCCUCCAGAGGUGUCAGUAUCGCUAACAAUUAUUAUUUUUGUAUUUCAGAAUGGUGGUACUACACUCGAGGCCAACAGUUGGCAGUUCAGGUGAGGGAUCGGGUUUGGGAUCAGGUUCCGAGCCAGUAGAUGAGGGGCUACGGGAGUUCAUCACGUCAGAGAUCACCUGAGGCAUCCUUGAGUCGACCCCCAUUAUCUUCGGGUCGAUCAAGGAAGGGAUAUUGGAGUUGAUGGAGGGUCGCCUCAGGGCAUUCAGGAGCGACAUGGCAUCUGGCCAGUCGGGAUCUCGCACACUGUCCUCAAGGACUUCCGGGGCAAUGGUGCGCCGGAUUUUGACGGGGCGAAGGACCCCAUAGCUGCCAGACGAUGGAUUGCAGACAUUGAGUCUGCACAGAUGAUUAGCUUCUGCCCUGAGGGGUCGAAGGUGAGGUUUGUAGCAGGGUGUUUACUAGAUCGAGCUAGGGAUUGUUGGGAGUCCAUGGGUGACUCGUUGGGAGCCUCGGCUGUCGAGGCUAUGACUUGGUUGGACUUCGCGACCAGGUUCAGGGCAGAGUUUGCACCGACUGUCGAGCUUCAGUAGCUGGCCAGGGAGUUCUUGGAUAUGAGACAGACGACGGAUACUGUGGCGGAGAUCACCGCCAAGUUCCGGGAGAGGGCGUUGCUAUUGCCCCAGUACGCGGGUGAUGAGGAUAUGACGAGGACCCGCUAUCAUGACAUGCUACGAGCUGAUAUUCGGGAGCAUGUGAGUUUUUCAGCUUUCCCUUCCCUGGACUCUAUGAUUGCCAGGGCAAGGGAGAGGGAGAUAGAUCUGGAGCACAUCCGGAAGAUGAAGACAGAGGAGGCUCAGACAGGAAGGGCUUCGGGGAAGAAGCCCAAGGGACCAGAUGGUAGGCCGAAAGGCCUGUGAGGACCGAGCCGCUACAAGAAAUACGGNACGUAGGCUGGGAUCGUCGGGAUGCUAUAAGUGCGGCAAGACGGGGCACUUCAGCAAGGAUUGUACCGCCCCUGCACCUGUGAUUCAGACAUCGGAGUUGCUGUGUUUCCACUGCAACCAGAGGGGCCACAAGAAGGCCAAUUUCCCUCAGUUGACAGCAUCAGCGCCGGCUAAGGCGCCAACUCUAGCUACCCUUCGGAUUACAGACGGCCGGCAGGUCAAGGCAAAUGCUCCAGUGGUGAGGAGCCGGGCAUUUCAGCUGACUACCGAGGAGGCUCACGCCGCACCCAAUGGAGAUGAACGAGUUGAUGAUGCAACUUCAAGAGUUAUUGGACAAGGGUUUCAUUAGACCUAGUUCAUCACCCUGGGGAGCUCCGGUGUUAUUUGUAAAGAAGAAAGAUGGAAACAUGAGGAUGUGCAUUGAUUACCGAGAGCUGAAUAAGGCAACAAUAAAGAAUAGAUAUCCGUUGCCGAGGAUUGAUGACCUGUUCGAUCAACUACAAGGUUCAAGUUAUUUUUCAAAGAUCGACCUAAGGUCUGGAUAUCAUCAGCAUAAAGUAAGAGAGUAGGAUAUAGAGAAGAUUGCAUUCAGAACACGAUAUGGACACUACGAGUUUUUAGUUAUGUCGUUUGGACUAACCAAUGCUCCUGCAGCAUUCAUGGAUUUAAUGAACAGGUUUUGUAAUCCGUUCCUAGAUAAAUCUGUGAUAGUGUUCAUAGAUGACAUUCUGAUUUAUACGAAAAGCCAAGAGGAGCAUGGCAGAAACUUGCGAGAAGUGUUGGAAGUCUUGAAGAAUGAGAAGCUGUACGCAAAGUUCUCCAAAUGUGAUUUUUGGAUUCGUGAAGUCCAAUUCUUGGGUCACGUGGUCAACCAGGAAGGGAUAAUGGUUGAUCCAGUGAAGAUUGAAGCUAUGAUGAAGUGGGAACAACCGAAAAGCCCCACGGAGAUCCGAAGCUUUUUAGGAUUAGCCGGAUAUUACCGAAGGUUUAUCCAAGGCUUUUCUUCGAUCGCUACUCCAUUAACAGCUUUGACCCACAAAGGAGCUACUUAUGCUUGGAAUGAUAAGCAUAAAGAAGCAUUCGAGAAGCUAAAGAAGAAACUAUGCGAGGCACCGAUACUUUCUCUACCCGAUGGAGUUGAAGACUUCGCUGUUUAUAGCGAUGCGUCUGGGGUUGGAUUGGGUUGUGUUUUGACCCAAAGAGAAAAGGUGAUAGCAUAUGCGUCUCGACAGCUGAAAGAGCAUGAAAAGAACUACCCGACUCAUGAUUUGGAGUUGGCAGCGGUGGUUUUCGCUCAGAAAAUAUGGAGGCAUUACCUCUAUGGCACGAAGUGCAAACUUUUCACUGAUCAUAAGAGUCUCCAAUACCUCUUUAAUCAGAAAGAAUUGAAUAUGAGGCAACGACGCUGGCUAGAAUUACUUAAAGACUAUGACUGCGAGAUACUUUACCACCCCGGUAAAGCUAAUGUUGUUGCUGAUGCUCUCAGUCGGAAAGUCAAUCCCGAAAGGAAAAGGCCAAGAGCGUUGAGAAUUGAAGUUGUCUCAACUAUUUUGGAAAGUAUAAAGAAAGCUCAGAGCGAAGCUUCUGAGAAGAAUGACAGAAAGGAGGAACGUUUGGGCAAAACGUUGGUGUUCGGUGUAAACAGUCAUGGACUGAAGGUGUUCCAAGAUCGGAUUUGGAUACCUAAGACAGGAGGAGUCAGAGAUCUUCUGAUGGAAGAAGCUCACAAGACCAUGUACUCGAUUCAUCCGGGUAGCACUAAAAUGUAUAGGGACCUGAAACCCUACUACUGGUGGCCGACGAUGAAGCUUGAUGUUGCAAAGUAUGUGGCCGAGUGUGUGACUUGUGCGAGAGUCAAGACACAACAUCAGAAACCGUACGGGAGUUUAGAACCAUUGCCUGUGCCUAUGGGUAAGUGGGAAGACAUUGCUAUGGAUUUUGUCACUAAACUGCCCAGAACAAAGAAUGGUCACGACAUGAUUUGGGUGGUCGUUGAUCGAUUCACUAAGAGUGCGCAUUUCAUAGCAGCCAAGGAGAAAUGGUCUAUGGAAAAGCUUGCGAAUUCUUACGUGAAGGAAAUUGUGAGGCUUCACGGUGUUCCGUUAACGAUUGUGUCGGAUCGUGAUAGCCGUUUCACAUCGAGGUUUUGGAAAAGUCUACAAGAGGAAUUGGGUACCAAGUUGUGUUUAAGUACAGCUUACCAUCCGCAGACUGAUGGUCAGAGUGAAAGAACGAUACAAACACUUGAAGAUAUGCUGAGAGCAUGUACCCUGGAAUUCCUAGGUAAUUGGGAUGAACAUUUACCUUUGGUAGAAUUUUCCUACAAUAAUAGUUUCCACUCGAGCAUUAAGAUGGCACCUUAUCAAGCUUUGUAUGGACAGAAGUGUCGUACGCCGUCUUGUUGGCUUGAGGCUGGGGAAAAGCAGUUUAUGGGACCGGAGAUGGUUCAUCAAACUGCUGAAAAGUUGAAAAUAAUUAGGGAAAGAAUGUUAGCAGCUCAGGAUCGUCAAAAGAGCUAUGCUGACAAGAAGCGAAGACCGAUGACUUUUGAAGUUGGAGAUUCGGUUUUGCUUAAAGUCUCGCCGUGGAAGGGACUUAUAAGAUUUGGAAAAAGGGGAAAAUUAAGUCCAAGGUUUAUUGGACCAUUUAAAGUUCUUCAGAGGAUUGGGAACAAAGCUUACAAGCUCGAACUACCAGAAGAACUGAAUGGAAUUCAUAACACUUUCCAUUUGUGUUAUUUGAGGAAGUUCACGGGAGAAGUUCCCGACAUGAUUCCACUUUCAGAGCUGAGAAUCGAUGAGAACAAAAGGUUGAUUGAAGAACCAGAGGCAAUUGUUGACCGAAAGACUAAAAAGUUGCGACGCAAGAUGGUCGAGUUAGUGCUUGUCCGAUGGAAGCACACGAAUGGGCCAAAUCUCACCUGGGAGACGGAAAGUGACAUGAUGGGUCGCUAUCCGCAUUUGUUUGUUGAUGUGUGAUUCCAUGGACGGAAUCAUUCUAAGGUGGAGAGAAUUGUAACGCCUGUGUUUUUGGGUUUGUCAUUAAUGUUGAUAUAAUAGUAUAGGUUAACCUUUGUAACCCGUUUUGAAAUAAUAAGAAUGUAUUAUUUGAGUAUUAUGUGUUUCGUGCUUAAUUGCUUAAUUAUGUAAUUUGAUUAAUUAAGAAUAAAAUGAGCAUCAAAAUUUAAGUGUAAAAUAAACUCGUUAUCUUUGGAUAAUAUUGUAGUAGUUGAAACGAGGUUUCCGAAUAUAUAUAGAACGCCCAAAUCUGACUUCGUAUGAGGAAGUUAUGAAUUUCUGAAAUUUCGACUUAGCGGUAUGCAGCCCGAAUACUCAAUUUGAGAUCGAGCGGUUUUUAGUCAAAACAACCUAAACGAGAAUUGAAGAUCUCGUUGUUAGUAUCGAAACGAUGAAAAGUUAGGCAAGAACGGACGUCAAAUGAAGAAGUUAUGAAUUUAUAAUGAAGUUUUUCUGUCCCGGCCUACUAAAAAUAAAUAAUAAAAAUAAAGUCAAAAUUAGCCGAUGAGUCUAAACGAAAGUUGUAGAGCAUAGUCUCACCUACGCGUAGAUAUAAAAAACGUCGAAAGCGGAGUUCGUAUGAAGAAGAUAUGAAUUUUCAAAGUUUAUUAAAUAAUUAAUAUUUAAAUUUAAUUAUUAAACCCGGUAUUAUCCGAAGGGGAGUCACUGGACUCAUCCGAAGUACACCCAGCGUACUGGCGUACGCCCAUCGUACAGCGAAGCAUGACGCGCCUCCCACUCAAGUUCUUCAGAUGACGCACACGGUGAUGAUUUCGGAGGCGUAUGCCCCGCAUACGGCUGUACACCCAGCGUACUGCGAGGCCUCAGCCUCCUAUAAAUAGGAUGCGAGGGUUCCGGGCUUAUUUGCUCAUUUCUCCUCCUUUUUGUGCCGAAGCUCUGCGUGUAAACCCCCAAAGCCAUCCCGACACCCCGGAUCUCAUAUCCAACAUAAGAAGGAAGUUUUACGCUCCCAAAGAUCCCGAGAAGUGCGAUUCCCGAGCCGAAGCUCUUCCCGCGAGAAGUUCAAUUUUUGUGGAGAUCUUCCAGAUCUGCCGAAGAAUACUACUACUAUAAGCUGUAGUGCUGUCCGAUCAUCUUCUGAUCAAGUGAGUGUGUAGUUACUUUCUUCUAACGCAUAAUUACGAAGUAUUUUAUACGAAAUACGUGUUAUGUGUAUAAUUUUGUUGUUAUGUGUGUGAAUGUAUAUUCACUCUCUUCUAUCUCAUAGAUCUUAUUUAUUUUCUAUGAAAUACGUGUUAUGUGGGUAUGCCUCAUCUGUUAUGUGGAAUAUAUAUUGAAUGAAAAUGCUAUACAGGUUUUAAAGUAUGUAUGAAAAUAUAUAUUUUUAUCUACUAAUAUGUUGGGUAGAACAUGGGUAGAUAGUUGGUGUGUAAUAAACAGAUGAGAGGCCUCGUUGUUGUUGAUCUAGUUAUUCAGCGGAGUAUGGAUAACGACCACAAACUCUUUCUAGACAGUCAUGUGGAACGUUAGCAGGUUCAUAACCUGUAGGUGUUGUGAACGAUGUGUUCACCGGUGUACUCUAUCCCCCUCAUGGUUGCCUUUAGGAUAUCUAUUGUUGAGGAAACCCCUUAGCAGUAAUGUCUGUCCCGAUGAAAAUCCUAGAUUAGGUCCCUUGAGAUAGAUGUUGUUUUAGGGACGUAAAGUGAGGAUAACGGGAAUGGGUAAUCGGGAUAGUGAUUGGUUGGUGAAAUUAAAUAUAAUUUAUUUAUUGUGGGUUGAAAACCCUAUAUGCUCACCAGGCUCCCAAGCCUGACCCACUCAGUUUUAUUUGUAUUACAGGAAGUGGCGCAAGGGCGUAAGAUGGAUGAAUCAUCGAGUUGUUUUGUUUACAAGUCUGUAUAUGUAUAUAUUUGUUGAAUGACUUGUAAUGUUAUCGUUUAUGCUUUAUGGUCUGUAUCGGAACAUGACAUCCCGAGUUUUGAUUAUAUAAUGAAAAUGCAUCUCUUGAUGAAAUGCUUUGAUAAAUAUUAUUUUAUCAUGUUUUGUUUUGGGAACAAAUUCCGCAACUCUUUUAAAUCAAAAGGAUUUACUCUGAAAUUAUUUUAAAAAGCAUAAAUGAAAUCGGUCUUUUCUGGCCGUGAUUUUGGGGAUGCAACAUCGGCAUGUUGGAUUGCCCUUUAGAGAUAGAGAACACCGAUGAUCGACCGGUGCGAGCGUAAGCAGUAUUCAGGGAUUGUGUCCUAAGGUUAUUUGAGGAGCGCUAUUUGGUGGAUUUGGUUCCCAUCCCUUUGCGGGGGAACAAGGUGAUUAUAGGCAUGGAUUGGUUGAGCCCUAAUGGGGUGGUGAUAGAUUGCGCAUAGCAGUUAGUGCGGAUCAGGACCCCAAGUGGGGGAGAGUUGCUGAUCCACGGCGAGGGGCCACAGCAUGGACCCACAGUAUGUUCAGCAGCGAGAGCUAGGCGCUACCUUCAGCAGGGUUGCGCAGGAUAUGUCGCGUAUGUUAUGGAUACCCGGGAUGCGGGUAAGGCGACGGUGAGUGAGGUUCCAGUGGUGCGAGACUACGCUGAUGUGUUCCCGAAGGAGCUUCCUAGAAUACCUCCGGAGCGUUAGGUAGAGUUCAGGAUCGACCUAGUUCCUGGUGCGGCUCCGAUAGCCAAGGCACCCUAUCGGUUGGCUCCUCCCGAGAUGCAGGAGUUGUCUACGCAGCUGCAGGAGCUGCUAGACAAGGGAUUUAUUCGACCGAGCAGUUCACCCUGGGGAGCCCCGAUCCUAUUUGUGAAGAAGAAGGACGGGUCGCAUCGGAUGUGUAUAGAUUACCGGGAGCUGAAUAAGGUAACGGUGAAGAACCGUUACCCACUCCNNNNNNNNNNNNNNNNNNNNNNNNNNNNNNNNNNNNNNNNNNNNNNNNNNNNNNNNNNNNNNNNNNNNNNNNNNNNNNNNNNNNNNNNNNNNNNNNNNNNNNNNNNNNNNNNNNNNNNNNNNNNNNNNNNNNNNNNNNNNNNNNNNNNNNNNNNNNNNNNNNNNNNNNNNNNNCCGCAUGAACCGUGUGUAGACCGAUGCUGGAUCGGUCUGUGAUAGCUUUCAUUGAUGACAUCUUGGUUUAUUCCAAGACGCAGGAGGAGCACGAGGAGCAUCUGAGAGAGGUUUUGGAGACCUUGAAGAGGGAGAGCUUGUACGCCAUGUUCUCCAAAUGUGAGUUUUGGUUACACGAGGUGCAGUUUCUUGGGCACCUCGUCAAACAAAACGGGGUUUCAGUAGACCCGACCAAGGUAGAGGCCGUGAUGAGAUGGGAGGUUCCGAAGUCUCCAUCCGAGAUUCAGAGUUUCCUAUGAUUAGCAGGCUACUAUCGGAGAUUAAUUCAGGAUUUCUCCAAGAUAGUUGUACCCCUGACACGAUUGACUAGGAAAGUUGUGGUCUUUCGAUGGGGGCCUGAGCAGCAGGCAGCGUUCGAGACUCUGAAGCAGAGAUUGUGCGAGGCGCCAAUCUUAGCCCUGCCGAAGGGUGUAGAGGAUUUCGUGGUAUACUGUGAUGCGUCUAUCUCGGGGUUAGGCACAAUAUUGAUGCAGAGGGGACACGUCAUCGCUUAUGCCUCGAGGCAGCUGAAGCCUCACGAGGUGAACUACCCGACACAAGAUUUAGGGUUGGGGGCGGUGGUCUUCGCCCUCAAGAUUUGGCGGCGUUACCUCUACGGGGUUCGAUGUACCAUUUACACGGACCACAAGAGUUUGAGGUACCUCAUGGAUCAUCCAAAUCUGAACAUGAGGCAGAGUCGGUGGUUGGACGUGGUGAAGGAUUAUGAUUGCGAGAUACUUUAUCACCCGGGAAAGGCCAACGUGGUGGCCGAUGCGCUUAUCUGUAAUGCAGCACCGAUCAGGGAUGUGUGUAUGAGGAUGACAGUGGUGACUCCACUGUUAGAGCAGAUUCGGGAAGCUCAGCAGGAGGCUAUGAAGGAGGAGCAGCGGAAGAGUGAGAGAAUAGUGGGUCAAGUCACCUCCUUCGAUUAUGAUAGCCAAGGGUUAUUGGCACUACACUGUAGGGUGUGGGUGUCGUAUCACGGAGGCGUGCGUCAGAUCUUGAUGGAGGAGGCGCACAAAUCCGGAUUCUCUAGUUAUCCGGGGGCGUUGAAGAUGUAUCGGGAUCUUCGUCUAGACUAUUGGUGGCCCUUCAUGAAGCGGGAUGUGGCGUGGUACGUCGAGCGGUGUUUGACAUGCAGGAAGGUUAAGGCCGAGCAUCAGAGACCGCACGGCAAGAUGCAACCGUUGGAUAUCCCGUUAUGGAAAUGGGAGGAUAUUACGAUGGAUUUUAUCACAAAGCUUCCCAGGACGGCGUGUGGAGUAGAUUUGAUUUGGGUCAUCGUGGAUCGGUUGACCAAGAGUGCCCAUUUUAUUCCGAUUCAGGAGAGUAUCUCGGCCGAGAAGUUAGCCGAUAUCUACAUCAGGGAGAUAGUGGCGCGGCACGGGGUGCCAGUGUCAGUGAUGUCAGAUCGAGAUGUGUGGUUCACUUCCAGGUUUUGGAAGAAGUUUCAUGAUGAGUUGGGCACUCGUCAGCAUUUUAGCACCGCCUUUCACCCGCAGACGGAUGGUCAAAGCGGGCAGACCAUCCAAACGUUGGAGGAUAUGUUACGGGCAUGCGUGCUAGACUUCGGUGGUAGUUGGGAUACCUAUCUUCCCUUGGCUGAGUUCUCAUACAACAACAACUACCACGCGAGUAUUGACCGUCCCCCAUUCGAGAUGUUGUACGGACGGAGGUGCAGGACCCCGAUAUGUUGAGGUGAAGUUGGCCAGAGGGUCAUGGGGAGCACCGAGGUGGUGCUCAAGAUGACCAAGAAAAUCCAGCAGGUUCGAAGCAGGCUUUAGACUGCGCAGAGUCGGCAGAAAAGUUACGCCGACAAGCGUCGAUCAGACCUGUAGUUCCAGGUCGGGGAUAUGGUUCUCCUGAAAGUGUCGCCUUGGAAAGGCGUCAUUCGAUUCAGGAAGCGGGGCAAGUUGGGCCCGAGAUUCAUUGGUCCAUUCAGGUUUGUAGCCUGGGUGGGCAAGGUGGCAUAUAGGCUGGAUCUGCCAGCCGAGCUCAAUCAGAUCCACAACACCUUCCAUGUCUCCCAGCUGCGGAAGUACCUAGUGGAUGAUUCAGCGGUGGUACCGCUAGAGGAUAUACAGGUUGAUGACAGCCUGAAUUACAUUGAGCGCCUAGUCGUAAUCCUCGACCGGAAGUCGAAGGAUCUGAGGAACAAGAGGGGGAAAUUAGUAAAGGUGCAAUAGCAUCACCGAAAGGGUUUGGAAUGGACUUGGGAGCCGGAGGAAGAAAUGAUGGAGCAUUACCCCGAGCUGUUUCAGGAGAUUUUUAGCACCUGCUUCCUGGUACGUAAAAAAUUUAUCUAUGUUUUUUGCAUUUUGGCCUUGGACUCGGCGAGUUGUACGUCCGACUCGCCGAGUGGAGACGGGUUUGGGAGCACGUUUAUGUUGUCGACUCCGCGAGUCCACAUUCUGGACUCGGCGAGUCCCCGCUGUCUGAUGAAACCCUAAAUUUCAAGGGUUUGCACCCUAUUUAAACCAACGUAUGCGCCCCAACCUCGCCCCCUUCACCCUCAGAGCUCCCAACAUCGUCCAAACCCUUAUUCCUUGAGAGAUUUAAGUGUUUUGGUGUGCUUCUUGAAGAUUUUGAGUGAAGAGAAGAGUAUAUCAAGAAGAGAAGAAGGAGGCCAGACAUCUUGGAGUUAUUUCAAGUGAUUCCCUUAAGGUAUAACUCAGUUUCCCUCUGUUUUCAUGCCUGUAGACCUUUAUAGCUCCAUUAAAGUCCUUCUUGAGCCAUUUCCAAGCUUGAUUAUGAAUUAGGGUUUGUAAUAAGUUGAUUAACCCUUAGAUCUAGGCAUUAUUGAGAUCCAGGAGCUCAGAUCUACUGCUUUUAUGGAGCCAUAUUGCAUGAAAGCCCUAGAUCUACUCUUUUAGUGCAUUUUGAGCCCUAAAACCUUCAUUGGUGUUUAUUUACACGUAAAGUUGGAAACUUUACGUGUUAACCAGGCCCUAGAAACCCAGAUCUAUAUAUGGCAUGAGUUGGAUCCAAGCAAAAUCGAAUAUUUAGUGUUUGCAUGCGAUAGACUCGGCGAGUCGAGUCGCGAGUCCCCGAGUUUCCCCUUUUGUGUUUGUGGAGUGGAGUAGUCAGUCAUGGGGAGUGACUCAGUGAGUCGGAAGCCAGACUCACCCAUGAAGGAACUCAGCGAGUCAAUGCCCUGACUCGGCGAGUCCAAGGAAAUCUUCUUUGCCUCAAGAACAGACUCGGCGAGUUGGCAGGCCAACUCGGCGAGUCGGGUCAACUGGAAGUUGACUUUGACUAUGACUUUGACUCUUGGCUCGGUCAGGGGUAAAUGGUCAUUUUACCCUGAGGUCGGUUAACAAUAUUUGACUGGGUGUUUUGUGGGGAUUUUAGCUGGAGGACUUCCAGGACAGCAGCAGCAGAAGACAGUCAAUUCCCACGCAGAUCAGCAGCUACUUUGAGGUGAGUUACCUUCCAGUAGCGGUGGUUCUACGACCACAAUGUCGGCCCACCAUUAGGAGUUGUAUGUUAGAUGAUUGUAUUUGUGAUAUCAUCUAGGUUGCUACUACCUGGUAUGUUAUAUGUUGGCAUGAUAUGUAUAUGUGAUAGUAGUAGAGUUCGGUUGUUAGGACAGAAGGGUAGGUCAGACACCCCAGAUAUGUCUAACAGUAUGUGAUGAUAUGUUUAUAUGUGACAUCCCCAAAAUCUCGGCCAGAAAAGACCGAUUUCAUUUAUGCUUUUUAAAAUAAUUUCAGAGUAAAUCCUUUUGAUUUAAAAGAGUUGCGGAAUUUGUUCCCAAAACAAAACAUGAAAAAAUAAUAUUUAUCAAAGCAUUUCAUCAAGAGAUGCAUUUUCAUUAUAAUCAAAACUCGGGAUGUCAUGUUCCGAUACAGACCAUAAAGCAUAAACGAUAAACAUUACAAGUCAUUCAACAAAUAUAUACAUAUACAGACUUGUAAACAAAACAACAAGAUGAUCCAUCCAUCUUACGCCCUUGUGCCACUUCCUGUAAUACAAAUAAAACUGAGUGGGUCAGGCUUGGGAGCCUGGUGAGCAUAUAGGGUUUUCAACCCACAAUAAAUAAGUUAUAUUUAAUUUCACCAACCAAUCACUAUCCCGAUUACCCAUUCCCGUUAUCCUCACUUUACGUCCCUAAAACAACUAUCUCAAGGGACCUAAUCUAGGAUUUUCAUCGGGACGGACAUCACUGCGAAGGGGUUUCCUCAACAAUAGAUAUCCUAAAGGCAACCAUGAGGGGGAUAGAGUACACCGGUGAACACAUCGUUCACAACACCUACAGGUUAUGAACCUGCUAGCGUUCCACUGGACUGUCUAGAAAGAGUCCGUGGUCGUUAUCCAUACUCCGCUGAAUAACUAGAUCAACAACAACAACAACAUCGAGGCCUCUCAUCUGUUUAUUACACACCAACUAUCUACCCAUGUUCUACCCAACAUAUUAGUAGAUAAAAAUAUAUAUUUUCAUACGUAGUUUAAAGAAAACCUGUAUAGCAUGCUUUAAUCAACACAUAUGUCACAUAACAGAUGAGGCACACACACAUAACACAUAUCUCAUAAAGAAAUAAGCAGAUCUAUAAGAUAGAAGAGAGUGAAUACUCAUUCACACAUAACACAACCAAAUAUAUACACAUAGCACGUAUUUUUAUAUAAAAUACUUCGUAUUAUUGUAUUAGAAGAAAUAACUACACACUCACUUGAUCAGAAGACGAUCCGACAGCACUACGGCUUAUAGAAGUAGUAAUCCACAGCAGAUCUGGAAGAUCUCCUCGAAAAUCGAACUUCUCGCGGGCAGAGCUUCGACUCGGGAACCGCGCUUCUCGGGAUCUUCGGGAUCUCGGGACUUGCCUCGGGGCUAGAGUAUGAUACCGGGNNNNNNNNNNNNNNNNNNNNNNNNNNNNNNNNNNNNNNNNNNNNNNNNNNNNNNNNNNNNNNNNNNNNNNNNNNNNNNNNNNNNNNNNNNNNNNNNNNNNNNNNNNNNNNNNNNNNNNNNNNNNNNNNNNNNNNNNNNNNNNNNNNNNNNNNNNNNNNNNNNNNNNNNNNNNNNNNNNNNNNNNNNNNNNNNNNNNNNNNNNNNNNNNNNNNNNNNNNNNNNNNNNNNNNNNNNNNNNNNNNNNNNNNNNNNNNNNNNNNNNNNNNNNNNNNNNNNNNNNNNNNNNNNNNNNNNNNNNNNNNNNNNNNNNNNNNNNNNNNNNNNNNNNNNNNNNNNNNNNNNNNNNNNNNNNNNNNNNNNNNNNNNNNNNNNNNNNNNNNNNNNNNNNNNNNNNNNNNNNNNNNNNNNNNNNNNNNNNNNNNNNNNNNNNNNNNNNNNNNNNNNNNNNNNNNNNNNNNNNNNNNNNNNNNNNNNNNNNNNNNNNNNNNNNNNNNNNNNNNNNNNNNNNNNNNNNNNNNNNNNNNNNNNNNNNNNNNNNNNNNNNNNNNNNNNNNNNNNNNNNNNNNNNNNNNNNNNNNNNNNNNNNNNNNNNNNNNNNNNNNNNNNNNNNNNNNNNNNNNNNNNNNNNNNNNNNNNNNNNNNNNNNNNNNNNNNNNNNNNNNNNNNNNNNNNNNNNNNNNNNNNNNNNNNNNNNNNNNNNNNNNNNNNNNNNNNNNNNNNNNNNNNNNNNNNNNNNNNNNNNNNNNNNNNNNNNNNNNNNNNNNNNNNNNNNNNNNNNNNNNNNNNNNNNNNNNNNNNNNNNNNNNNNNNNNNNNNNNNNNNNNNNNNNNNNNNNNNNNNNNNNNNNNNNNNNNNNNNNNNNNNNNNNNNNNNNNNNNNNNNNNNNNNNNNNNNNNNNNNNNNNNNNNNNNNNNNNNNNNNNNNNNNNNNNNNNNNNNNNNNNNNNNNNNNNNNNNNNNNNNNNNGCUCUAUAUAUAUAUAUAUAUAUAUUCGGAAACCUCGUUUCAACUACUACAACAUUAUUCAAAGAUAUCAAGUUUAUCUUACACUUGAAUUUUUGACGCUUAUUUUUAUUCUCAAUUAAUCAAACCACAUAAUUAAGCAAUUAAGCACAAAACACAUAAUACUCAAAAAAUAUACUCUUAUUAUUUCAAAACGGGUUACAAAGGUUAACCUAGACUAUUACAUUGCUAAAAAUGGCAAGCUCGAAAACACAGGCGUUACAUUAUAUGUUGCAUUAUAUGUUAUAUGUGAUAGUGGUAGUAGGAGGGGAAUAGUCCCCAAGCCCGAUCGUUAGGACCGAAGGGUAGAUCGGACGCCCCAGAUAUGUCUGAUAAUAUGUUAUGUUAUGAUAUAUGUGAUAGUAGCAGUAGGGGUGAAACAGUCCCCGAGGAUCAGUUGUUAGGACCGAUGGGUAGUCAGCACUCCAAAAUGGCUUGACAUGGGUAGUCAGCACCCCAGAACGGCUUGACACGGGUAGGUCGGGCACCCCAAAAUUGCCCAGCAGUGUGUAUAGUAUGUGAUUGUAUGGUAUGUGGUAAGAUAGGGGAACUCACCAAGCUUCGUGCUUACAGUUUUCAGUUUUGGUUUCAGGUACUUCUUCUUCGAAGGGGAAGGAGCUGGCACAGUAGUGGUACAUCACACACACGCUUUGUAUUCCGCACUAUGGGAUUCUCCUGGGGUUUUGUACUCUGACAGUAUUAUGUUUUAUAAAAUGGUUUCAGACAAGCAACAUCUUUUAUGAGAUGAUAUGAUCCGUGAAUGUUUUAUUUCUAAUGUUUUGCAAAGUGUAUGUUUUAAAAAUGAAAUUUUUGGCUCCUAUUUUUUGGAUGUUACAAGUUGUUUACUUGUCCAAUGAACAUACGUAAAGAUCUACUAAAAACAAUGAUGGGCGUAGGUAACUGAUGAAUUGGUAGAAUAGAUGUUUAUUUCAUGGUUCUUUGUUCGACUUUUUUUUUGGCUUCACGAAUUGAAUUAUGGUUUUUGGAAUCGUAGUUUGAUUAAAUUGCAUUGUUUUGGAUGAUUUUUAUAGUUUGGUUUCUUUUCAAUUAAACAAAUGCAAUUAAAAGAUAUCCACAAGUGUUUUGAUUUUAAUAUUAUUUAUGUUUUGCUACUCAUUGAUAAUUUAAUUUAAUAUUUUAUGUAGGUGGUAUUUGACAAAAUAUAUAUAUGUAUGUGUGUAAACGAAUGUGAACACAACAAAAAAAAAUAAAGAUAAAAUUGUAAUGUUGUUAUUUAAAUUUCUUUUCUUUUCUUUUCCAAUCGAACUCGAUAACACAUUUUUUAAAAAACUCACUUUCCUUUCCUUCGGACUAGGGAACACGAAAAAGUUAAUCACUUCCUUCCGCUCCCUUUCUUUUAUCUCCAUAUUUUCCUUCCCUUUCUUUUCUUUCGUUUAAUGAAACUCAAUGAAACUCGGAAACAAGACGUUAAUUUGGUGCAAGAUUUGCAGGAACAAGUUCAAAAGGGAUGAAGAGAUGCAAAAUAGAAAUGCAAUGAAGACAAAUACCACUUAAAGAGUAAUUUGCGGCUUUUAUAAGAGUAUUCAACAACCCCACGAUAAUCCAUGAAAUGAUUAUUAGUUUUUCUGUUUUAAACACUUAGUAAUGUAUUUGGAAGUUUGAAUGUACAAACAAUGUUUAUUAUAAUGUUUAUUUUUGGAAAACAAUUUUUACUGGAACAUGUUAAACACUUGUAAUUUACUUGAUACUUUGAAGAUAAAUAUAAUGACUUUUUUUUUUUUUAUUUUGUAUUUUGGCAAAAAUAUAUAAAAAAAUUCUACUGCUUUUUUAAACAAAAAAUCAAUUUACUGACAACUUAGUGACGGAAAUUUCUAUCACAAAAAGUAAAAAGCAUUCAUUGGUAGUCCGUCACUAAAAGUGUCGGUCCGUAAUCCAUCACUAAUAGUGUUUGUCCAUAAUCCAUUGGAAAAUAUGGUCAAACCUGGUCAAAGAACCUUCCAUCAGUAAUCCAAUUCCCGACCUAAUUUUCCGUCUGUAAUCUGUCACAAAUUCUGUCGAAAAUGCGUCACAAUAAUGCCCACAUGGCUUUUUUUACAAUAGAUCAAAUUCCGUCAGUAUUUAGUCAGAAAUCGGCUUAACCGAUGGAUUUCCCAGGGAUAUUGCCGUUGAAAAUAGUUUUCUAGUAGUGUGAUUCCAUAUAACUGUGAGUCUUACAAGGUUAAAUUUAAUCAUUCUUUUCAUGAUUGGGACACUUUUAGUAAGCCUAAGGAAAGUUCAAUAAAAAUUAAGGCGACUUCCGCUACAAGUCUAAAGGAAUAAAAUCUAGGAAGAAGUUUUAUUGUUUUUCUGGCUGUAUAAACUAAUGCAAACAGUUUUCCUCAAACUAUAUUUUAAUAAAAAAGAUAUAAAAAGCAAAUCCCAUACACUUUUAUAUAGUAUCUUUACGUGAAAUACAUUGUUCGGUAAAAACAACUCAAACUUUGUUUUGAGGUAGUUUAUUUACGCAUACGAUACAGAUAUAAAAUGUUAAAGGGAAAAUGAAUUCAACAAUUGAUCACAUUUUAUGGUACCAAAAAACACCUUUGUGUUCGCUAGCUUGGUCAGGCUCGAUAUACAUGCAUUCUUUAGCUUCCCUCCACAUGGCUUUAAAGAUUGGAGUCCUAUCGAUCUUAUAAAACUCACCCAAAACUGGAAUGAUUGCAUCUCUUGCCUCCUUUGCAUGAUAAUGUGGAAUGUAUGAAAUCAAAUGAUGCAAAACAUGGGUGUGUGUAACGUCAUGGAAAACCCUAUUCAGAAAUCCAAAGUCCCUAUCAAUUGUUGAGAGGGCCCCUUUGAUCCAGUUCCAUUCGGUUGAAUCAUAAUGAGGCAAUGAUAGAUGAGUGUGGUGCAAAUACGUUAUAAUAACGAAAAACAUAUGAACUCCUAGCACCGGAACGCCAUAUAUGCACGUAACCCAAGCAGCUCCUUUUGCUGUUACAGCAAGCUUGAUUACGUAAAAGACGGCAAGAAGGCCAAUAUCUGAUACCAGAACCUGAAUUCGCUCACGCUCUGUGAAAAUUGGACUCAUGGGAUCAAAGUGGUUCGCAAACCUUCCGUACUUCUUUCCAGAUAUAUUAGUUAAGAGGUAUAAAGGAAAUCCUAGGGUGAACCUAAACACUAAAGUGAAUACUCGACCAGGUGGGUUGUUAAGAAUUUUUGAGUACCACCUGACUUUCGACUUCCGUUUAGGAAUAUAAACUUCAUCAUUAUCAAGUGAAUUUGUGUUGGCAUGGUGAUUUCGAUGGCUAUAUUUCCAUGAAAAAUAGGGUGUCAUGAGAGCUGAGUGGAGGAUAAAGCCGAUAGUGUCAUCAAUCCAUUGGUAUUCGCUAAAGGCAUGGUGACCGCAUUCAUGACCGAUGACCCAUAAGCCAGUGAGGAUGCUAGCUUGACAGAACCAGUAAACUGGCCAAGCUAAGUAAGCUAGAGAAGGAGGAAGAAAAGGAAUGUAUGUAUUUGCAAGGAAGUAGAAAACGUAGGCAACAAUGAGGUCGUGAACAACAUAGUAAGAUGAACGGAUGACAGAUCGUUUGAAGCAAUGGGCAGGGAUCGCUUUCUUUAAAUCACUUAACGAAAAUGGCGGACCAACCGGAACUCGUUCCAAAAUCUUUUUAUCAUCAAAUGGGUGUGACAUUCGACCACCUGCACCCAUGUUGUUGAUAGUCGAUUAACCUGCGAAAAUGUCAAAUGUAUUGUGAGAUUUAUGUAAACUAAACAUAGAUAGAAUUAAUUACAAUAACAUAUAUCUUAUCGGAAAAAAAAAGACCUUUAGAGAGAAGUUAUGUAUGAGUGAUUGAUGAGUUCACCAGGUGAUGCUAUUUGGGGUUGGCUGUCCUCUUAUUUAUAGUGUCCAAGAGUUGCGAAAUUUAACGACACACUUGCGCUACUGGGUACUGACUUUUAUUGUUUAGGAAACACCACCAUUCAAAUUUGGCGGCUCUAAAUAAUAGACCCAAUUUUUAAUAGGAGAUUCUAAAUAUAUUAAUGAAAAACUACACUUGCGUAUAUUUAUUCCAUUGACUCAUUAAAUCUCACGUGACUGAUUUUCUUAAUGCUUAUUUUUAUAUUAAGAUGAUAAGAUCCUAAUAUAUUAAAUAGUAAAUUACACGAAUGGUCCGUAUGGUUUAGGUAGUUUACGCAUUUGGUUCCUAACUUAUUUUUUUACUCGAAAAGUUUUUAUUGUUCGUUUUUGUUACGUGUUUAGUCAUUUUAUUACCUAAAAAGACAAUAUUUCCAUUGAUUUUUUAAUUUAUUUAAAUAAACACAAAAUCACCCCUAGGUGGCCAACUUACUUUAUCUAUCCAUCAUUUUUUUCUAUUUAAAUAAUAUUAUUUUAAAUAAGACAGGGACCAAAUACGUAACAAAAAGAAACAGCAGAGACCAAACACAUGAAAAAAACAAACAGUAGAGAUAUUUCAAGUUCAAAAAUAAAUUAGGGACCAAAGACGUAAAUUACUCCAAACCAUAGGAACCAUUCGUGUAAUUUACUCUAUAUUAAAAAAGGUUUUAACAUAAAGUUAUAAAUAUAACUUUAACUACAAUUUACGUCUCAAAUUUCAAUGGAAAAUUAUAUAUAUAUAUAUCUAGAUGUUGCGCAUAGUUAUAUGUCUUGAUGCUGAAAUGUUAACAUGAAGCACAAAUAUUAUUAUAUAUUUAUAGAUGGUCCAAAUGAUUGUUAGUUGGAGAAAUAUUAACUAUUUUAUUUUAUAUAUGAAUUGGUUUUUGGUAUUUGUGGUCUAGUUAUUAAAAGUAUAUUGAAUUGUAUUCCAUAUUUGUAAUAUGAAGCACCAUUUCAAGAAAUAUUGGCAGUUGCGACUACCGUUUUAGUGUCGCCACUAGUAUGUUCCACUCCUGAUACAUGUCACUAUAAGAAAACGGAAAAUAGGGUAUACUAAAUGUAGUGUGGUUAUUAAAAAAAUUCAUAUUAGAUGUCGUUAUAUUGAUUCUUGUGCACGUUUUUUGAAAUAAAUGGGAGUGAAAGAAAUUUUCCGCUUCUAAUCAUCAGAUACUGAUUCUUUUCUUUCUUUUUCACUGGUUUCCCCAUGCCACCACUUCUCUCCUCCUCACCUUGACCACAAGGUCAUCAUCUCAUCUUCCCAUUCACUCCUCCAUCCUUGUAAAUUUUGUUAAGAAGAUACAAGACUUCCUCAUGUAAAAAUAGAAUUAGUAGAAUUUUGACGUAGUUUAUAACCUAGUUUUGAGAUUUUACUUAAAUGGAAUUCUUUUGAAUAUGUAAUUUUGAUGUAGAAGUAGAGUUUUGACAUUUACGUUUCUUCUUACUAUUGGAAUCAGGCCUGUUGGUGAUUUUGUAUCAUCAAUGUGUAUUUAAGUGUAAUGGAUUGACUUGUUGACCAAAAAUCAAUCUUGAUGAAUAUUAAACUAGUAAGGAAGGUACGGAGUGCACAUUUGUUUGAGUUUAUUCAAGAUUUAAAGUAGACUGUCAUUUAGGGGCGAAGCCCCUAAACGAACGGGGGUCUGGGGGCGGCUCCCCUAGGAGCGUGGUCCAAGGGGCGGCAGCCCCUCGCGGGGUCCAAGGGGUAGAGCCCCUGGCUUGGAUUGAGCUGGUUUUUGACUUCGUUUUAUAUGAGUUAUAUUGCUAUAUAAAAAUGCCUUAUAAAUCUGAAUUUUCUAUAAAUGAACCCGGUUUUUUUACUUCAUUUUAACCCUUUUUUAAUGAUCUAGUUUUAGUGAUAGUUUGUGACUGUUAUAAACUGUUUUGACAGCUGGAGUAGGUUUUGGACAGAGAAAACUGCCUUGACAGUUUUCAGACAAAUGAUAUACUUAAUCAUUCUUUGGUCAUCAUUUUUCCGGGUACAAGAACAAUCACGAAAUCAUAACUUCAUAUUCUCUAUUUUAGAAACUCAUCUGAGUCUUAUCCGAUUAAAGGUUGGGAGUACCACCCAAAUACUUUAAUCUGAAAGUGUUUAACACGAUUCUCAGGAUUUCCAAGUCUUUCCAUACCCCAAUUUUCUAACAAAGAUUAUAGUAUUUCUGUGAUCAUGGCAAGUGGCGAUUUUGUGAAGGAUAUGACAAGCAAGUUUGACAAAUUGAACAAGUUUAAAGGGCAAGAUUUUCGUAGAUGGCAGAAGAAGAUGCACUUUCUCCAUACCACUCUGAAAGUGGUAUAUGUUCUGAGUACACUCAUGCCAGUCUUACCAGAAUCUAUUGAAGAUGAACCUUUGGAGGCAACAAGAAGGAGAUCAAAGUGGGAAAAUGAUGAUUACAUAUGUCGUGAUCAUAUUCUCAAUGGUAUGUAUGACUCUCUUUUUGAUAUCUAUCAAAAUUUCGAAUCUGCAAAUGAACUGUGGGAUUCUCUUGAAUCCAAAUACAUGGCUGAAGAUGCUUCUAGCAAGAUGUUUCUUGUCAGUAACUUUAUGGGUUACAAGAUGAUUGACUCCAGGCCUGUUAUGGAACAAUUCCAUGAAAUGUUAAGUAUUCUGGGACAGUUUGCUCAACACAAUCUGGAAAUGGAUGAAGCCAUUUUUAUGGCUGUGAUUAUUGACAAAAUGCCCCCUUCCUGGAAGGAUUUUAAACACAAUCUGAAACAUAACAAAGAGGAAUUAACUUUGACUCAACUUGGAAUCCAUUUACAGAUUGAAGAGUCCUUAAGGACUCAAGAACUCGAUAACAAUCCCAAAGGCAAGAACCAAGUUGGUUCCUCUUCUGUGAACAUGGUGGAUGGAGAAGGAUCAAAGAAUCAAAAGAAGUCUAAUGGAAAAACGAAGUUUAAAGGAAAGGAUGACAAGUCUUCCAACAAGAAGGCUAAAGUGGUGUGUCGGAAUUGUAACAAACCGGGUCAUUUCAAGAAAGAUUGUCGUUUGCGUAAAGUGAACAAGGAUGGUGCAGGACCAAGUGGAUCCAAGGAUCCAGAAAAGCAACAAGGUCAGAUUUCUGUAUUCAUGCAGAAUUCUAAAUAUAUUCAAAAUUAUAUUUCUAUGAUUUCUGAAGCAUUUUAUGUGCAGGAUGAUAAUGUUGCAUGGUGGGUUGAUUUGGGAGCAACAAGUCAUGUUUGAAAAGAUCUAUAUUGGUUUAAGGACUUUCAACCAAUUAAUGAUGGUUCUGUUGUGAAGAUGGGAAAUGUUGCAACUGAACCAAUCAAGGGCAUAGGAUAUGUUUUACUUACUUUUACUUCUGGGAAAUGUUUGUGUUUGAACAAUGUUUUACAUGUUCCAGGGAUUCGUAAGAAUCUCGUGUCUGAAAUUGUAUUAAAUAAUUGUGGUUACAAACAAGUAUUAGAAAGUGACAAGUAUAUCUUGUCAAGAAAUGGUUCUUUUAUGGGAUUUGGAUAUGUAUGUAAUGGAAUGAUUAGGCUAAAUAUUAAUUAUCCUUUUAUUGAUAAUUCUGUUUGCAUGGCUUUUACUAGUACUAGCAAUAAUUUUAAUAAAUAUGAAUUAUGGCAUGCUAGACUAGGACACAUUCAUUACAAAAGAUUAAAAGACAUGUCUAAAAUGAGUUUAAUUCCUUCUUUUGAUAUGCAAAAUAAUGAAAAAUGUAAAACAUGCAUGCUAACUAAAAUCACUAGACAACCUUUCAAAGAUGUUGUUAGGGAAAGCAAGGUGUUGGAUCUUAUACAUAGUGAUUUAUGUGAUUUCCAUGCAACACCUUCCCUUGGAAACAAGAAGUAUGUUAUUACUUUUAUUGAUGAUGCAUCUAGAUAUUGUUAUAUCUAUUUGCUNUGCUACAUUCUAAGAAUGAAGCACUUGAUAAAUUUAAAAUUUAUAAACAACAAGUUGAGCUUCAUAAAAAUGAAUUAAUAAAAGUCUUGCAUACUGAUAGAGGUGGUGAGUAUUAUGAUCCAGUUUAUUUUGAAUCAACUGGAAUAAUACAUCAAACCACAGCUCGUUAUACACCACAACAAAAUGGUGUAGCUGAAAGGAAUAAUAGGACUUUGAAAGAAAUGGUUAAUUCCAUGUUGUCUUAUUCUGGAUUAAGUGAAGGGUUUGGGGAUGAGGCAAUGUUAACUGCAAGUUACAUCUUGAACAGAACUCCAAAUAAAAGGAGUAAGAAUACUCCAUAUGAACUUUGGUCUACAAUGGUACCAAAUUUGAGUUAUCUCAAAGUUUGGGGUUGUAGAGCAGUUGUAAGGCUCACUGAACCCAAAAGGAAAACAUUAGGUGAAAGAGGUAUAGAUUGUAUCUUUAUUGGAUAUGCUGAGCAUUCCAAAGCUUAUAGAUUCUAUGUUUUAGAAUCUAAUGACUGUGUCUGUGAACACUGUUAUAGAGUCAAGAGAUGCUAUCUUUGAUGAAGAAAGAUUUACAUCUAUACCUAGACCAAGGGACAUGAUUCAGCAAUCUUUCAACAAAAACACAACUCAAACUGGAGAUGAUUCUAGGCGUACAAGUUUUGUACUUGAGCUUAAAAGAGUACUAGAGCUAGAAAAGCUAUGUCGUUUGGAUCUGAUUUUCAACUUUAUCUAGUUGAAGGAACAAAGAAUGAGACUAUAUGUCAACAUCAUUAUUGUUUUAAUAUUGAGGAGGAUCCAAAGACUUUUAGUGAAGCUAUGGGUUCUAGGGAUGUUCAUUUAUGGAAUGAAGCAAUUCAGGAUGAGAUUGAUUCUAUCAUGCAUAACAAUACUUGGGUAUUGUCAGCUUUACCUCCAGGUUGCAAGGCAUUGGGAAGUAAGUGGAUCCUUAAAAGGAAAAUAAAGGUGGAUGGCACAAUUGAUAAGUAUAAAGCCAUAUUGGUUAUCCAAGGCUUUAGGCAGAAAGAAGGCAUUGAUUUCUUUGAUACUUAUGCUCCUGUUGCUAGAAUUUCCACUAUUAGAUUAUUGUUAGCUCUUGCAGCUAUACAUAAUCUUGUGAUUCACCAAAUGGAUGUGAAAACUUCAUUCUUGAAUGGUGACUUAGAUGAGGAAAUUUACAUAAAACAACCUGAAGGAUUUGUUAUGCCUGGUAAUGAACAUAAGGUGUGCAAAUUGAAGAAAUCAUUAUAUGGUUUGAAACAAGCACCAAAACAAUGACAUCAAAAGUUUGAUGAUGUUUUCUUGUCUAAUGGUUUUGCAUUAAACCAAGCUAACAAGUGUGUAUAUAGCAAAUUUGAUACUUCUGGUAAAUGAGUCAUGAUUUGUUUAUAUGUAGAUGAAUUGGUAAUUUUUGGUACUGAUUUGGAAGAAGUUGAUAAUACUAAGAAAUUCUUAUCAUCUAGUUUUGAUAUGAAAUACAUGGGGCAGGCUGAGGUAAUUCUUGUUAUAGGAAUUAAAAAAGGAAAAAAUGGAAUUUCAAUUUCUCAAUCUCAUUAUAUUGAGAAGAUAUUGAAAAAGUUUAACUUUGAGAAUUGUUCUACUGUUAGCACUCCUAUAGAUCCUAGUAUUAAGCUUCUACCUAAUAAAGGAUCUCCAGUGUCUCAACUUGAAUACUCAAGGGCUAUUGGUUGUCUAAUGUAUGCCAUGAUUAGUACUAGGCCUGCUAUAGCUUAUGCUGUGGGAAGACUUAGUAGAUAUACUAGUAAUCCUAGUUUACAUCAUUUGCAAGCUGUGAGUAGAGUAUUCAAGUAUUUGAAAGGGACCAUAAAUUAUGGUUUAACUUAUAGUGGAUAUCCUUCUGUUUUGGAAGGUUAUUCAGAUACUUGCUGGAUUAACAACUUAGAGGAUCACUCUUCUACUAGUGGUUGGGUGUUUGUUCUUGGAGGAGGUGUCAUUUCUUGGGCAUCCAAGAAACAAACUUGUAUUACUAACUCAACCAUGGAAUCUGAGUUUGUUGCACUAUCUGCUGCUGGUAAAGAAACUGAGUGGCUAACGAAUUUGAUUUAUGAAAUUCCAUUAUGACCCAAACUGAUAUCUACCAUUUCUAUCAGAUGUGAUAGUGCUUCAACUUUGGCUAAGGCUUAUAGUCAAGUAUACAAUGGAAAGUCUACACAUUUAGGUGUUAGACAUAGCAUGAUUCGUGAGCUCAUCAUGACUAGUGUGAUAUCCAUGGAGUUUGUAAGAACUCAGUUGAAUUUGUUCGAUCAUCUAACCAAAGGGUUAGCAAGAAAUCUUGUGCACAAUGCGGCUGUAGGGAUGGGUUUAAAGUCCACUUAAAAUCUUUUAUAUUGAGAUACCCAAUUCCCAUCUAAUGUAAUAUUAGAUGCUGAAUUCAAUGUGGAAAGCUUGAUACUUGAAUAUUGGAACACAUUAUUAUCAUCAUCCCAAGGUAUGUGCUCAGUACUGCAAGUAAAGGAGGUUGAAUUUAUAUUUUUAAUAGUUCUUUUGAAAAAUUGCAUUUGCAGGUGCAAGAAUUAAAAGACUACCUGUAUAAGCAUGAAGUUUAGCUUCUUCAAGAAGUUAGGACUUGGUUUUGAUAUGCUUAUUGAAGGAUGGGACACAAGCUAGUAAAAUAUAGUGUCAAGUUAGAACUUUUGAGAAUAUAAACUGUUGUGUGUAUUAUUUUCAUGUAUUCACUAUGAAUAGAAAGGGUUUAAUCCUUAGAGACAACCUGAUAUUCGAAUAUUUGGAUUGAAUAAUAUACUAAUGUGAAAUUCAAUCAUCACGAAAUUUCAUUUAUGCAUCAGUGUGUUGUUGUUAUGUUUUGUUUUAAGUUAAUCAAGAUUACACUUAAAUGGGGGAGGUUUGUUGGUGAUUUUGUAUCAUCAAUGUGUAUUUAAGUGUAAUGGAUUGACUUGUUGACAAAAAAUCAAUCUUGAUUAAUAUUAAACAAGUAAGGAAGGUGCGGAGUGCACACUUGUUUGAGUAUGUUCAAGAUUUAAAGUAGACUGUUAUUUAGGGGCGAAGCCCCUAAACGAACGGGGGUCCGGGGGCAGCGCCCCUAGGAGUGGGGUCCAAGGGGCAGAGCCCCUGGCUGGGAUCGAGCUGAAUUUUCUAUAAAUUAACCCGGUUUUUUGACUUCGAUUUAACCCUUUUUUAAUGAUCCGGUUUUAGUGAUAGCUUGUGACUGUUAUAAACUGUUUUGACAGUUGGAGUAGCUUUUGGACAAACAAAAAUGCCUUGACAGUUUUCAGACAAAUGAUAUACUUAAUCAUUCUUUGGUCAUCAUUUUUCCAGGUACAAGAACAAUCACGAAAUCAUAACUUAAUAUUCUCUAUUCUAGAAACUCUUUUGAGUCUUAUCCGAUUAAAGGUUAGGAGUACCACCCAAAUACUUUAAUCUGAAAGUGUUUAACACGAUUCUCAGGAUUUCCAAGUCUUUCCAGACCCCAAUUCUCUAACAAGGCCCUGUAUACACACUUCUCUGUAGCAACAUACACAACACUCAAUAUGUGAUUUUCAGAAAGAGAAGUAAAGAGGAGAAGAAAAAUCUUGAUGCAAGAAAACAGCUACACAUCUUCUAUUCAGAAAAAUAAAGAAAAGGAUUUUUAUAUAGCCUACAAAACCUACUGGACCCAAACAUCUAUCAUACCCACAUUUUCCACUUUUCCUCACCAAACCUAACAGUUCUAAAGCCUCAAAAGACUUGGUCCACAUGACUCAUUCAACUCAAGACCCACUACUAUUUAUUUAAUUAACUAAAUAAAACAAAUACUAAAUUAAAACUUGAAUAAUCUGUCAAGAUUAACCUAACAUUCACCCCCUUAAUCUUGACUCGUUUCUUCAUCAAAGCAAUGCCGGUUCUUCAUCUUGGAUCAAGUUUGCUUCUUUUUCAUUAUCUUUGUCAUUCCACUUUGUACACUCAUAGCUAAAAUGUCCAAAGUCUCCACAGUUAAAGCACUGGAAGCUAUUUUUGUCACCUCGACCUCUUCCUCUUCCUCGACCUCUUCCACCUCUUUCAUAGUUCCUUCCAGACCCUCUUCCAUGUCUACUACUAUAAGCAUGCCUUGGUUCACUUGCCAUCAUGAGUUCACCUUGCUCUUCUUCCUUUUCUUCAUGACUUUGAAGCCUUUCUUCAUAGGCUUUGACCCUUCCAACCGCUUCUUCAAAUGUCAUAGUUUCAAGAUCAGAAUAUUGUUCAAUUAGAGCUACAAUUGGCAAGUACUUCCUUGGAACCGAAUUGAGAAACUUCCUUACAAUCACCUCCUCUUCAAGAGUCGAAUCAAGACUUUUAACUUGGCAACAAUACCACUUAUUUUUCCCAAAAAGAAAUUGAUUGACUCAUUGUCCUUCAUCUUAAGCAUCUCUAAUUCAUUUCUUAAGGUUUACAACCUUGCUUUUUGCACCCGUUCGGCUCCAAUAUACCAAACCUUGAUUGAUUCCCAAACAUCUUUUGCAUUCUUGUGUUUAGCAACCUGUAAAAGAACAUUCUCUGGGAGGGUUUGAAAAAUUAUGCCUUUAGUGGUAUAUUUCUUCUUCUCGUCAACUACAUCCUUGGUUAUUGCAACCCAAUGUCCAUAUGCCCUCAAAACAGUUUCAAUCAUAAUAGACCAAGUAGUAUAAUUAGUUUCAAUCAAUUUAGGACAUUGAAAUGGUACAGAAGUACCUUGAGCAACAACCUCUUUUGACCCCCCCUUGGUUGGAUCCUCCUGCCAUUCUUUCUCUUAAACUUUCCUUUCCUCACAGACUUUAUACCAGGUCUCUCUUUCUCAGGUAAAAGCCUCUUCUUUCUGACUUUCUUUCUUUCUCUUUCUUUCUUCUUUCUUUCUUCUUUCUUUCUUCUUUCUUUCCUGCUUUCUUUCUUUCUUCUUUCAUUCCUGCUUUCUUUGUUUCUUUCUUUCUGUUUUCUGUGUUUCCGUCUUUCUUCUUUCUUUCUCUUCUUUCUAUCGGUCUUUACUUCUGCAGGAUCGUGAUCUUCAAUUAUCCAUGAAAUCACCUCCGCCUUCUUCUAAUUGAGCCUAGGAUCUGAUACCAAAUGUUGGAAUCAGACCCUGUAUACACACUUCUUUGUAGCAACAAACACAACACUCAAUAUGUGAUUUUCAAAAAGAGAAGUAAAGAGGAGAAGAAAAAUCGUGAUGCAGGAAAAUAGCUGCACAUCUUCUAUUCAGAAAAAUAAAGAAAAGGCUUUUUAUAUACCCUACAAAACCUACUGGACCCAAACAACUAUCAUACCCACAUUUUCCACUUUUCCUCACCAAACCUAACAGUUCUAACGCAUCAAAAGACUUGGUCCACAUGACUCAUUCAACUCAAGACCCACUACUAUUUAUUUAAUUAACUAAAUAAAACAAAUACUAAAUUAAAACUUGAAUAAUCUGUCAAGAUUAACCUAACACUUACAAUAGGUUGGAACUAUUUGAUUUUAGUUAUAUGUAGUUUCCAAUUGAAGGAGCAUCGAGAUGUUUAAAUGCAACGCAAUAUUAAGUUUCAUUAAUGCUAACGAGAGUAUCAGUAGCAUUGUUCUAGUCCUAUUUUAAUGGAAGGUGAUAUAAUGUUUUAAUGCAAUACUCUUAUAAUUUUUUCUAUUGAUUUCCUUGGUUGAUAAUGAAGAUUGGUGUGAUUAUACUCACUUUCAUAUGGGUAUAAUGGCGAGCAAGAAACAACAUGUUGUACAAAGGCUUGGUGAACUCGACACAUAUCCUCUUUAAUUAUAUUCAAAUGUUCUCUUAUAAUUGGAUUAGAAUAGAUAUAAAUGACGUAGGAAUGUGUCUUGUGAUCUAUGGUGCUUAGAUCCAAAAACUGUUUGUAAUGUUGUUUUCAAUUAGUGUCUUGUUGGUUGUUGUCAUUUAAUAUGAUUUUUCUUGUUGUCCAAAAAAAGGAAUAUUGUAACAUCUAUAAAAUUUGCGCCAAAUUUAAACUUUUUCAAUCAUAAAUAAAGCCAAAUAGUAUUGUUUACAAAAUGUUUUCAAAUCAUUUUUCCAUCAAAGUGUCCCAAAAAUGAUAACAUAAGGAUGAUGAGUGGUACGGUCACGCCUUCGCCUUUCCAUGAUAUCCUGAAGUACCUGAAACAAUAAACUGAAAACUGUAAGCCCGAGGGAUUAGUGAGCUACCCCCAAAAUACCAAUACCACACUAACAAUACCAUGUUAGAAAUAAUCAAUCAAUCAUAAUGCAAUAAUGGGCCGUCGGCCUGACUGGACCGCCCAUCGGGCCUACAGUCUGUCUGAAUCUAUCCCGAGCCUUCAGCAUGACUGGUCCGCCACGUGGGCCUACAGUCUUCCCGGACCGCUCAUAGGGUAUGUUGGCCUGCAGCACAAAGCAGGACCGCCUCAACCUAACCACCAACAAAUAACCAUGUGCGUAUACUAUCAUAUACAUGCAUAUACAAACAUCAUACAUAUCUGUCACACUGAUCGUCAAUCAUAGAAUUCUCUUGUAACUAUAGUACCGACCUAGCAAGUCACUAACAUACCAAUCCCUAUGCAUCAUAAGAGCAUAACAUACCAUCUACCCUGAUUCUGAUCUAACAGUUCAUAACCACACGUAGCAUACAAUAACAAUAACAACUAAAGGCCGACCUUCGUGCCGUAGACCCUAUCGAUAUAGUGAGGAUAACUCACCUCGCAGAUGUCGACACGAAAGGUAAACUCCAACCCUCGGAUCACUUGACACAGGUUCCACCACCUAUCAUCAUAGCAUAACAAACGCAUAAGUCAUUAACCUUAUAAGGUACUUCAUAACCCACUAGUCAACCCCUGGUCAAAGUCAAAUUCCUCUGUCAAGGUCAACAGUCCAUGUUAACCUUAACUCGCCGAGUACCUUUAGCUACUCGCCGAGCUCCUUAACAUACAUUCCAGUCCGCCGAGUCAUCGGAGUAACUCGUCGAGUUCCUUUGAUUCUCAAUCAAACUUAAGGUCACCCAUCGAGUUCCUACCUUGAAACGCAACGGAUACACGCUCAUACAUAUCCCAGAGAAAACCCAUCCGACUCACCGAGUUGUUCUUCAACUCGUCGAGUCUUAUGACGAUCUUAAUCCGACUUGCCGAGUUGUUCAUCAAACUCGUCGAGUCCACGACCAUCUUCAUGUGACUCGCCGAGACACCUAGCGACUCGCCGAGUCCAUUCAGUCCUUUUUCUCCAUACAUACAUAUUUUGAGCCAUGCAACAGCUCCAACUCAUAGAUCCAAGCUUCUAGGGCAUGCUUAUCACGCAAAGUUGCAAACUUUACGUGCAUGCAUGACCACAAAGGCUCUAAAUGUCUAUUCUAAGUUCUUAAUGAAACUUCAUGCUUAAGAGGGACCUUAAUUUCAACCAAGACUGUGACUUUAUGCCUCUAGAAUCCAAGGAGGGUCUAAAUCUGAAGUUACAACUUCAGAUCUAGCCCAUAGCUCAUCAUCCCAAGUUGAAAAUCCAUAAAAAGCCCUAGAAACCACAAAACGAAAGAAAAAGAAGUAAGAAUGGCAAUUUGAUACCUCCAAAAGAUGCUAGCUAAGGUAAAUCUUGCUUUCCCACUCCUUCCUUGCUUCAAUUUCCUUUUCACUCUUAGUUUUCUUCCUCCAAGAUCCUCUUUUUCCAAGCUUCAACCCACAGCAAGGCACACACACACGAAUUAGGGUUUUAAGGGGCUCUCAAAGACUGUAAAGAGACCAAUGGAGGCUAAGGCUCCUUUAAAUAGAGGUGCAAACCCCGGGAUUUAGGUUUUCCACUGCCAGCUCCUACUCGCCAAGUCUAGAAUGGACUCGUCGAGUAGGUCACUUAACAUGUGAUCCCACCCCGCUACUACUCGACGAGUAGGCCAACCAACUCGUCGAGUACAGCUUACUCCAAUGAAUCUUGUUUAAGAAUUACUUGAGAAUCGGGGCGUUACAACUCUCCCUCACUCGAACUAGACUUUGCCCUCGAAGUCCGCUGGAAUAAAUAAUGUCGGGUAAUGCUCGCGCAUCUCCGCCUCCGGCUCCCAUGUCCACUUGGAUCCCUUUCCAUGUUCCCACUGUACCUUUGCUAAAGGUAUUUCCUUGUUCCGCAUAAUCUUCUUCUUCCUUUCCAAAAUAGCCACAGGCCUCUCCACAUAGUUAAGACGCUCAUCGACUUGAAUGUCAUCCAACGAUACCACUGCCUCUUGGUCCAAAAUGCAUUUUUGCAAUUGCGAAACAUGAAAUUUGAUGUGGAUCCGGCUAAGCUCCUCCGGAAGCUCUAGCCUAUAAGCCACCCUGCCAACCCUGGAAACAAUCCUGAGCGACCCAAUGUAACGGGGACCCAAUUUUCCCCUCUUCGUGAAGCGGAUCACACCCUUCCAGGGCGAGACCUUAAGAAGAACCAUGUCACCCACCUGAAAUUCCAGCUCAGAUCGGUGUCGGUCGGCAUCACUUUUCUGCCGGCGCUGAGCGGUCUGCAUUCAUUGUCUAAUUUGCUGUAUAAUCUCGGUGGUUUGCAAAACUACCUCUGUCCGACCCAUCACUCUAUACCCAACCUCGCCCCAGCAGACUGGGGUCCUACACUUCCGCCCAUACAACAGCUCGAAAGGCGGGGCGCCAAUACUGGAAUGAUAGUUGUUGUUGUAGGCGAACUCUGCAAGCGGUAGGUGGGAAUCCCAACUCCCACCGAAAUCAAUAAUGCACGCCCUCAACAUAUCUUCGAGGGUAUGAAUGGUCUGCUCACUCUAUCCAUCAGUCUGCGGAUGGAACGCCGUACUAAAAUGCAGUCGUGUACCUAGUUCCUCAUGGAACUUCUGCCAAAAACGGGAAGUAAACCUGACAUCUCGAUCGAAAACGAUAGAAACUGGAACCCCAUGACGAGAGACAACCUCUCUAACGUACAAGUCAACCAACUUCUCUGCCGACGAACUCUCCCAUUUAGCAAGGAAAUGGGCACUCUUGGUAAAUCGAUCCACGAUGACCCAUAUAGCAUCGAACCCCCUUGCCGUCUUCAGGAACUUUGUGAUGAAAUCCAUCGCAAUCCAUUCCCAUUUCCACAUGGGAAUCUCCAGAGGCUGCAACUUACCAUGCGACCUCUGAUGCUCGGCCUUGACCGUCCUACAGGUCAAGCACCUCUCAACAAACCAAGCGAUAUCUCGGUUCAUGCUAGGCUACCAAUAACUUGAACUCAAAUCACAGUACAUCCUGGUGGCUCCUGGGUGAAUCGAAAAACGAGACUUAUGAGCCUCCUCCAUCACUGUCUGUCGGACCCCUCCGGACAUCGGAACCCAAACCCGACCAUAAUGGGUCAACAAUCUGCGGCUAUCCUGAAAAAACCAGAUGCUUUCACCCUUAAUCCUCUCCAACUUCCAGUUCUCUGGUCUCAUGCCCUCAAUCUAAGCAUCCCUGAUCAAACCCACCAGUGGGGAAUCCACCGCUAUCCUCAUACACCUAGCUGAGGUCGAGGACCCAGCUGACUUGCAGCUCAGAGCAUCCGCAAACAGAUUCGCUUUACCAGGAUCUCGCAAUCAUAGUCCUUGACCACAUCCAUCCACCUGCGCUGCCUCAUGUUCAGGUUCGGCUGAUCCAUGAUGUAUCUCAAACUCUUGUGAUCCGUGUAUAUAGUGCAACGGAACCCGUACAGAUUGUGCCUCCAAAUCUUGAGAACGAAAACCACUGCUCCCAACUCAAGAUCGUGCGUGGGGUACCUCGUCUCAUGCGGCUUCAGCUGCCGCGAUGCGUAGGCUACCACCCGUCCUCUCUGCAUGAGGACUUCCCCCAAGCCAGUGAUGGAUGCAUCACAAAAUCCUCCACUCCCUCGGGGAGUGUCAACACCGGCACCUCGCAUAAGCACUGCCGGAGGGUCUCAAAUGUCCUCUGCUGCUCAGGGCCCCACCGAAAAUCUACCCCCUUCCUCGUUAGACGAGUAAGGGGUACGACAAUCUUGGAGAAAUCACGAAUGAAUCUCUGAUAACACCCUGCUAAAUCCAAGAAACUCCUGAUAUCAGAGGGAGAUUUUGGCGUCUCCCACUGCAUAAAUGCCUCCACCUUGGCCGGAUCGACCAAAAUCCCCUCCUGGUUAACGAGGUGUCCGAGGAACUGGACCUCCCGUAACUAAAACUCGCAUUUCGAGAACUUGGCAUACAACCGUUCUCACCUCAGAACUUCCAGCAGCUCCCUAAGAUGCUCCUCAUACUGCUCUCGAGUCUUGGAGUACACCAAGAUAUCAUAUAUAAACACAAUGACCGAGCGAUCAGGCAUCAGUCUGCAUACCCGGUUCAUCAGAUCCAUGAACACUGUUGGAGUGUUGGUGAGUCCAAACGGCAUCACCACGAACUCGUAAUGACCAUAACGAGUCCGAAACGUGGUCUUCUCCACGUCCUCCUCCUUCACCCAGACCUGGUGAUAUCCUGAUCUCAAAUCAAUCUUGGAAAACCAAGAUGCACCUUGUAGCUGAUCAAAAGACCGUCUAUCCUCGGAAGCGGAUAACGGUUCCUCACCGUUAACUUAUUCAGCUCCCUAUAGUCAAUGCACAUCAUGUGUGAACCGUCCUUCUUUCUGACAAAAAGGAUCGGUGCUCCCCAGGGUGAACUACUCGGACGAAUAAACUGCUUACCCAAUAGUUCCUGCAACUGAGAUGACAACUCAUACAUCUCUAGCGGUGCCAGUGGGUACGACACCUUAGCGAUAAGGGCCGCACCUGGCAUUAGGUCAAUUCUGAACUCAACCUGUCUCCCCGGACGCACUCCGGGUAACUCCUCUAGAAACACAUCAGCAAUCUCCCUCACCACCGGAACCUCAGAAACUGAGAGCUACUCUCUAACCCGCGUAUGUACAACAUACGCCAAAUAACCGACACACCUAUGCUGAAUAUACUGCCGAACCCUGGCUGCCAAACAACACCCAUAUCCCAACCUGGUGCCCUCACCAUAUACCACAAGUUCUCCCCCACUUGGGGUUCGAACCACCAACCGCUGCCCCUCACAGUAGAUCAUGGCGCCAAAAAGGCUAAGCCUAUCCAUCCCUAUAAUCACGCAUACAUCCCUCAUGGGAAUAGGAAUCAAAUCUAUCAGGAAGGACACCCCGAAAAUCUACAACUCGCAUCCCCGGAAGACCGAAUUAGCAGAGACCCCGUGCUCGUUGGUGAUCGAAACUCGCAACGGACACUCAAGAUCAUCUAUCGGCACACUGAAGCCUCUAGAGAAGGUCUGAGAUACAAAUGAUCGACUCACCCCCAAGUCAAAUAAUACCAAAGCGGGCAAAGAAUUCACUAAAAACGUACCUAAUCACUAGUACAAUCAAUAAGCAUAACACGAAUACAAUAACGAAUACAGAGAAUAGAAAACGUAUCAGCAACCACAUCCGGUGCUGACUUGGCCUCCUCGGCCGAGAGCUGGAAGGCGCGACCCUGAGCCUUUGGAGGCUCCACCUUGACUUGCCUCCCAUCUUCAAUCUGAAGGUUUUUGGUCAUAAGAACAUCCUAUGUGCUCAUACAAACCCUAAUUCUUGGAUCUAGGUUUCUCUAUUGUACAUGCAAGUUAUCCAAGACUAUAAACCCUAGAUCUAGAAUAUGAUAACCAAUAUAACAUAUAAUUAGGGUUUAGAUCAUAUCUUGAUUGUUAUAUAGGAAUAACAAUCCCAAUUCCUCCUUUUAUUGACUUUAGAAAGCUUAGAGUCACAAAUGUCACUCCUCUAAUGGUUCACAAACACCAAUGUAACACUGUAAAUUUCAAGACAAAAUUUUCAUUUUAAAUAAUCAUUUUAAUCUUAGAACACUUGUUUAAAAUCUCAUUCAUAAUCGAAUUACAAAACAUAGCUCCAUUUUCACUUGCAUAGAAAACCAGGAUCCUCCAAAAUAUGACUCUUCCUCUGGUGUGUACAAUCAAGCCGGUGCCGUCCCGUGAUACUGAAAGAAACCUGAAAACAACAUAACACAAAACACUGUAAGCACGAANAGAAACAAAACACAAAACACUGUAAGCACGAAGCUUAGUGAGUUCCCCAAAAUACCACACACAUAACACAUAUAAGCCACUCGAGGCUAUAACUCUAUGGGUCCGUGCACCCAAACUCUGUGAACCCUCAGGUUCUAACUCUGUGAACCUUCCGGUUCUAACUCUAGGAACCCUUCGGUUCCAACUCUGCAAACAUGCACAGCAUAAAUCACAUAGAAAUAAUGCAGUACAACACAUAACAUACAUAGCAUACAAAUACUCUGUCACAUAACUCUGGUUACCUACUCAAGGUAAAGUAUAGUGAGAAGACUCACCUGGCAAGCAAAAAGCAGAUAUCUCCAUACUCGGAUCUCGAACUCGCCACCGCCUAACACGUAAGGCAAAACUCUCAUGACUAUAACUCUCGAGACUAGAAUCAAUCCUCUCAAUGCACCCUCUUAAGGGUAAAAGACUAUUUUACCCCUCUCUUGGCCCAAAGGCCACAUCGCUGACCAAACCCUAAAAGUCAACGGUCAACCCUUGGUCAAAAUCAAAGUCCUCAGUCAAAGUCAACCCCUGACUGACCCUACUCGCCGAGUCAACUCUAUGACUCGCCGAGUUUCUAUAAUCAGAACUUCACUCAAUCCGCGACCUAACUCGCCGAGUCACUCCGAGACUCGCCGAGUCCAACAACUCUGAGUCCACUCGCACACAACUCACCGAGUCAUCCCUUGACUCACCGAUUCUCGACUCAACCAGGGAAUAUCGGGACUCUUCGACAAGACUCGUCGAGUCCAAGAACAGACUCGCCGAGUCCAAGACUAUCAUCAACCUACUCGUCGAGUUGUUCAUACAACUCGCCGAGUUCCAGGUCAUCUUCAACCAACUCGUCGAGUACACCCAUGUGACUCGCCGAGUACCACCGGUCUGAAUCCAUUCAGAAGCAUUCCAGGCCAUGCAAUUGCUCCAAAACAUAGAUCUAGCCUCCUACCACUCAUCCACCACGUAAAGUGGCAAACUUUACGUGAAUCCAAAGAGAUCUAGGCCAUUUGCACAUUGGGCUAAGGUUUGGGACAUGAAAGCUUCACUAAACACUCCAACACAGGGACUUUCAUGCUCUCUGAUUCUUCUCCCUUCCAGAACUGAGGUAGCAACCUCAGAUCUAACCUCUAGACUUCCCAUUACAUCCAUAGACAAGUUCCCACAAACCCCAAAAUGAGGAAACAACAUAACAACAGCCCAAGAACGAGAUAUUACCUCCAAGAGAUGCCCCUACUGCAAUGUAAUUCGAAUCCAAGCAAAGCCCCUUGCUCCAAGCCUUCAAUCUCCCAAAAUUCCUUCAACAAUUACUUCUCCAAGCUCCAAUCCACUCAACAAUGGUGCUUCUCUGCGAUUUAGGGUUUUCUGGGGCUCAAGGGGUGAUAAGGAGGCUGGGAGGAAAACAUAAUGUUCUUUAUAUAGGGCUCAACCCCGAGAAUUAGGGUUUUCUCCAAUCAGCGCCUACUCGCCGAGUCCUCCUCACUGACUCGCCGAGUCGGCUACUUAGCACACGACCCAGUCGCGACUCUACCCGCCGAGUCCAUCCAUGGACUCGCCGAGUCACUCUUUCACAACUUACUCUUUUAGCCCUUCAACUCUACUCUUGAUAUUUCGGGAUGUUACAACCAAGAGCAAAAGGAUGAAGAGGAGAGAGGAGGGAGGCUGCCCUAAAACGUGUAAAACCCUAGAAGAAGUCUUCCCCACGUUUUUGGGUCAUAAGGGAUCGAUAUAUAGGAGGCUAUUAGGGUUAUCUUCACAAGGAAACCCUAAUUUGGAUGCUUAAGCCCUAAGCAACCCAUAGAUUCCUUUCCUUAAGGGCUUGGACGAUUUCUUAUGGGCUUCCCCAUAGAAUUCGUCCACUCCUUAAUAUAAGGCAAUCCAUGGCCCAUAUUGCAAUUAUCUUAUAAUUACAAUUCCAGUCCCUUAAGUUUAGUUAAUCCCUUUUAGUCACAAAACUAAUUACUAAUUAAUUCUUGACUAAUAUUAAUUAAACAAUAUGAUUUCUCCUUUAAUAUAUUAUUCUCAUAAUAUAUUAAUAAAUCAUAUUUAAUCCUUUCUCUCCAUAAUUCAUCCUAUCAAGUUGCUUUAGUGAAGGCAACCCAAGAGGACCAUGCACCAUCGGGUCAAGUACAUACCAAAAUAGUUAUGGACUUGGACACUAAUCCAACACAAACCUCACAGUAGCUGGCGCGGAACCCUAUGCCGGCUUGGCGGCGAGCUGCGGACAGUUGGUCUUCACAUGACCAACCUGAUGACAAUGGUAACAAAUUCUCAUAUCUGCUGGAGGGGCGGACUUAUAGCAGUCCCUAGCAUAGUGUCCCUCUUUGCCACAUUUGAGCACCCACCUCCUGCUCGACAAACCCCCGAAUGAGCCUUGCCACACUUUCCAUAGGUGCAGCUCUGAUGACCCCCAGACUGUACAUCAACGAUUUUAGAUCGCUUAGGUGCCGGCUGAGACUGUGCCGGUGCUUGACGCUGCUCCUUCAGCUGCAUUUCUAUCUCCAACUCACGCCGUCGCACGGCUUCCUGAACGUCCAGGAGGGUAUCACGUCGCUGAGUAGACACAAACUGUCGAAUAUCAGUCUUGAGCAUACUUAGAUAACGAGUCAUCUGAGACUGCUCUGAUACCAACUUGUAACAUCCAAAAAAUUUGCGUCAAAUUUAAACUUUUUCAAUCAUAAAUAAACCAAAUAGUAUUGGUUACAAAAUGUUUUCAAAUCAUUUUUCCAUCAGAGUGUCCCAAAAAUCAUAACAUAAGGAUGAGGAGCGGUACGGUCAUGCCUUCACCUUUCCAUGAUAUCCUGAAGUACCUGAAACAAUAAACUGAAAACUAUAAGCCCGAGCGCUUAGUGAGCUACCCCUAAAAUACCAAUACCACAUUGACAAUACCAUGUCAGAAAUAAUCAAUCAAUAAUCAUGCAAUACUGGGCCUCCGGCUUCACUGGACUGCCCUACCGGGCCUACAGUCUGUCUGAAUCUAUCCUGAGCCUUCGGCAUGACUGGUCCGCCACAUGUGCCUACAGUCUCCCCGGACCACUCAUCGGGUAUAUUGGCCUUCAGCACAAAGCAGGACCGCCUGAACCCAACCACCAGCAAAUAACCAUGUGUGCAUACUAUCAUAUACAGGCAUAUACAUGCAUCAUACAUGUCACACCCCAAAACCAUUGAACAACGGAAACGUUCUGGGGCGGAGGACGUCAUGUACAGUAUCACAACAAUGUAAAGUAGUAAACAAGCAACAACAUCAUCCAUUGCAUUAAUGAGAUAAUUAUUAUACAAAUGUGUUCUGUCAAAUUUUGAUAAACACUAAAGCAUAAAUCAAAAUGAAAGAUGAGUCUUCAACGAGCUCCAUCUUCCCAAAUCUUUGCAUCUGUACCUGUCUAUGAUGACCUGAGGAUACAAGUAAUUUUGAAAGCGAGUAUCAGCUUUGAAGCUGGUGAGAUCAUAAGUAUUUUAGUGUCUUAAUUUGUAUGAAAAUACUUGUAUGUAUUUGAAAUGUAAGUAUUUGUAUGUAUACGAAUUGUAAGUAUUGAAAAUGUAAAUGAACUGUAUAUAUGAAAAUGUUUGUAAAACAACUGUAAAAGUUUGAAAAGCCCUAGAAAUCCCUAUGAUUCCUAUUAGUGACAAAAGGAGUCUUCUACCAAGACUUAGCUGUUCUGAAUGUAGCCUUCUACCAAGGCAUCUAGUGACUGUGCGUGUGUUUCUUGUAAGAAUAUGUAUUUUCCCAGGUAUGACUAUCAUUAACCAAAAUAUAAUUUCUACAUUUCCGUGCGUCGUGUGAAUGUUCACGAAGUGAAUGUAAAUGGGAAAAAAAACGAAAUAGUACUAUGGUGUAGUGUCGAACUACAACGGUACCAAUUUCCUUAAGUCUAGGGUAAUCAUGUAAGUACUGUAGUAUUUGUAAUAAAUAACUACAUCGGUACUCCGCUGCCUUAUUUGAUGGAUAAGGUAUAAUGUGAUGUCUAGAUCCUAGGCUAAACACUCCCCUAUCAAAGGGAUUUUGGGACCUACCCACGACCCCUGCAUAUCUGCAAGCCGUGAGCAUCCACAUUACUAUGAUCAUGUAUACUCGAUAUAACUAUCACAAUUGCGUUGUGAUUCAUCAAUAUAGUUAGAUCCUGAAUUGGGUCCAUGCUAUAGCACCUAGUGGCAUCUGUUCUAUGUAUAUGUAAGUGUACCCGUGUAAGUGUGAUCAUGUAAUUGUAUAGUAAUAUAUCGUAAUGUUCUAGUUGUAGUGUAUGUGCUCUCUAUCUAGCAAGUAUAGUAAUGUUCUGUAAUGUUCUAGCUGUAGUGUGCGUUCUCUCUAUCUAGCAAGUAUAGUAAUGUACUGUAAUGUUCUAGCAAGUAUUGACUCAUGAAUGAACUGACUCAUUGUAUGGUAUCGCUUUCUAGUAAUAGUUCUAGUAUCUUCCUAAACUACCCGCAUGGUAGUUUACUAGUAAUCUAACUGGUACGUAUGGACAUGGAUGUAUACCCUUGCUACCCAAGGGCAUGGGAUGAACUGGAAGGACCUUUAUGACUAUAUAUGUACAUGUGAUAUAUAACUAAUGUUUAAACGACCUUUAGACGAAUACCCGAUAUCCCACCAGACCACAUCUCAAGCGCGAAAAGGAAAUAGGGUGGAUAGCCUUCCUAACUCUUUUAAAUAUUUCUUAUAUAACUAUACAUAUAGAGGCAUGCAAUUUAUAAUAUAAAAACAUAAAUAAGUUUUGUAAAACCUUUGAACAUAGUUAUUAUCUUAAGAAAAGAUCGACUUGAUGUCAAUCUAUAAAACGGUAUGAAGGCAUGGGUUUGAUAAAACGGUUUAAGUAUAAGAAUACGUUUGUUUGAAACACAAUUAUAAAUAAGUUUGAAAUAAAACAUACAGAGUAAAAUUUAUAGAGAAAUAAGGAGUUUUAAACACAUAAAGUGUUUAUGAAAAACAUUUGAAGGAAACUGUUUAGUAAAAGGGAUAAUGAGUAGCCAAUCAUUUGAAUGCUGCUUAUUAAUCACAUGUGAUUGAUAUAAUAAUUAGCAUAAUUCUACUUGUAUCCUCCCCCAUAAAACAUUUAAAAACAGUUUAAAACAUUGAUUAAGGGGUAUGAACUCACCUGUAGUGAGUGGUUCUGAUGAAAAUGUUGGAUCAGUUGCUAAGUAUCAAGUGGUGACUUGAGUACACACGCGAAUCCUAUUUAGCAUAUAUUGACACAUAUAUGAAUAUAAUUAGUGUUAUGAACAACUAAUUAAUGAAUUGGGACCACCUUAGGGACUAGUAAACACUUAUAAUGAAGUGUUACAACCAUAUAUGAUUGUAUGAAGGGGGUAUAAGGCUUUACAAAGGAGUGUAUGGCCAAAAUACACACUAUAUGUGUGUGUGCGGCCAGGUGUGCGGCCUAGAGUGCUGCCAACACAUGUGUGCGGCCCUGUGUGCGGCCAUGUGUGCUGCCAGAUGGUGUAUGCUGCCAUGUGUGCGGCCAGAUGGUGUUCUUGGUGCUCUUGGUACCUUUUAUGAAGAUCUUCAAGGAGAAUGGAUGAUACUUGAGAGGGUUUUCGAGUUCUAUGCUUGAAGAAGUGAAAUAAGUGUUCAAAAAUGACUAAGUGUGGUAUAUAUAGGUGGAGUCUGCGGUUGGGAAGGGUGUGAGGCCGCAAAUACAUGUGUGUGGCUGGACACUCAAGUGUGUGGCCGCACAGUCCAUGUGUUGGAGUGUUUGGCCUCUUUUUGAUUCCUACACUUUGAGUUAACCCAUUUCCACACUCCAACAUUGAUUAUAACACAUUUAGAACGCACCAACAGACCCCAAAUGGUACUAAAAGAUAGCAAAACGAGUCUAUUAUUGAUAAGAAAUGAAGAAUGCAAGCUAGUAACUUUCGGGUUGUCACAUCAUCCCCCUAUUAAAGGGAAUUUCGUCCCAAAAUUAGAAUUUAGGCAAGGAAGUAGGUACGAAUGAUCAAAUCAUGAGAAGGAAACUUUCUAAUCAAUUGGUUCUAGCGCUCCUAAGUGAAAUCGGGUUCUCGGUUGGUAUCCCAACGAACCUUCACUAACGGGCGGUGGUGAUGCUUCGUCCGUUUGACCUCUAGGUUGAGGGUCACUACGGUUCUAGUACGAAGGCGAGGAUCUCGACGAGUAGACUUACUAGAGUCCUAACAGAAAGGUAUGGUUUCACGAUCGAGACGUGAAGAGUAGAAUGUACGUUACUGAGUUCGCGGAGUAGGUCUAGUUUGUGCGAGGCAUAGGACCGAUUCUGAUAAGAAUCUCGGAGGUCCUAACUAUACUGGAUUUAUCUUGCCAUGCGAUACGAAGCGUAUUAAGCCAUUCCCAGAGUGAGUUCUCCUAAUGAAUUUGGUCACCCACUUGGAAUCUCCAAGGUUUCUUUUUCUUAUUUAACUUCCCAGUCAAGGGCCACCCCUUGAUGGGUCAGAGUCGAAAGGGUUUCUGUGAUUUACGAGGAGUUCUGGAUGAACUAUGACAGUAGGUCUGUAAGACCUAGAAUUUGGCGAAUUUCUGUCGGUGUCUCUGGUGUCGACAAAUGCUCAACAGUUUUGACAAAUUGAAAAAGUACUCAAAACUUCCCAUAUUACUAACAGUGUCAUAGAAAUUCGACUCUUCAAUUUCAAAACUCGUGCCUAGAGAACUUCUCUAAAAGUUCCCCUGUAGGAAAUGUUUCCAUGGGUUUUCUUCUUACUACAAGGAUAGAUAAGUAAGUCAUUACAUGGAGAAAUGACGAACCGAUCCAAGUAAGAAAGACGUACCCUACUCGUUUAGCUCAUGAAAACUAUGGGUGUAUUGGUCCUAUCCGAAGGGUAUCACUAUGGAUUCGAAGUGUCCGCAUCGAGUUCGGAAGAUAGUCUUCCAUACAUCCUUCCCUAACACUCAAACUGGUGAUAUUCGGAUCUCAGAUCCAUUUCUGAAAGUAAUUCUUUCCUUGCGUUUGCUCAACCAUCUCAUCUAUGCGAGGCAGAGAUAAGGAUUUUUAUGAAAAUCUUGAUGGAGUCCUCGAUAUCCGAGGCACAUACGAUGCAAUUCCGUCGAUCUCUGGGAGCAUAAGACUGGGGGUUCUCCAGGGUGAGCAGCCUAGUCUUCUUAUUCUAUCACUGUGCAGUUCGUUAAGUUGUCUGUACUGUUCUGGCAUUUCCAUAGGUGUUUAGACUAUAGGGCGAUCUGUUUACAAGAGUCGUACUGGGUUCUGAGUUUAUUCACAUGACGAUGCGAUUACUCGUAGGCUUAGGCAGUUCUCUGUCCUGAAGUUCAUAUUAGAAUUCAUAUAUGUUUUCACAAUCACAAUCUCGUGUAUACGGGUCGUAUAUAAUUAAGAUUGAAAAGGUAGUCGAAUAACUGAUUCUUCUUUAAGAUCACAUGCCAUCGGGGAAAAAGAAGUUAAUGAGGAAUCAUCAAUUCUAAACCUGUAGAACCUUGAUUAUAUUUCACUCUUAUGUAUACAUUCCUCAGUGAUAGAUCAAUCAUAUGAAUCCUUGGAUUGAACUUGACGUACUGCACGAGUGGUACUUCGGGGAUUUCUUCGGAAAGAAGAUAUCUAAGAGGUACUCCUGGCAUGAGUACUUCGGUGUUCUGAUAUGACGGGUUCGCUGGAAAAGUAAUCUAGAAGAAAGAGACGUACGCAUGAAGGUGUUGUUGUGAGGAUCUAAUUGAAUCGAGUCGUAUGAUAAUGUCGAAAUCAUACUGAAUCUUAAAGACAUUAGAUUCGAACAUAAGACGUUUACAGACAAAACACAACUGUGCAACCACGAACAGGGUUAUAGUACUUUAGAUUUACAACAAGACCAUUGCUACGAAUAAGAUAUACUACAAAAGACAAGUAUACGCAGCACGAGCAUCCCUAUAAAGACAGGAUCUCGCAAAAGGUAAGACUCUAGUUGCACUAGUUCUGGAUAGUUUAUAAGUCUGCUACAACGAAACGCCUUAAUUACAUUAACGUGGGUUUCGGAGUAGGUUCCCCUACAGCUGUGAUCCUAAGAAUCUUCCCAUCUGCACCCGAGUUCUUCGCUAUCGGGCAAUCCCUCUUGAGAUGUCCAAUUUCACCGAAUUGGUGACAUAUAUGGACUCCACCCACAUUGGUGGUGGAAGUGAAGUGUUUAGUAGGAGAUAUGGGGACGCAGGUUCUUUCCCUUUUCGGGCAAUCUCUUUUAUAGUGCCCAAACUCACCACAAUGAUAGCAACCUAGGCUUGCCCCAGUGGUGGAGGGAGUUCUAUAGAAACGAGCAAUGUGCCCCAUCUUGUUGCAAUUAACGCAUUGCAAGGCUCGGCACACUCCCUCGUGGUGGUAGUUGCACCGAUCGCACUUUGGAGUGUUCCUUUGUAUGGUCUGCUCGGUACGGGGAUGGCAGAGGUUUCCACUUGCUGUUGUUGCAUGGCAAGUUUUCGGGGUUUCUUGCGUUCUUUCUAGGCUUGACGCUUCCGUUUCUUGUUCUUUGAUUUUCGGCUUUGCGGGCCUGUGGCCGUUACAGUUUGAUGACUUCCCGGAUGGAUAGCACGAUUGGAAACUUCAUUCCUAUCAACAACAUUGAUUGUGUUGAUAGUGUCAUGGUGCGCAAGGACAGCGGUUAUGACAACUACCAUGGCAGCUGUAACUGCUGUUUGGAAGGUAGCGGCGUCCAUAGUAAAGGCGGAGGUCUCGCUGUUCGACUGAUUGUUUGCGGGUGACGACAUGAUUCUGUAACACGAAAUAUAAGGAUUUUGUGAGCGAUUCUGGUUGACCCUUGAUGUACUUAGAUUGUUCAUGUAAAGAGUACGACUAUGUUCUCGAAAGUUUGACCUACAUCCCUAUGAUGCAGUCCUAGCACGGAUUGGAAGUAUGUUCAUGGAGGUUUGACCUACAUCCCUAUGAUGCAGUCCUAGUAAGGAGUAGAAGUAAGUUCGUAGAAUGGUCUCAAGACGUUUGUCGUUCAAGCCGAGGUAUCGUGGGUUGGUGAAUAACAAGAUCCAACCACUGAAAGAGACUUGGAAAUGUCUCCAGAGCUAAAUUACUAUAGUCCAAUGACUUGACUAAAGCAUGAUUCAGAUAGACUCCAAUAUAAGUAUGGUAAGAGUACUUGAAUAAAGAAUGACACAGAAGUUAGCCGACUGUCAAUAUCUUUAAUAUUCGUGACGUAAAAGUUCGGGAAAAUGACCUUGUAAAGGUCUUACAUCAUAUCCGGAGAAGAUAGUUCUUGACAGCAUAACGACCUAACCAAAAGUACUUACAUUACAAGGUAAUUUCAUAGAAAGAUCCACAUCGGGCAUAGACAGAAAAUGAUUCCUGUUAACAAGGAGAAAUAAAGUAAAGCGUCUACUACCGGCGAUGGUCAUCCCUCUGGUGAACUCUUAGUUCAGCCAGUUGACGUUCCACAUCAAGUAGGUGUCUUUCGUGCACCCUCUGGCGUACUCAGAGCUCUAUGACUUCGGCUCGUGAUUCAGCCAGUGCUUGCAGCAGGGUUUCAUGGUUUCUCUCAGAUCUCUCGCGAGCAUCUUCUAGACGAAUGGUGCAGAGGGUAUGCAUUCUCGUAUUGGCGACAACUUCAAUGAUCUGAUGUAGGGCUGUCCUGCCUUGAAUCUCAUUUCGGGUCACUCUGCGGACCAAGAUCGGUAAGAUUCUAUCUGCUGAGCCCCCAUUGCUCAGGUCGUAAAAGCUUCGGUCGCCAUUAAAUGGCAUGGGCUGAUCUUGUCCUUGGAUCCAUGAUUCUAAACAUUCCACCUACUCAGGCGUCGAGCCAUGAAAAGUCGGACGAGGGUUAGGAAUUGGAAAGGAGUUGCUUGGGGUAGGUUAUCAUCCUCUGGUUCGGAAUUAGCAUCGUCUGAAAGGUCUUCAUCAUGGUGAUCAUUCAAAGGGAUAGGAUGAUCAUUCUCUGGUUCUUCUCCAAACCAACCAGUUAUGACUUCGUUCGGAAGAUACUGGUUGCUGAGGGGAUGGAGCCCAGCUAUGUUUUCUAAGCGAGAAUUUAGGGUAAGAGAAUAAUUUAUUAGACGAACUAUCUAGAUCAUUAUUUAGAAAACCUUCAUCAGUUACAUCGCUAUUUGUGAAGUGCAUACCAGUUAUGUGUAAUCUAAACAGGAUAGACCUUCGAAUAAGUGACCUUAAUUCCAAAUUCACACAGAAUAGGGGUAAGGCAAAAUUUUCACAGAUUCCAAGUCUAUAACAUACUAAUUACAUAUAGCCUUAGUGUAUCCACUUAGCAACUAUCAACUUAGUAAUGGAGAUCCCGUUUUAGUUCUCAAGUAUAAAGUACUUAUAGUAACACCAAAUACUCCUAUAGUAUUUUAAAUUUUAAUGUUAUGUUCUAUUGUUCUCAUUGUGAAAGACCCUGUAUAGUGGUUUGGUCUAGGCAUAGUCGUAGAUAGCAGUAGAUAUGUAAUUGUUUGUGAAUUGUAUUGUGUUUACGGUCAGAAUGGGUUUACGGCCGUAAACUCUUUACGGCCGUAAACACCUUACGGUCAUUAGUCAGGGCUAUAAAUAUCGAGUUGUGUCAGUCAUUGUGGGUAGUUGAUGCUUUCGUAUACUUCCAAGUUGUAUCAGACGUUUUAUAGUAUUAAAGCGUAUGCAAGCUUGGACUUUUGCUUUAUAUUCGUCUAUCAAUACCAGUGUCAAAGGCGUUCAACAGCUGCGUUUUCAACUAAAUCGACAUUUAUAGCAGUAUAGAGGGAUUUAUUUCAGUCGAAAUCAAAGUUUCUAGAAGUUUACGGCCUGAGUUUACGGCCGUAAACUCCUCUUCACGGUCACAAUUGCAUUCCUCGAAAACAAUAGUUUCUCACAUCAUUCAAGCCUUCGUAAUCACAUAUUGGUUCUGGAUUUAAUUGAGUUGUUUUUAAAAUAAAAAAAAAAUAAAAAAAAUAAAAAAAUCGAACUUUUUAUUUGAAUUUCAUUGACCGUAAACUCAAGCAUUCACGAAAAAUUGAUUUUCUGUUAAUCGAAAAUUACACCAUUAUUUUUCGGAGUUUAAAUUAACAAGUAUACUUGGACCGUAAACUCGAAUUUUUGGCCUAAGGUUUACGGCCUACGAGUUUACGGCUUAAGAGUUUACGGCUAAUUUACGGUAUAAAACAGUUUACGGCCGUAAGUUUACGACCUAGUGUUUACGGCCUAGUGUUUACGGCCUAAGAUUUCACAGCAAAAUAAAUUUACAGCCUUAAAAUUUUCUAGUAAUAAUUUUUAAAAUAUGGAUACACAAAAUUCAACUCAAUACCAAGAGCUUGAUGCUGUGAUGGGUACAACCACGCGAAUUCCAAGACUUAUGUCUACUGAUGGUUUCCCCGAGUGGAAAUAUAGAAUUGAGAAGUAUAUAAAGAUGAAAGACUUCAAGAUUUGGAAAUGUGUUUUAAAGGAUCCAGUCAGAAUCACCACUACAGUUGGGGGAAAGGUGGUCGACAAGGCAAUUGAAAACUACACUGAUGAAGACUUUGAGAGUGUGGAAGAACAAGAAAAGGCAUUGGCCAUUUUGACUAUGGCUUUAUCUCCAGACAUUGCUCAAGGAUUCAGAGAGUAUACUUCUGCCAAAGCUCUGUGGGAAGCUCUCAUUGAAGUAUAUGAGGGAAAUGAAGACAUGCGGGAAAGUCGCCAAGAUAUGCUGAGACAACGCUUCAAUAUGUUUAAUUAUGUUCCCGGAGAGACUCUCGAAGCUCAACUGCAGAGAUUUACAACUCUCAACACUGAGAUGACUGUGGCAGGGAUUUUCUAUACAAAGUCAGAAAUUAAUAAGAAGCUACUAAAUGCACUCCCAAAAUCUUGGGACAUGAAUGUAGCAGUAAUCAAGAAGACUAAGGAUCUUAAUCGCCUUUCCCUAGCUGAAGUGAUGGCUGUCAUCAAAGCGUGUGAUAUUGAUGACAAGCAGCGAGAGAUCAAUCAUGUGAACUCCUACUCAGCUGCCAAUCUUGGCAUUUCAGCUAAUAAUGCUCUCUCUUCUUUCUCCUAUACUCCUGCAGGUUCAUCUUCCUCUGCACCGGUCAUUCCUUACCCACAAGGCCAGCCUAUUACAUCUACCCAAAAUGUUUCAUCCUCUAAUGUGGCUUCUUCACCAAAGGGAAAGGAGGGUGAUGAAAACCUUGUCUUUGCAGCAGGGCUUGUGAAUUGCUACAAUGCUCUUGUAGCUGGGGAACUUCUUCCUCAAUUGUCAUUUGCAGAUCUUGAUCAAAUCCAUCCAGAGGACGUUGAGGAAAUGGACAUCACAUGGCAAAUUGCCAUGGCUGUAUUUAGGGAAAAAUAGUUUGCCAAAAAGAAAGGGAAGAAUAAUUGGGGAAUGAAUGCUGACAAGAAGGUUGGAUUCAACAAAGGAAAGCUUCAAUGUUUCAAUUGCCACGAGCCAGUGCAUUUUGCUCGUGAUUACCCACACCCUGAUAGGAGGGUUAAUAAUGACAGAACAAUGGUUGCAGUUGGGAACAAUCGAAGCAGUGGUCAAGCAAACAAUGAAAAGGCUAUGGUUGCACAAUCAUUUGACUGGGAUGAUCAAAUACAAGCUCUAAAUUUGUCUGGACCAGAAAAUGCUCAUCUAGCACAAGUGAGGAAUGACGCUCAAGCAAGGACUGCAGCAGCUGAAGACAACAUGAUGAAACUUCAAUUUGGCUUGAUGGUAUCCUCCUCCCAUGAACCUAACUCAUACAAGGUAAGUCUUCCAUCAUGUUCUAAGGCUUGUAUAGAUUAUGUGAAAACUUUACAGGAUAAAAUUGAGACAUUAGGUAAUGAAGUAGAAAAUCUUAGGAUUCUUCGUGAACUCAAUGAUAAAUUAAUAAGAGACGUAGAAGACCUUAGAUAUGAAGGGUAUCGACUUCGAAAAGGACAAAAACCACUUAAAGCUCAACUAGAAUCAAAAAUUAAAGACUUUAGGAGACUCCAGGAAGACUACAGCAACAAAUGUGAAAAUUACAAUUAUGUAGUCAAACAAAAUGCUGAGCUUGUAGCUGAAGUUGAAUCCUUGAAAGGAAACUUUGAGACCGCCAAACUUGAUGUCAGAAAAUAUGAUUUCUCAAGUGAGGUGGUUGCAAAUAUGAUAGACCAAAGUAUGCAGUUUAAAAGAAAUCAAUCAAAAGGUCUAGGGUAUAAUCAUGUACCUCCUCCUUUCAAUCAUUCAUACGUGUCCAAGCCUUUGUCCAAAGAAGAGAUUGCCAAUGAAUCAUUUAUGAUUUAUGGCAAGCCCUCCGGUUUUGUUUCGGGAGGAUUUAUUAAUGUUGAAAGUACUAACAUUUCUACUUCUCCUGCAGAUCAAUCCUUGAAUCAGUCAAAGCACAAAGUUGAAGGAUGUGUUUCUGAAAAUAAAAUCGAGUCCAAACCUGAAGCUUUUGUUUUAAAUAAAGACAAUUCUUUGUUAAAUGUUUUGAGUGACAAUUUUUCUUGUGGUGUUUUAAAUUAUUCUGAUACAGUAGCUGCUAUCUCUGAUACAGUUUUGAAUGUUUCUGAUAUGUCUGAUAAAUCUUUGAACACUUUGGUUGACAAUUUAAACGUCUGUGAUAAAAAUGUUAACAUACCAUUAGUCUCACAACCCUCAAUAAAUACAGCACCCUCACUUGCCUCACAACUUGAUAAUACUGCAUGUUUUUGUGAGACAAGCAAGGGUGUUUGUGGGGAAAACAAAUCUGACAAAUGCAGCACAAGUUCUAACAAUAACUAUCAGAUUUGUUUUAAUUGUGGCACUAAGGGUCAUAUUGCUAGAAAUUGUCUUAAUCGAAUGUUUGUGAGUUAUAAUUUUCCAAGAGGUGAGAACGAAUUCAGAGGAAGAUCUUUAAAUAGAAAUUCCUCUAGAAGUCGCUCUCGAAAUGAUUAUUGGGUAGAUAAAAGAAAUAGAAAAAGGGACAUUUUUCAUAGUCAUAAAAGGUUUUUUAAUCACCUUGUUGACUGAAUUUUUCAUAGUCACGCAAAGGUCAAGCUCAUCCCAAAGCAAUAAUGGAUCUUCAAUCAAUUCUGGUAGAAGUAACACAUGCUUUAAGCANNNNNNNNNNNNNNNNNNNNNNNNNNNNNNNNNNNNNNNNNNNNNNNNNNNNNNNNNNNNNNNNNNNNNNNNNNNNNNNNNNNNNNNNNNNNNNNNNNNNUAGGUUGAUCAUCAAUCAGCAGCGCGUUUCGAACAAAGCUUUCAUUGAUUUCGAUAUCUCGUCCUUGCACCUUCGCCGCGACAGUGAAAUUUCCAUCAUCAUCCAUCUACGUCCUUGCCGUCUCCCAAAAUUCACGAACGAUGUUCUGAUAGAUCACCGGAUUGACUGUCAACGCUGAUGCAACAUAGCAUUCACGCAACCUGUGAACCAUUGAAAGCAUAUCGGAAUGAACGACAGGUGGAUCAGCAAGAACUAUCGCCAGAUUGUGCAUGUCUGCAAACUUGAGAUUUGCCAUCUUCCUGCACUCAAACACAGUUGUAAGAAACCGACACCAACAAUAAAACUUAUUUUGACCAAAAAUAUGACAAUAAAAUUAUGAUCAAAAUAAAAAUUAUUUAUUAAUGAUGUAUGUUUACUACUCUUCCAAAAAAUUAAAAAUUAAACCUUUUGACAAUUUUGGUUCUUGGGCCGUAAACUCUAGUUUACGGCCUAAGGAAACCUUUAAAAAAAACGGUUUGGUUGAUGGUUUAAGAUAGGAAAACAUGCAAUCGUUACCCAGUUAAAAUAACAGCUUGAAUCGACAAUUGUUCUUGGGCCGUAAACUCUAGUUUACGGCCUAGAAAUUACUUCGAAAACACGAUGCACAAUUAUCAUAGAGGUCUUUCAAACAAUCCAGAAUAAUUACACUCGAAUUCACGGGUUGUAAACUGGGAGUUUACGGCCUAUGAAUGUCUACACCGAAAAGAGGCUUAAAAUUGAUCUUUCUCUUUGAAAUGACGAACGGAAAGCACAUAGUCGUGAACAUAACGAGAAAUAGCAUCAUAAUAAAAUAGUUUCGAAUCCAAAUCAUCAAGUUUCAGAGUUUACGGCCUAAGCUUACUGCCGUAAACUCCUCAACUUGGGUUUAUUUAAUUUUUAAACACAAUGCGAUGUGAUUCCGUGAAACAAAAAAUAUAUUCGAGAUCUACACGAUGCUACCUUCACGAUGAUAUACUCGUUUUUCUGAAAAUCGAAGAAAUUUUUUUUGACACCUUGAGAANCUUUUGGGAGAGGUUUGCGGCCGGAAACUGUUGAGUGGGGAGAUUCCGGCCGUGAACACCCCAUUUUUACCUUUCCACCUUUCUUACCCUCCUGCCUGAUAGCUAUCCAGUCUUUCUAAUUUUUCGCCAAUUAAUUAAAUUUUUUUUUUUGAGGAUUAAUUUAAUUUUUAAAAAAAAACUUUUAAAAUAAAAACUAACACACCAUAAUUUUAAAUGCUAGAAAAAUAAAAGUAAAAUAAAAUUAACAUAAAAUUUGAAGUUGUAAAAGUUAAAUAAAAAUAAAAAUAAAAGUAAAAAUUAAAAUAAAAAUAAAAUUAAAAAUAAAAUAGAAUAAAAAUCAACGUCAAGGAAAUUAAGAGACACUUUAACUACCACUUCUUUUGUGAUGCUUGGAUCAAAGUUAUNNNNNNNNNNNNNNNNNNNNNNNNNNNNNNNNNNNNNNNNNNNNNNNNNNNNNNNNNNNNNNNNNNNNNNNNNNNNNNNNNNNNNNNNNNNNNNNNNNNNACAGAUGCAAGGAUUUGGGAAGAUGGAGCUCGUUGAAGACUCAUCAUUCUUUUUGAUUUAUGCUUUAGUGUUUAUCAAAAUUUAACAGAACACAUUUGUAUAAUAAUUAUAUUAUUAAUGCAAUGGAUGAUGUUGUUGCUUGUUUACUACUUUACAUUGUUGUUGAUAUUAUACAUGACGUCCUCCNNNNNNNNNCUUUCAUGGUUUUGGGGUGUGACAGAUUGGUAUCAGAGCAUUGUUUAUAGUGAAUUAAGUAUAUCAACCCAUAAAAGAUAUACUAACUAUAAAUACAUAAGGGAUUAAAAAUACUCUGACCAAGAGUUUAUACUUUAAAUAAUAAAAUAUUUAAGUAAGUAUACGUGCUGCAUUCAUACUAAAAUCAGUGUCACUAGGACAGUACAAAAGAAUUACGAUUGUUGGGCAAUAUAGGUGGGCUUAGAGACAUAUGGUCAAAACUGGGAAGAUAUAGCGUGAUCACCUAUAUUAUCUGAGGGUUGACUAGCAUGUGCCUAAGUUUAAUUGUGUGGUUGCAACAAUGCUAAAAUCUUACCAACCCUACCACAAUGUGUAAAGUCCCGAAAAAUAGAUCUACCAAUGAUCAAAGAUAAAAACAGAUGCAAACACGAAUUAAUAGACGAAUAUAAAGCAAAAGGCCAAGCUUACAUACGCUUUAAUACUAUAAAAUGUCUGAUACAACUUGGAAGUAUACGAAAGCAUCAACUACCCACAAUGACUGACACAACUCGAUAUUUAUAGCCCUGACUAAUGACCGUAAGGUGUUUAUGGCCGUAAAGAGUUUACGGCCGUAAACCCAUUCUGACCGUAAACACAAUACAAUUCACGAACAAUUACAUAUCUACUGCUAUCUACGACUAUGCCUAGACCAAACCAUUGUACAGGGUCUUUCAAUCUCCCCCUUGGUUUGGACUAGCUCGGCCCCAUUCCUUUCUUUACCAGCAUGACAUCCAUUUGGCCCAUAGCGCCAUUCCACAUCUUCUUGCUCAAAAUUUCAGCAACCAUCCUGGUAUACGCCUUGGCUCCCUACUCAUAGAUAUCUUCAACCACUUUAAUCUGAAAAUUGCUCAGAUAAUGAAUAUCCCAUUUCCUGAACUGCAGUAGGUCUCUUCGAUCAUACAACCGUAUGCACCCAUUCUUGCGCUUAAUGACUGCACCACAAGUACUCUCAUCAUAAACCCAACACUCCAUAGAACCGAGCGAUCCAUCUUUAUAACCUUGAACAAUGGGAAAUUGUUUAACUUGAGUCGUGGGUGGCCACAUAAUCAAUUGUAGAGGUUUAUCAGAAGAGGCUUCAAACACAUCUGGAUGUUCCAGAAUGACUGACUCAGCAGUUGGCGUUGUAGGAAAUCCCUUCUUUACUUUCUCAUCUAGAAAGAAUUUGAACUGCGAAACCUGAGGAUUGUUUAAUAGAUUGAUAAAAGGAGCUUGUGAUAACUCCGCAAGAUCAACCCUUGUCAAUGAACUAAAAGCACGAACAUCCUUAUACAACUCUGAAUUACCGCUCUUGCGAAUAAUAAUCCAAAGUCGAAGAGGAUCGUGAAAUCCCCAAGCAGCUACACCCGAUCGAUCUCCAAAAGUAUCUCUGAACCGAACAAUUUCAAGAUCAGUGACAGUGAUCAAGGAUUCCCCUUUAGAAUUGCUCUGAGUAACAUUUCACUUGAAUAAUAACUGCCCCCUUUCAGCAUCAUCUUCUUGAUUUUUCCGAAUGAUCUCUUGAAUAUGAGAAGCCAUAGGAGGAACAGCUCCAAUACGUUCAGCAGAAACAGAAGAUUGACCAACUGGCACAUCUACUGGAUAUGCUUGCACAUGUAAAUUUAUUCUUUNNNNNNNNNNNNNNNNNNNNNNNNNNNNNNNNNNNNNNNNNNNNNNNNNNNNNNNNNNNNNNNNNNNNNNNNNNNNNNNNNNNNNNNNNNNNNNNNNNNNGGACUCAUUAAGCAAAACCGAAGAGGAAAAGUUGUCUUUCGAGGGUGUUAUCCAUUGGAAAAAUUCGAAAAGUUUACAGAAUUGGAUGAGACGACAGUGUCAUACGAAUCAUCAGAACCAACUUCUUCUGAGAAAACGUCUACAGAGGGUUCGACUCCAGCAAACAUUGUGAUAGAUGUGACUGAAGAUAAUGAAGAUUCACCAACUCAGAGAGAUCAAAGUGCUUCUAGUCAUGAACAUGAGUCGAAUGAAAGACAGGAUGAAAGGGAAAUAGGUACUGGUGAUGAUGGACAUGACUCAUUUGAAGAUCUUGAUCUUACGGGGUUUGAUAAUGAUGAUAUUGCGGCUUCUUUAGCUAGUAGCGCUAAUCUUGUGUCCAACGAGAUAUUUGACACGAUUUUUCAAAAUGUCGAUGAUAGUGUUUUGCCGUCAACUGAGAUGAGGAAAUCGAGCGAAACUCUUACUCCAACUUCUGAGCAGAUGGUGUCAACUUCAAUUCCAAUGGAGGUACUUAUGGGAUGUUCCCCUCCCGUGUCUAUUUCUCCUACAUCUGAACCAUUUGUUAGUGUAAUACCUCCACAGGCUGACCAACCUCAAUCAAAGAGGAGAAGACUUGAUGAAAGACAAUCCGAGCUAAUUACUAGUUUGGUCAGUGGUCUUCCUACACCACCAAUUACUACUGCUACUACACGACUUUCCGCAACAAAGAUGUUUGCAACUGGACCUAGUUCAGUUUUUGAUGUUGGUGGCCCUUCAGCUCCGCCUGGUUUUCCUGUUCCAAGAUUCAAUAGGGAUGCCGCUUCUGAGAGACUAGCUUUGCAUAUGGCAGAAGAACAGCUUCGUUCGCCUAGUCCUCAAGGAAAGAACAUUUCUAUGAACGAAGGGGGUGCUCCUGAUGAUGAUCCAUCUGUUGAUAGUUUACGAAAGGAGAUCUCUGUAUUAAGUCAGAAGAACAUAGAGCUUGACAUUCAAGUAGCUGAACUUCGUGCUCAGAACAUUGAGCUUCGUACUCAAGUGUCUAAACUUCAGUCAGAUAGAACUUAUCUUGGCGGACAACUCGCAGAAGUUAAAAGGGAUAGGAAAGUAAAAAAUAAGCAGAUUUCUGACCUUCAAGAACAUUUCAAUCUGCUGACUUCAAGCUACUUCGAAUUGAAAAAGAAACUGGAGGAUGAUUUUGGUGAGAAGUAUAAAACAAGCGUAGAAGAACAAAGAAUAAAUUUACAUGUGCAAGCAUAUCCAGUAGAUGUGCCAGCUGGUCAAUCUUCUGGUUCUGCUGAACGUAUUGGAGCUGUUCCUCCUAUGGCUUCUCAUAUUCAAGAGAUCAUUCGGAAAAAUCAAGAAGAUGAUACUGAAAGGGGGCAGUUAUUAUUCAAGCGAAAUGUUACUCAGAGCAAUUCUAAAGGGGAAUCCUUGAUCACUGUCACUGAUCUUGAAAUUGUUCGGUUCAGAGAUACUUUUGGAGAUCGAUCGGGUGUAGCUGCUUGGGGAUUUCACGAUCCUCUUCGACUUUGGAUUAUUAUUCGCAAGAGCGGUAAUUCAGAGUUGUAUAAGGAUGUUCGUGCUUUUAGUUCAUUGACAAGGGUUGAUCUUGCGGAGUUAUCACAAGCUCCUUUUAUCAAUCUAUUAAACAAUCCUCAGGUUUCGCAGUUCAAAUUCUUUCUAGAUGAGCAAGUAAAGAAGGGAUUUCCUACAAUGCCAACUGCUGAGUCAGUCAUUCUGGAACAUCCAGAUGUGUUUGAAGCUUCUUCUGAUAAACCUCUACAGUUGGUUAUGUGGCCGCCCACGACUCAAGUUAAACAAUUUCCCAUUGUUCAAGGUUAUAAAGAUGGAUCGCUCGGUUCUAUGGAGUGCUGGGUUUAUGAUGAAANNNNNNNNNNNNNNNNNNNNNNNNNNNNNNNNNNNNNNNNNNNNNNNNNNNNNNNNNNNNNNNNNNNNNNNNNNNNNNNNNNNNNNNNNNNNNNNNNNNNNNNNNNNNNNNNNNNNNNNNNNNNNNNNNNNNNNNNNNNNNNNNNNNNNNNNNNNNNNNNNNNNNNNNNNNNNNNNNNNNNNNNNNNNNNNNNNNNNNNNNNNNNNNNNNNNNNNNNNNNNNNNNNNNNNNNNNNNNNNNNNNNNNNNNNNNNNNNNNNNNNNNNNNNNNNNNNNNNNNNNNNNNNNNNNNNNNNNNNNNNNNNNNNNNNNNNNNNNNNNNNNNNNNNNNNNNNNNNNNNNNNNNNNNNNNNNNNNNNNNNNNNNNNNNNNNNNNNNNNNNNNNNNNNNNNNNNNNNNNNNNNNNNNNNNNNNNNNNNNNNNNNNNNNNNNNNNNNNNNNNNNNNNNNNNNNNNNNNNNNNNNNNNNNNNNNNNNNNNNNNNNNNNNNNNNNNNNNNNNNNNNNNNNNNNNNNNNNNNNNNNNNNNNNNNNNNNNNNNNNNNNNNNNNNNNNNNNNNNNNNNNNNNNNNNNNNNNNNNNNNNNNNNNNNNNNNNNNNNNNNNNNNNNNNNNNNNNNNNNNNNNNNNNNNNNNNNNNNNNNNNNNNNNNNNNNNNNNNNNNNNNNNNNNNNNNNNNNNNNNNNNNNNNNNNNNNNNNNNNNNNNNNNNNNNNNNNNNNNNNNNNNNNNNNNNNNNNNNNNNNNNNNNNNNNNNNNNNNNNNNNNNNNNNNNNNNNNNNNNNNNNNNNNNNNNNNNNNNNNNNNNNNNNNNNNNNNNNNNNNNNNNNNNNNNNNNNNNNNNNNNNNNNNNNNNNNNNNNNNNNNNNNNNNNNNNNNNNNNNNNNNNNNNNNNNNNNNNNNNNNNNNNNNNNNNNNNNNNNNNNNNNNNNNNNNNNNNNNNNNNNNNNNNNNNNNNNNNNNNNNNNNNNNNNNNNNNNNNNNNNNNNNNNNNNNNNNNNNNNNNNNNNNNNNNNNNNNNNNNNNNNNNNNNNNNNNNNNNNNNNNNNNNNNNNNNNNNNNNNNNNNNNNNNNNNNNNNNNNNNNNNNNNNNNNNNNNNNNNNNNNNNNNNNNNNNNNNNNNNNNNNNNNNNNNNNNNNNNNNNNNNNNNNNNNNNNNNNNNNNNNNNNNNNNNNNNNNNNNNNNNNNNNNNNNNNNNNNNNNNNNNNNNNNNNNNNNNNNNNNNNNNNNNNNNNNNNNNNNNNNNNNNNNNNNNNNNNNNNNNNNNNNNNNNNNNNNNNNNNNNNNNNNNNNNNNNNNNNNNNNNNNNNNNNNNNNNNNNNNNNNNNNNNNNNNNNNNNNNNNNNNNNNNNNNNNNNNNNNNNNNNNNNNNNNNNNNNNNNNNNNNNNNNNNNNNNNNNNNNNNNNNNNNNNNNNNNNNNNNNNNNNNNNNNNNNNNNNNNNNNNNNNNNNNNNNNNNNNNNNNNNNNNNNNNNNNNNNNNNNNNNNNNNNNNNNNNNNNNNNNNNNNNNNNNNNNNNNNNNNNNNNNNNNNNNNNNNNNNNNNNNNNNNNNNNNNNNNNNNNNNNNNNNNNNNNNNNNNNNNNNNNNNNNNNNNNNNNNNNNNNNNNNNNNNNNNNNNNNNNNNNNNNNNNNNNNNNNNNNNNNNNNNNNNNNNNNNNNNNNNNNNNNNNNNNNNNNNNNNNNNNNNNNNNNNNNNNNNNNNNNNNNNNNNNNNNNNNNNNNNNNNNNNNNNNNNNNNNNNNNNNNNNNNNNNNNNNNNNNNNNNNNNNNNNNNNNNNNNNNNNNNNNNNNNNNNNNNNNNNNNNNNNNNNNNNNNNNNNNNNNNNNNNNNNNNNNNNNNNNNNNNNNNNNNNNNNNNNNNNNNNNNNNNNNNNNNNNNNNNNNNNNNNNNNNNNNNNNNNNNNNNNNNNNNNNNNNNNNNNNNNNNNNNNNNNNNNNNNNNNNNNNNNNNNNNNNNNNNNNNNNNNNNNNNNNNNNNNNNNNNNNNNNNNNNNNNNNNNNNNNNNNNNNNNNNNNNNNNNNNNNNNNNNNNNNNNNNNNNNNNNNNNNNNNNNNNNNNNNNNNNNNNNNNNNNNNNNNNNNNNNNNNNNNNNNNNNNNNNNNNNNNNNNNNNNNNNNNNNNNNNNNNNNNNNNNNNNNNNNNNNNNNNNNNNNNNNNNNNNNNNNNNNNNNNNNNNNNNNNNNNNNNNNNNNNNNNNNNNNNNNNNNNNNNNNNNNNNNNNNNNNNNNNNNNNNNNNNNNNNNNNNNNNNNNNNNNNNNNNNNNNNNNNNNNNNNNNNNNNNNNNNNNNNNNNNNNNNNNNNNNNNNNNNNNNNNNNNNNNNNNNNNNNNNNNNNNNNNNNNNNNNNNNNNNNNNNNNNNNNNNNNNNNNNNNNNNNNNNNNNNNNNNNNNNNNNNNNNNNNNNNNNNNNNNNNNNNNNNNNNNNNNNNNNNNNNNNNNNNNNNNNNNNNNNNNNNNNNNNNNNNNNNNNNNNNNNNNNNNNNNNNNNNNNNNNNNNNNNNNNNNNNNNNNNNNNNNNNNNNNNNNNNNNNNNNNNNNNNNNNNNNNNNNNNNNNNNNNNNNNNNNNNNNNNNNNNNNNNNNNNNNNNNNNNNNNNNNNNNNNNNNNNNNNNNNNNNNNNNNNNNNNNNNNNNNNNNNNNNNNNNNNNNNNNNNNNNNNNNNNNNNNNNNNNNNNNNNNNNNNNNNNNNNNNNNNNNNNNNNNNNNNNNNNNNNNNNNNNNNNNNNNNNNNNNNNNNNNNNNNNNNNNNNNNNNNNGUAAAACGGCUAAUGAGUAGCCAAUCAUUUGAAUGCUGCUUAUUAAUCACAUGUGAUUGAUAUAAUAAUUAGCAUAAUUCUACUUGUAUCCUCCCCCAUAAAACAUUUAAAAACAGUUUAAAACAUUGAUUAAGGGGUAUGAACUCACCUGUAGUGAGUGGUUCUGUUGAAAAUGUUGGAUCAGUUGCUAAGUAUCAAGUGGUGACUUGAGUACACACGCGAAUCCUAUUUAGCAUAUAUUGAAACAUAUAUGAAUAUAAUUAGUGUUAUGAACAACUAAAUAAUGAAUUGGGACCACCUUAGGGACUAGUAAACACUUAUAAUGAAGUGUUACAACCAUAUAUGAUUGUAAGAAGGGGGUAUAAGGCUUUACAAAGGAGUGNAUGAAUUGGGACCACCUUAGGGACUAGUAAACACUUAUAUUGAAGUGUUACAACCAUAUAUGAUUGUAUGAAGGGGGUAUAAGGCUUUACAAAGGAGUGUAUGGCCAAAAUACACACUAUAUGUGUGUGUGCGGCCAGGUGUGCGGCCUAGAGUGCUGCCAACACAUGUGUGCGGCCCUGUGUGCUGCCAGAUGGUGUGUGCUGCCAUGUGUGCGGCCAGAUGGUGUUCUUGGUGUUCUUGGUGUUCUUGGUACCUUUUAUGAAGAUCUUCAAGGAGAAUGGAUGAUACUUGAGAGGAUUUUCGAGUUCUAUGCUUGAAGUAGUGAAAGAAGUGUUCAAAAAUGACAAAGUGUGGUAUAUAUAGGUGGAGUGUGCGGUUGGGAAGGGUGUGAGGCCGCAAACACAUGUGUGUGGCCGCACACUCAAGUGUGUGGCCGCACACUCCAUGUGUUGGAGUGUUUGGCCUCUUUUUGAUUCCUACACUUUGAGUUAACCCAUUUCCACACUCCAACCUUGAUUAUAACACAUUUAGAACACUCCAAUAGACCCCAAAUGGUACUACAAGAUAGCAAAACAAGUCUAUUAUUGAUAAGAAAUGAAGAAUGCGAGCUAGAAAUUUUCGGGUUGUCACAAUACAUAUCUGUCACACUGAUCAUCAAUCAUAGAAUUCUCUUGUAACUAGAGUACUAACCUAGCAGGUCACUAACAUACCAAUCCCUACACAUCAUAAGAGCAUAACAUACCAUCUACCCUGAUUCUGAUCUAACAGAUCAUAACCACAUGUAGCAUACCAAAACAAUAACAACUAAAGGGUUGGCCUUGGUGCCAUAGACCCUAUCGAUGUAGUGAGGAUAACUUACCUCGCAGAUGUCGACACGAACGGUAAACUCCAACCCUCGGAUCACUUGACACAGGUUCCACCACCUAUCAUCAUAGCAUAACAUACGCAUAAGUCCUUAACCUUAUAAGGUACUCCAUAACCCACUAGUCAACUCCUGGUCAAAGUCAAAGUCCUCAGUCAAGGUCAACAGUCCAUGAUAACCUUAACUCGCCGAGUUCGUUGAUGUACAUUCCAGCUCGCCGAGUCAUCGGAGUAACUCGUCGAGUUCCUUUGAUUCUCAAUCAAACUUAAGGUCACCCGUCGAGUUCCUCCCUUGCAACUCGACAGAUACAUGCUCAUACGUAUCCUAGAGAAAAUCCAUCCAACUCGCCGAGUUGUUCUUCAACUCGUCGAGUCUUAUGACGAUCUUCAUCGGACUCGCCGAGUUGUUCAUCCAACUCAUUGAGUCCACGGCCAUCUUCAUGUGACUUGCUGAGUCACCUAGCGACUCGUCGAGUCCAUUCAGUCCUUUUUCUCCGUACAUACAUAUUUUGAGCCAUGCAACGGCUCCAACUCAUAGAUCCAAGCUUCUAGGGCAUGCUUAUCACGUAAAGUUGCAAACUUUACGUACAUGCUAAUGGGUUUUGGUCAUAAGACAUCCUAUGUGCUCAUACAAACCCUAAUGCUUGGAUCUAGGUUUCUCUAUUGUACAUGCUUUGAAUCCAAGACUAUAAACCCUAAUUCUAGCAUAUGGAAAUCAAUAUUAACAUAUAAUUAGGUUUAAGAUAUUACCUUGAGUGUUAUGUAGCAAUAACAAUCCCAAUUCCUCCUUGAAUUGACUUUGGAAGGCUUAGAGUCACAAGUGGCACUCCUCUAAUGGCUUAUAAACACCAUAAGCAAGAGGAUGAAGAGGAGAGUGGAUGGCGGCUACCAAAACUCGUGUGAAAACCCUAGCAAGAAGCUUGUCCACGUUUUUUGUCCUUAAGGGAUCUAUAUAUAGUGAGGCAAUUCGGGUUAUCUAACAAGGAAACCCUAAUUUGGAUGCUUAAGCCCUAAGCAACCCAUGGAGCCCUUUUCUCAAGGCCUUGGACGAUUUCAUAUGGGAUUCCCCCAUAGAAUUCGUCCACCUUAUAAUAAAAGGCAAUCCAUGGCCCAAAUUGCAAUUAUCUUAUAAUUACAAUUCCAGUCCCUUAAGUUUAAUUAAUCUCUUUUAGUCACAAAACUAAUUACCAAUUAAUUAUUGACUAAUAUUAAUUAAACAAUAUGAUUUCUCCUUUAAUAUAUUAUUCUCAUAAUAUAUUAAUAAAUCAUAUUUAAUCCUUUCUCUCCAUAAUUCAUCCUAUCAAGUUGCUUUGGUGAAGGCAACCCAAAAGGACCAUGCACCAUCGGGUCAAGUACAUACCAAAAUAGUUAUGGACUUAGACACUAAUCCAACAGUCUCCCACUUGGAUAAGUCUAAUAACUAUUAUGCGUAUGACUUCAGAUCCUGAUCUGCAAUCGUAGCUUUCCAAAGCCGCUGUCAACUCUGAUCCUAUCAGAUACGCGUGUCCUUAGAUAAGGGAUCAUAUAUUCCUCCAUUCUAGAUAUCAUAUGAGAUAUGAUUUCAAAUCAUUCUCUUUGUACUAUAUCUCGAUUCCCGAUUUAUGACGACUGACUAAUUGAACAAAUCAAAUUAGCCCUAGCCCGGCCGAGCAUUUACGUUUGUCAUCACAAAAUCAUCGAGGGGCCCAAAGAUAUCGCUUUUAUCCUACUUUGGAUAAAAGGAACGGAUAAACUUUGAUACAAUGCUUGCUUGCACUCACUCACCGAAUCACACACAACAAUAUGUUUUAUAACACCAAGUUACUAGUGCGUUUACAUAUUAUCAAUGUGCAACCGAUUUGCAAGAUACAACUCACACAUCUCGGUUUCAAGAAUAUAAGAUGUUAUCGUCUCACCAAUCACUCGUGAUACAAUUCAUGGAGUGAUCCAAGUGAGCGUGGGUUUAAUCCAAUGCUCAAAUCAUAUUCAUAAGCACUCAUGAACGUUGCAGCAAACAUUUGCUUAUGUCUAAUACUCUUUAGACAAUCCACACACCAAUUCACGACAGUCUUCAUUCAUAUCUACUUCCAACAUAUGAACGACUGUGGCCCGUUCGAAUAAUUCGAUUAUUCUUAAUAAACUCAAUUAUUCUGGAAGUCAAAACAUGCAAAUGUGAAACACAAGAAUAAUACUAAUCCCAUAUGGCCUCAAACCUUUGAGUAUAAAUAAAACACCUUUUAUUUAUCACCAUAUCGAUUACUCAUUAUUUGUCGUUUCGGGUAAUCAACUUCUUACUUGAAUUAUUACACUUGUCCCAUGCUCCUAGCAUGCACACAAUGUUUACCUAUGGUUCUUACUUUGUGAAAUAGAUCAAAUUGAACACAUUUCCAAUCAUUCUCAUUUCACAACUCCAAAUCCUUUUUCAUAAGUGUAAGAAUAUCAAAUUCUUGCCACUUAUAGAAUAUGCUAGAUUCUAACAUUUUAUGCAAUGAUCCUUUCGUAAUGUCACUGCACCAAAGUCACAAAGACUAUUGCCAAUGAUAUUACAAAGUCCUCUAUCGGAGAUUGUUACAAGACAAUUCCAUAGACGUGAUGUCUCUCACUCAAAGUACAUUCUUUGAACAUCCUUUUGCAUAGAAGUUUCUAAUCUAGUCAUAGAUUUCUCAAUAUUCAAUUCCCAAUAUGGACACACUUCCAUAUGUUCCAUAUGACAACUCAUUCUUAAUAGAAUCUUAUCUAUUCGUAAUGAUGUCGAUAUGGUCCAUCCAAUAUGGAAACAUUUCCAUAUUUUCCAAUACUAUACUUCCAACUACUCACAAGCGACCAAUCCUCGUCGAACUUUGGAUUGUCCUUUGAUAGUUGUUUAAUUAUUUUAGUCAAAACCGAUUCUAGUCCUUUUUCCCUCUAAAUGCGCUAGACAUUUGGAAAAUUUUAGAAUGGUCAAACAUUAAAGCAUUUGCAAUCGAUCCUAUACCCGAAGCGUAUGGGACACGACGCAUAAUGUUUUAUUUGCUAUGUUCUCAAAAUUCGAAUUGUGAAGAGGGAUGCCGUAAUCAUAAUCGAAAUUUUAAGAACACACUAUGUACCUUUGACUAAAUUUAUUAACAUUUCUCAACCUAAUCCUUUAGAUUUGAAAUGAAGCAUAAUAUUCUCUCCCUUAAUUAUAGCAAAACAACUUUUCAACUCUUACAACUUUGCAAAGUAUGACUCUUGUUUUCUAUAAUUAAUAUUGCUAACCUUGCAAUACUUUCCUUAAUAAUCAUACAAUCAUAACAUUUAUGCUCCCACUAUCAUGAUGAUUAUUAUAAAACAUAACACUUAUGCUCCCACUAGCUUCGACAUGUAUUCAUAAACAUCUUAACUUUCAGAAAACAAUACUUAUUGAAUUUCUUAAGUUCAUGUUUCUAAUACUUAGUGCUUUGAUAAUCCUUUAUCAAUGCUUCUUGAACUUAUACACCUUUGCCUUCGAUAGUUCAUAUGUGUGUCUAAACAAUUAAGACUAAUUGCCAAACCUCACAAUUCAAAUUAUGGAAAGGGAUGCCGUAACCAUAAUUGAAUUUGAGAAUGCAAUUUUACAAUCACUAUCUUCUUAAAAUCUCUCUUAGUGAAAGCAUUUCUUCACAAUCAUUUUCAUGAAGGAGGAAAUCUUAUGACACUUAGAUUUGAGCGGUGUAUGUGUUCCUAUCCAUGUGAAUUUGUUAAAACCAAAGUUUACGACAAAUUCAAACUCAUAUGGACCGAACUUUCUUAAUCUUGAUUUCUUGCCUUAUGGUAGCACAGCUGCCCACCAUGUCUUCCAAGUAGUUAAGCAGCUCACCUUUUCCUAUCAAUGUACCUUUCAUUGAUUAAGGUGCUUUGCCUUUUAUGCGUUCAAAAUGAGAACUCAUAGAACUCACAUGCAUAAUUAACUCAAUUGGAACAACACAUAAACAAAAUAAUGUCAACACGAUAGGUUGUAAACCUCAACUCGUGUGCUAGUGAUGAUCGAUAAGGUUUAUUUGAUUUGUUCUUGAAACCUUUCAAGACCAUUAAGACUCCCACUUACUCCUUGUCAUAUAAUAUUCUCUUGUCAAUAAACAUUUUUUGACAAAAAAAUAUUCAAGAGUUAGUGUAGCUUUUAUCAAAACACUUCAUAAAUUGGUCCUAGUUGGUCUUUGUCUUAUCCAAGACAUCACAACUUUCCACAUUUGAUGAAUGUUAUAAACCUUUUUAAUACUUUUCACUCAAUGUCACAAUCUUAACUUUAAGACUUGUUAUUGGAACGAAGUAUGAUUGACUUCUUGAUUUAACCAUUUCUUCAAUUCUUGAUUCCUCUUCUUAGACAUACAAUUGUACUAAGACUCACUUAGAGGAUCAAUUGAGAUAUGGUUCUUAAUCAUUAAGACCUAUCAUAAAGCAUAAAAGGUACUCUCCCUUCUUCUUAGAAUGGAGAAACUUUUAUCUUUCUGCCUACUUGAUUCUUCUUAUUCGUUCUGCUAUUGAUUUAAACUUUUUCAAUCAAUUCAGAAUUACACUUAAUCUUGUAAGUAUAAUCAUAUUUACUAAACCUUUAGUAAAUCAUGACGAAUAUCUUUGUUACUCUUAUGGUGGACUUGAUCAACACGCAACUUUGUGUACUCGAUCUCCUAGUCCUUCACUUGACACUUUGUCAAUGAAUUAGUCUAAUUUCCAAAUAUGAAAUUUCUCAUUCAUCGUGCAACCAAGUUGCAUGAUUCCAAGUUUCUGUCCAAUUGAAACUUGGGCGAUGAGAAACUCUCCCUAUUUGGUAAAUUCUCGACUUUCCAUAAAUAACAUAAUAAGAACCAAAUCCAUUAUUGCUAAUAAUAGAAACAUUUUAACAUCAAUUUUUCAUACACGCCAUUGUAAGGAUAAAUAAAUAAAAUUUAAAAUCAAAAUUUAUUUUAUUGCGGAAAAAUUUGUCCUUACAAUGCAACUCAUUGAAAAACUUAUGCUAAUACAUCUUUCUUAGCAAUCUAAUUCUAACUCUAAGUAGUAGCUCAAGAAUCUAAUCUUCGAGAAAUGCGAUCGAAAUCCAUUCCUUCACGGUUAGAUUCUGCUCACUUCUUCCCUUAAGCUUCCUUUCUUUUCUUCGAUCCUACAAAACAUCAAUUGUAAUCUUAUCACAUUAUGUAUUAAGAAUCUAGAAUAGAAGCUUAAAAGAGUUAGUUAAUGGAUUUUACCUAUAUUAGAGCCAUACGUUUCGACUCUCCCAUCUCUUAGAUCUCUUAGGUAAAUGGGGCAGCUUCGUCUCCAAUGCCCUUUCUCUUGGCAAUAAAAGCAAAUUGACUCUUUUGGAACAUGACAUGGAACUACUUCAGACAUUGCCUUUCUCUUAUGAUCAAACUUUUCGAUCAUAGCAUGUCUUUCGUUGCCAUUGUCUAUAUCCAUAGAGGUCUUGAAGGCAGAUUCACCAAUCAACUUUGCUUUUCUAUUGCGCCAAACCAUUGCUGAUUCAGCAGCAAUAAGCAUAUAGGUGAGAUCUAUAAGGGUCACGUCGCGGUUCAUCAUAUAGUACUCUCUUACGAACUCACUAUAUGAGUUAGGAAGUGACUGAAGAACCCAAUCAACAGCCAUUUCCUCACAGACAACGGAUCCCAACAUUCUUAACCUAUCAAUGUGUGACUUCAUCCCUAGGACGUGUGCACACACCGACUUUCCUUCUUUAUGUUUACUUGCCAAAAGGGCUUGAGUGAUCUUGAACUUUUCAAGCCUUUGAACUUGUGGGUUAGGGAGAAUAAUUGGAGGAGGUGGAGGAAGUGAAGCAUGAUUUCUUGUUCCUCGAUCGAAUCGUGGAAUAUCAUCUUCAUGUGGAAAGCUUGUUCCACGGGAUUUGGGAAGACCAUAGUUGUCGAACUUUGACAUCUACAAAACGGGAGAAAACGAAUUCAAGUUAGUUGAUUGAUUGAGUCCUUAGUAAAUCACCCAAAUGAGAUACUAAGGCUAGGACCCAACACAAUAUUCUACAACUCGGGAGAGGGAUGCCGUAACCCUAAUUGCAGAAUAUUUGAAGGUAAGUGAAUGACGAUUCACUAAUUUCCACCACGAAAAACGAAAAAGAAAUUUAAGUUUUAAAUCUAUGAAAACUCCUAGAUCCUUUGAGAUUCAUUGAACUUUCAAUGGCAUGUUUAAAUCUCGAUAUGCCCCUCUUGUUUGUGACUGGGAUGCCGAGGAUCACAAAGCGGGUGUGAAUAACCAUGCAAACUUACAUGGUGCCCUCACAUGUUACAGUCACCUAUUCGAUGUGCCGGUAAACCACACACGCUCCACCGAACUAUGACAAACAUUGAGUCACCCUUUGCUACCUUUGCUUAGAACCAUUUAGUGUGCCGGUAAACCACACACGCUCCACUAACGUCUUCGCAAGGGCACAAAGUGUAAUUUCAUGGAAUUGCAUCAAUUCACUUUUGCCUAAGUAACUAAGAUUGGGAAUUUUAUGAAAACAUUUAGUUACUUUUAUACUUCAUUAUACUUAUAAUGGAAGGUUUCGUCCUAUCCUACCCGUUCGGCUAACGACCCUCCACUAGUCAAGAGUGCGGUGGGUAAGAGUGGAUACCCAUUCAAUCGCCAUUUUAUAGGCAAUUUCCUUAAACACCCCUUAUAGACCAGCUUCGUGAAUGAGGCCUACUAACGGUAAGACUGACUUUUACUCAUACAUAUAUAUAAUGUUAGACUUUUAAUGUUAUAUAUAGUAUAGGGUGUAUUUUACACUUUUAAAAUACUAGGUGGUCAAAUUUAACAAUUAUACUUUUAAUUCAAUUAAAUUGUAAACCAAAACUUUUAUGGAUUUAUUAAACCUCUUUUAAUUAUACACCUUAAUUAAUUAAUAAAACCAUAAGGGUGUGAUUUGAACUUUUUCAAAACAAUACUAGAGUUUUAGAAUUUAACAUUCCUAAUUAAACUUUUAAUCAACUUUUAAAUUCCAAAACUUGAGGGCAAGUUUUGAAACAUUUCAACACAUUAGGGUUUAGAAUUUAAAUAUACAUCAAAAUUAAACCAUUUAAUCAAAAUUUAAAUUCUAAAACUUGAGGGCAAGUUCUGAAACCUUUUUGAAAACAUUAGGGUUUCAACUAUUUAAAUUUCAAAACAACAAAACUUUUGGGUUCAAAUUUAAACUAUAAAACCUAAGGGGAAAAUAUGAAACUUUUCAUAACAACAAGGAUCAAAUAACAAAUAAUUUAAAUUAACAUUUAAUCACAUAAAUAUCCAUAUUUGAUUUGUUUAAUGAUUUCUUGCAAAAGAAUUUAUCAAUUUAGUCAAAAUAAUUAAUCAAUUAUCUUAUAAGGAAACAAUUAUCUUAUUAAUUGAUAAAUAUCUUCAAUUAGAUCAAAAUUAUAGUCAAAUAUAUCAUAUAAUCGGAUUAAUAUUGAUCUAACAUGAUAAGGUAACUAUCCCAAUGCAAAAACAGAAAGAAAUCCCAAGAUAACCUCCAUCUGACGAGUUGACUAGUCGAGUCAAGCCUGGACUCAUCGAGUCACCUUGGACUCGGCGAGUUCAGCUAUGGACUCGGCGAGUCCAGCCUCCAGAAACCCAAAAAACGAAUUUUCCAGUUAUACAAUGCAUCAAUACAAUUGAAACCAAGCUAGGCUCUGAUACCACUGAUGGGUUUUGGUCAUAAGACAUCCUAUGUGCUCAUGCAAACCCUAAUGCUUGGAUCUAGGUUUCUCUAUUGUACAUGCUUUGAAUCCAAAACUAUAAACCCUAAUUCUAGCAUAUGGAAGUCAAUAUUAACAUAUAAUUAGGUUUAAAAUAUUACCUUGAUCGUUAUGUAAUAAUAAAAAUCCCAAUUCCUCCUUGAAUUGACUUUGGAAGGCUUAGAGUCACAAGUGUCACUCCUCUAAUGGCUUACAAACACCAUAAGCAAGAGGAUGAAGAGGAGAGUGGAUGGAGGCUACCAAAACUCGUGUGAAAACCCUAGCAAGAAGCUUGUCCACGUUUUUGGUCCUUAAGGGAUCUAUAUAUAGUGAGACAAUUAGGGUUAUCUAACAAGGAAACCAUAAUUUGGAUACUUAAGCCCUAAACAACCCAUGGAGCCCUUUUCUCAAGGCCUUGGACGAUUUCAUAUGGGCUUUCCCCAUAGAAUUCCUCCAACUUAUAACAAAAGGCAAUCCAUGGCCCAAAUUGCAAUUAUCUUAUAAUUACAAUUCCAGUCCUUUAAGUUUAAUUAAUCUCUUUUAGUCACAAAACUAAUUACCAAUUAAUUAUUGACUAAUAUUAAUUAAACAAUAUGAUUUCUCCUUUAAUAUAUUAUUCUCAUAAUAUAUUAAUAAAUCAUAUUUAAUCCUUUCUCUCCAUAAUUCAUCCUAUCAAGUUCCUUUGGUGAAGGCAACCCAAAAGGACCAUGCACCAUCGGGUCAAGUACAUACCAAAAUAGUUAUGGACUUAGACACCAAGGCACACAUACACGAAUUAGGGUUUUAAGGGGCUCUCAAAGACUGUAAAGAGACCGAUGGAAGCUAAGGCUCUUGUAAAUAGAGGUGCAAACCCGAGGAUUUAGGGUUUCCACUAUCAGCUCCUACUCACUGAGUCCAGAAUGGACUCGUCGAGUAGGUCACUUAACAUGUGAUCCCACCCCGCUGCUACUCGACGAGUAGGCCAACCAACUCGUCGAGUAGAGCUUACUCCAAUGAAUCUUGUUUAAGAAUUUCCUAAGAAUCGAGGCGUUACAAAUACAACACUGUUAAUUUGGCUACAGUUAAUAGUUGAAACAAUAAUGGAUAUUGAGGAAAAUCAUAUUAAAAUAACAAUCAUAUAGUAAAUAUUCAAAAUAUCCCAGUUAUAAUCACUAUUAACUGUAGACAAAUUGACAGUGUUGUAUUUGUAACGUAUCGUACUUUCAGUUUGUUACUUAUUACGACAUUAUAUUAUAAAAAUCUUUGUGUUGCGUUAUGUGCCCUGCUUAACGAUGUGUUGUGGUGGUUCAAUCGAGUUAACCCUGUCAUCACAACAAUGAAGAAGCAGCGUCAGUUGAUGUCCGGGAGGUGGUCCGGGGAUGAAGCUCCACUGGUCUGGUUAGUGUGAGUGUGUACGAUAGAAUACAAAGGUAAGGGUUUUAGCUGUAAGGAGGUCAUCCUCCUCUCUGAAGGAGAAUGAAUCUUUUUAUACCGAUCAUUUGUUGAUCCAGAUCCUAACGGUUUCCUUUGUCCCGUCUGGGCCGAUAGGAUGUAGGGAAGUCCUAUUGGUGAUUCGUCCACCACUAGUAGUCAUCUCUGAUAUUGGUGUAAUUGGAAUAAAGGAUAAAUCUCUGAGCAUUACAUUUGUCGCCCUAAGGAGUGGUCGAUUUUGUUUUAGCUUAUUAUAGACAUGAGAUUGUCGUCUGGAGUUGGACCUACGUGUGAGAGCGCCAAGCACAAGAGUCCUAGUGUGAGGCCGUGAGGGUGAGGGCCCGGGUAUGGCAUUAGGCGGGUUACUAAUCUUUAGCUAGGUCAUCCUAAAGAUAGCAGCUCUGUUAUCUUUAACGUAUUCCUAGAGGGAUACGUUAACAAGUCCCCUAGGCUAGUAGGCGUAGGCGUUGGCGCAACGUGGCCUAGUUUGGAUGUUCGACUAUUAUGAUGGAACCGUUAGCGCAAAUGGUUUUAUCAUGAGGAUGAUUCGAUAUUCCCGCUCCUCAUUUAGACCUAUCUCAUUAAGAGCAGUUUUUUCCACCCCUUUUCUUUCUCAACUGCUUCUGAAUUCUCUUUGCAUCCUCUUUCUUCUCCCUCGUGUUUUCUCUAAAACAACAAUGGUGAUUGUUUGAUUUGGAAUCAAGCCAACUCUAGAGGAGCUUGAGUCUUUGCAGCUCCAUUUUGAUUUCAGGAUGGAGCAUGGAGUUCAGCUUCCAAGGAAGAGGGUUACCAUCUAUCAGCCGUCGUCGGGCAAGGUCACAUUCCCCAUUUGAAUCUUUAAAGUGGGGUUGUUGUUGCUAACGACUAAUUUCUUUGAUGAAAUCAUGCGCCGAUAUGACUUUUCUGUGGACGAUUUUGAAGGCUUUUGAGCAUUCUAACACUCCUAAGGUGUUCAUGCAACCCUAAAUACCUUGGAUCUAUUUUUCACUAUUAUACAUGCAAACUGAAGUUUCCAAGGUAUUACCCUAACUGACAUACAAAAUUUUGAUACAUAGUAAAUAAAACAAGUUAGGAAACAUACCUUUUGUCGUGGCUUAUUGCUUGGAGCUUGAAGAGCUUAGCACCAAUAAUGUGAAUGCCUCUAGUGGAAUCAUAAAUCACCGCCAACACUUUGGAAACUUGGAAGAGAACUAUGAUGCUCACAAAAAUUAGCCUCUCCUUGUUAAUACCCUAGGGGUCCAUUUUCUUGAACCAAAUGGCUUCUUAUAUAGUGUGCACAUUAGGGUUACACCAUGUAACUCAUAACAAUCCACAUUCCUCAUGAUUCAUGGGUUUUAACCUCCAUGGGUUACCACAUGGGUUAAGCCCAACAUAAGGAAUCAUGGAUAAUUAGCCCACAUUAUAAGAAUGAAUGACUUACACAAUUAAUCCAUAUUUAUUUAAUUAUCCUCUUUUGACAAAAAAAUGAAUGAAAUGUGUAAAAGUUAGUAUGAUGGGCAUUUUAUGGUGUACUUUGUAUGGUAUUUGAAAUUAAAUACGGUAUUUGACAAAAAUAAAAAUGGGAAUUUUUAAAUUUUUAAAAUUUUAUUUUUUAAUAAAACGUAAAUAGUGACCGAAUAGCGACCGAAUUUCUGUCGCUAAACAGGUCUGUAGGUAAGUAGUCAAUCUUGAGUUCCAUCACUAAUUCGUAGUAAAUUUGUAGCUAUUCCAUAGGAAAAAGUCAAUUUUAGUCAAACUUGAAUCCCGUUGACAAUCUUUAGUAAAUCUGUAGCUAUUCCGUAGGAAAAAGUCGAACUUGAAUCAUGUUGAUAAUCCAUAGGAAAUCCGUAGCUAUUAUAGCUACGGAAAAAGCCAUAUCUAAUCUGUAGCUAAUUCUUCGCAAAUCCGUAGCUAUAAUUUUCCCACGGGCAUUUAUGCUACAGAGCAUUUUUCGUAGCAAUUCCGUAGGUAUCACCGUAUACAUACACAAUACCUACGGAUUGUGCUGUAGCUAAAGCCCUAGUUUUGUAGUAGUGUAUGCUUAGUAAUUUCUUAUUAAUUGUCUUUUCUUUUUAUUAUGGUUUACAAUUUUUCAACAUUGUUACUGCUACUCGAGCGGUGCUUCUUUUUACUUAAUACAGUAUCAAUGAUCCAAUUAGAGAAUGAUCAUUUUUGGAAGUUUUAAUCAUUGUAGUCUCGAAUCAUUUUGGUUUUCAAACUUGUGCAAAUGACACGGGGGCUUCAGCUAGUUUUCUAAUAAAACACCAGGAAUUGGAUCAUUAAACUAUGCUUCUUUUCACAAAUGUGCAUUUUUGGUUCUUAAUGUAUAAUGUUAUAUAUGAGUAUAAUACUUUCAUUUUUUUAUUUUAAGUUGGUCUUGAGUUUAUCAUGAAUUUUCAUUCCCUUGAAUUUGCAGUUACUAAACUCAGUAAAUUACGAAACUCUUUGUAAAGAGAAUUGUAUGUUAGUAUAUAUGCUAAAUAGUUGUAAUGACUAAUGAAUCAUGCCUCAUUCUCAUGGCUAACUUAUUUUGUUUAGUUAGAAAACUGUAAAUUUAUUGUCGUCAUUCAAGUACUCAUAGUCAUGUAUUAAGUUUGUGCAUUUCUUCACAAAUUGUUGCUUUUGGCGUUUCUAAGAUUUUAGAAGGAAAGACUAUUAUUUCCCAUUACUUUUUAGGAUAUUAUUUAAUCUCUUCAUUCAUUCUUUUUAAUUAUUUGUAUGCGUCUACAUAUAAAUGUCAUACACUAAAAAGGCUUAUUUUUAGUUUACUAAUUGUCCCUAGAGACUCUUACACCUUGUUCCCGAGUGUCACUUAACGAGGGAAGUGGAGAGAAAGGGAGGGAAUCGGAGUGAAAGAGUAGUUCAUCGUCUUCCCCAAUUUUUUUUUUGGAAUUAUUUAGGAAAAAAGAAAGGAAAUCAGAGGAAAAUCUUCCCUCCUAAUUAAUCUUCCUCCCAAAUUCGAGAGAUUUGGAGAGAAAGAUAAUCGAUGAUAAAGAUAAAAACACACGAUUAUAUAAGAUCACGUUAUCAUUAACAACAUACAAAAAAAGAUCGGUCUUCUUCCUGUUGUUUCGACGACUUUGCUGCUUCGACAACCCCGUUGCAUCUUAUUGUUCAAAUCGGUCUAUCAUCCAUCAGGUUCCAUUCUUCCAUUCUUCUCCUUGUAUUUUUUUUUUGUGAAAUCGUGUUCACAAUAUAUAUUACAACCUUUUUUUUCUGGUUCAUUAUGAUUUGUUUCUUCUUCAUUAUAGUUUAAAGUUGAAUUGAUUCGUUAGGUUACGUGUGAUUAUAGGUUUAGAACAUCAUUAUAUAGAAGUAAAUAUGAAUGUUAAUUAUACGAAAGUAAAUAUGAAGUUAAACAGGAGGUGUUUAAGUCAAAAACAUUAUGUGAUUGUUCAUUUCAAUAGCAAAUACAUGCAUAAACUAUCAGUCAAUGCAUAAACUGUGAGUCAAUGCAAUUCUCAAAAUUACAUUCAAAGAAAGACGGAAAUCAGUGAACCCAUUAACUAUAAAGAGAAGCUUUCUUGUAUGUACGUCACUUACCAAAGGAAGGAAAAAAAGUCCUGUUUUGUGUACCACAAUACCAAGAAUUUGUUUAAGGAGGUUGUAAAGGUAAUUAAUUAUGUGGAAGAGUAGACAUCUAAUUUACAUAAUCAAAAUUAAGCAUAAGUUAUUUUAUCAUAUAUCAAGAUCUUUCCUAUUGGACUAUUUUGCCCUUGCUUUUAUUUUGGGUGUGUGGAUGUUUUUGCUGCUGUUAGGAUGCCCUCUUUAUAAUCCUUCACAUUUUGUACAUAAAAUAGGUCACAUUGAUUUCAAUGGAUAAUGACCUUCCUUCACCCGCUCAUAUUCUUAAAUCAAGACAAAUGCAAGUUCUUCAUCUAAUUUGCUUGUUGAUGGCUAUUUUGGCCCAACGCAAAAUUACCAUCAACAAUGGUCCUAAUUUACCUACUAGAGAAACUCUUCUAAAAUGUCGACAUGUACGGGAAGAGUUGUUAUAUAACCUUUCAAAUGGUGGUCAAUGUCGUGAGCUUAUCCGUAUGAGUGUGCAAGCUUUUAAGAAGCUUUGUGUUAUCUUACGAUGUGAUGGUGGUCUUCGACCUACUCAACGAAUGUGUGUUAAAGAGCAAGUUGCAAGAUUGUUGCACAUUGUAGGUAAUGAUUUGAGAAAUACAUUUGUCUCUUGGAUGUGUUGGCGCUCGAAAUCCACAAUGAGUAGGUGCUUCCAUAGAGUUUUGCGCUCGGUUAUAGCAUUAGAAAGUCUUUAUAUUCAACAACCACAAGGUGAUGUUGUCUCCAAAGAAGUUCAAGAGAAAAGGAGAUUCUUUCCUUACUUCAAGAACUGUGUAGGGGCAAUUGAUGGUAAACAUGUUCGUGUCAAAGUACCUAAUAGAGAUGCCCUAGAUACCGUGGCCGCAAGGGUUACUCAACGAUAAAUGUCUUAGCUGAUUGUUCAUUUGAUUUAAAGUUUACGUAUGUUUUAACCAGUUGGGAGGGUACUGCAUCACACUCAAGGAUACCGAAGAAUGCCCUCAAUAGAGAUGAUAAACUAGUAAUUCCAAAUGGCAAUUUCUAGUACCAACUUUUCAUUUUUUUUAAAUUAUUAUUAAAAAACUAAUUACAAUUUAAUUAUAGGUCGCUAUUAUUUAGUAGACGUGGGUUUGCCUCACUCAACUAUAUUAAUGGCGCCAUAUAGAGGUGUUAGGUAUCAUUUAAAAGAAUAUUCCACUAGGGCACCACAAAAUUCUAGAGAGGGCAUUUGGUGUUCAAUCUUCGUCACAUAUCAUUACGUAAUGCUAUAGAAAGGGCAUUUGGUGUUCUAAAAAGAAGCUUUCCUAUCAUUAUAAGUACACAAGAACCUUUUUAUUCUUGUGAAACACAAUCAGACAUUUUUUUGGCAUGUUGAAUUUUACAUAACUUUUUGAUAGUCAGAGAUCGUGACAAAGAUCUUGAAGAUGAGGUAUUAUAGGAGGUGUUAAGUACACCAACAGAGGAAGUGAGACAUAAUUCAAGUGGUGGGCGUGAGGGUAACAACAUGGCAGAGCAACUGAGGAACUCAAUUGCAAAUCAAACGUGGACUAAUUACUUAUUGAAUCCAAACAAUGAAAUAAAUAUGUCAACAUAGUUUAAGAGUAUUUCGUUAUAUUACGUCAUUUGCAAUUUGGUUUUUUACUGAACAUUGUUUUUUGAAUUUAUUUGUGUUAUUUAAUUUUUUAAUGUUAUUUUUUAUUACUUGUACACUUUAUAACUAUGUUCUUUUUAUAAUAAUGUAUGUUUCUUUUUAUGUUAUGUAGAAACCGAUAAUGAACAAGCAAGAACCUUUUGUAAAUACCGGUAAGAAGUCAGUCUUGAACUGGACAGAACAUAUGGAUGCUGCAUUUGUUGAUGCAAUGGUACAGCAACUAGAAAAAGGAAAUAGCCUUCAUGGAAAUUUCACUUCACAAGCAUAUGCGAAUAUGGUUGAGGAGCUCAAUAAGAAAAUUAACAUGAAUUUAACUAAAAGUCAUCUAAAAAAUCGUUUGAAAACAUUGAAAUCUAGUUUUUCACAAUGGUAUGACAUGUUCAAUGGAAUUUCCUUGACUUGGUUCGGUUGGAAUGCUGAUACCUAACUAAUUGAAGCAGAUGAGCAGGUUUGGGAUAACUUAAUUAAGGUUAGUGUUCAUCUAAGGUUGUAUUUAGUUUACUUUUAUAUUAUGUUAUUAAUAAUAAUUUUAAUUUAUUUUGGGGUUUUUAAACAGUUAAAGCCUGAAGCAGUUAUACUGAAGACAAAAAAGGUGGCCCACUUUGAACAAAUGCUAGUAUUUUACAAGAGAUAUAGCUUCAGGAGAAAAUGCUGAAACAACAAAGGAGAGAAAUUCUAGGUUUAACAAGACUACGGACCUCAAAAUAGAAAAUAUUUCAGAGGUUGGUGAUUUAUUAGCAAGAAUUGAUGUUACACUGGAGAACCAACGUAUAGAUGACGAUGAUGAAGAUGACAUUAAAGUGGUAUCUCCUACGCCUGAACAAAAUUCAAGUGCGAAAAUGUGUAAACCUAAAAAAAGAAAACUCAUAGAUGAAAAAGAAAAGGAAGUUGAACCUCAGCCUCAACCUGAACUUGAAACAAUUGAAACAAAGAUUAUGAAUGUUGUUGGUGAUGUGGCUAAUGCUAUGAUGGAAGGUAACAAAAUCUUUGAAAGAGUUUACCAUCAUGAGUUAACAGGUUAUGAAAUUUAUCAAGAAUUGCAGCCAAUGGGUUUGGAACCCCAUGAAAUACCAGAUGCUCUCAUGUAUUUGGGUCGUAACCAAGCAUAUGCGAGGACGUUGUUUACUUGUACAAGGAACAUACGGAAAGAUCUACUAAAAACAAUGAUGGGCGCAAAUAAAUGAUGAAUUGGGAGAAUAUAUGUUUAUUUCUUGGUACUUUGUUCGACUUUUUUUUUUGGCUUCACGAAUUGAAUUAUGGUUUUUGGAAUCGUAGUUUGAUUCAAUUGCAUUGUUUUGGAUGAUUUUUAUAGUUUGGUUUCUUUUCAAUUAGACAAAUGCAAUUAAAAGAUAUCCACAAGUGUUUUGAUUUUAAUAUUAUUUAUGUUUUGCUACUCAUUGAUAAUUUAAUUUAAUAUUUUAUGUAGGUGGUAUUUGACAAAAUAUAUAUGUAUGUGCAAACGAAUGUGAAGACAAAAAAAAAAUAAAGAUAAAUUUGUAAUGUUGUUAUUUAGCUUUCUUUUCUUUUCUUUUCCAUCGAAAUCGGUAACACAUUUUUUAAAAAACAUCAUUUCUUUUCCUUCGGACUUGGGAACACGAAAAAGUUAAUCACUUCCUUCUGCUCCCUUUCUUUUCUCUCCAUAUUUUCCUUCCCUUUCUUUUCUUUCGUUUAAUGAAACUCAAUGAAACUCGGGAACAAGGCGUUAAUUUGGUGCAAGAUUUGCAGGAACAAGUUCAAAAGGGAUGAAGAGAUGCAAAAUAGAAAUGCAAUGAAGACAAAUACCACUUAAAGAGUAAUUGGCGGCUUUUAUAAGAGUAUUCAACAACCCCACGAUAAUCCAUGAAAUGAUUAUUAGUUUUUCUGUUUUAAACACUUAGUAAUAAUGUAUUUGGAACUUUGAAUGUACAAACAAUGUUUAUUAUACUGUUUAUUUUUGGAAAACAAUUUUUAUUGGAACAUGUUAAACACUUGUAAUUUACUUGAUACUUUGAAGUUAAAUAUGAUGAUUUUUUUUUUUUUGUAUUUUGGGCAAAAAUAUAUAAAAAUAUUCUACUGCUUUUUUAAACCAAAAAUCAAUUUACUGACGGCUUAGUGACGGAAAUUUCUGUCACAAAAAGUAAAAAGCAUUCAUUGGUAAUCCGUAAUCCAUUGGAAAAUAUGGUCAAACCUGUUCAAUGAACAUUCCAUCAGUAAUCCUGUUCCCCACGUAAUUUUCCGUCGGUAAUCCGUCACAAAUUCCGUCGAAAAUCAGUCACAAAUAAUGCCCGCAUGGCUUUUUUCCAAUAGAUCAAAUUCCGUUAGUAUUCAGUCAGAAAUCGGCUUAACCGAUGGAUUUCCGAUGGAUAUGGCCGUUGAAAAUAGUUUUCUAGUAGUGUGAUUCCAUCUAACUGUGAGUCUUACAAGGUUAAAUUUAAUCAUUCUUUUCAUGAUUGGGACACUUUUAGUAAGCAUAAGGAAAGUUCAACAAAAGUUGAGGCGACUUCCGCUGCAAGUCCAAAGGAAUAAAAUCUACGAAGAAGUCUUACUGUUUUUUCUCACUGUAUAAGCUAAUGCAAACAGUUUUCCUCAAACUCUAUUUUAAUAAAAAAAGAUAUAAAAAGCAAAACCCAUACACUUUUAUACAGUACAAUCAAGACCCAUCUUUACGUGAAAUACAUUGUUCGGUAAAAAAAACUCAAACUUUGAUUUGAGGUACUUUAUUUACGCAUACGAUACAGAUAUAAAAUGUUAAAGGGAAAAUGAAUUCAGCAAUUGAUCACAUUUUAUGGUACCAAAAAACACCUUUGUGUUCGCUAGCUUGAUCAGGCUCGAUAUAUAUGCAUUCUUUAGCUUCUCUCCACAUUGCUUUAAAGAUUGGAGUCCUAUCGAUCUUAUAAAACUCACCCAAAACUGGAAUGAUUGCAUCUCUUGCCUCCUUUGCAUGAUAAUGUGGAAUGUACGAAAUCAAGUGAUGC
rnacentral:lncRNA from 1 species